rnacentral:lncRNA from 1 species
AAAGCCUGAAAUCCACUACGUUGUGCACCGAAAAGCAAAAUACCGAAGAUCAAAAGUGAUCUCUACACGCUUGCGACCACUUUACUAUACCCACUUCAUACAUAUUGGACCAAAAUAUUACCACAUCUAGGACUUAUAAAUACCAGCUCUUCCUCUCCAUGUCUCUCUCAAACUGAAACCCACUUCCCUUGCAACGUUAACAUUGUCAAUUUGGGAGAUUUCGAUCCAAACAUGUCCAACUUGAAGUGUUUAGCCCUUUUGGGCUUGCUUGUUUCGAGCUUAUUUGUGGGGAGCACCGAGAGCCGGCCCGCAAGGAAAGACUUGGGUUUGGACCUUGGUGGGAUAGGACUUGGAGUUGGAGUUGGGUUAGGGAUUGGCCUCGGUGGUAGUGGGUCGGGUUCUGGAGCUGGAGCCGGAUCGAGUGGUGGGUCCUCGUCAAGUUCGAGCAGCUCAUCUUCAUCGUCUAGUUCUGGAUCUGGUGGUGGUGGUUCAGGUGCUGGAUCUGAGGCCGGUUCGUCUGCAGGAUCCAGAGCAGGUUCUGGAGGUGGAGGUGGUGGUGGCGGUGGAGAAGGAUAUGGGGGCGGUGGUGGGUCUGGUCGUGGGUCUGGAUAUGGAGAAGGAUCUGGGUCGGGUAAUGGUCAUGGGAGAUGAAUAAUAAUACUAUGACACGAAAAGCAAUGAAUAUGAAUAAAAAAAAUGUUAACAAGAAAUGUUGUGAGGGAGUCUAAUUAUGUAAGAUGUGUUAUCUAGCACUUUGUUUUCCCAAUAACUUGUGUCAAAAUGUUGUUGUUAGUACUUUUGAUGUUUUGUUCCUUUCUAAUGAAAUAUGUUAUCUGUAGCAUGUUUGUCUUUGUAAUGCCAUCCCUCACUUUAAUGGAACAAAUGGAUCUUUGUUUGGCUGUCUUAAACCUUUGUCUUAGGGUUCCAUGGCGAAUGAUUAUGCAGUGUUAUUUGCAAUGUAAGGGUUCGGUCGCAUUACAUCGUAAUUUUUUUUAUUGAAUAUAUUUCUNNNNNNNNNNNNNNNNNNNNNNNNNNNNNNNNNNNNNNNNNNNNNNNNNNNUUUGAAAACCUCCCAAUUAAUUAAUGACGAUUUUGGAUUAGACUUCAAAUCGCUAUAGACCCACCGGUGAUGAUUUGAAAUCCAUUCUCACACUAACAAAUAAAAUAAGAGAUAAUCAUGUAAACCCAUUACAAAUUACCCACCAAAUCAAAUAACUAGUUAUAGAAAAACAAUAACUAUUAGUUACAAAUAAAUGUGUUUAGUAUCUACACAAUGUAAAUAGUUAUACUAGUUACAAAUCGUUAUAACUAGUUAAGAAAUUUAUUUGAAUCCUGUUCGGAGUCUUACCAAUGAUUAUACACUAAGUUUGCUAGCAUACAUAGCAUGACCAUCCAUGUUCUCUACCGGUUUCGAUAUCUUUUUUACCUAAUAAUUUAAUUUGGUCUUCUUAAUUAUAUAUAUCUGCUGUUUUUAUAAUAACAUAACGUUACUCCACUCCAUGUACCUAUCAUCACUCAUCUCCUUCCAUAAUUACAAAAUAAAAAUUAAAUUAUAAAAUUAUUGAUUUGGGUUCCACUACUCCAAGUUCAUGAAGCUUCCAUACAUUACAACUGGACUAACAAAUGGGUGACGGGAGUAGACAACUCUUUUAUCCUUUUUAAGGUAGUCUGAAAUAUUAAUUAUGAAAAUCGAAACAAACAUCGUUCAAUCUAUUAAAUAAAAAGUAUGGAUGAGUAUCUCUUUAUUAGUGAGUGACUCGAAAACUUUAAUUGUUGUGCAAGCACAUGAACAACCUUGUUAUUAUCUCUCCUCACAAAGCUAACCGUAAGAUUCGGUUUUGAAUCUAGAAUGACUCGGCAUCUUCGUAUAAUAUCGCCAAACUCUAUACGGUACUCAAACUGUCUGAUUCAUCGCGUAAACCACCACAUGUGCGUCUGCUUCAAUGACCACUCGAUCCAAUUGCAGCUCCACACACCAUUUUAAGCCCUCCCACAUAUGCAGUGCGUCCAUGGCCGCCGCCACCGUCCNNNNNNNNNNNNNNNNNNNNNNNNNNNNNNNNNNNNNNNNNNNNNNNNNNNNNNNNNNNNNNNNNNNNNNNNNNNNNNNNNNNNNNNNNNNNNNNNNNNNNNNNNNNNNNNNNNNNNNNNNNNNNNNNNNNNNNNNNNNNNNNNNNNNNNNNNNNNNNNNNNNNNNNNNNNNNNNNNNNNNNNNNNNNNNNNNNNNNNNNNNNNNNNNNNNNNNNNNNNNNNNNNNNNNNNNNNNNNNNNNNNNNNNNNNCCCCCCCCCCGGCCGUUUGAAGCUAUGGUUUCAACGGCGACGUCCACCACCUGUUUCGCAAUAUGUUGAUGAUGACUUCCACACCCUCUCAUUACCUCCACGCCACAACGCCCAAAUGAUGGCGAUCAUUUAUUUACAUUGCACUUCGCUCGCCUGCUUCAAAAUCAACAUGAUCCAUUCGGCGAGUGAUUCACAACGGUCCCUAGUUUGCUCAACUAUUGUCGCCAUAGCUUCCUUCCAACGUUCCCACGCAAAGCCGCACUCCAAGAACAAAUGCCAUCCGUUCUCUACCUCCAUCAUACACGUCCCACACUCCCAAGGCACUACAACAUGCUUUUCCUGAAGACUAGACCUCGUCGGGAGCACUCCUCUACUCGCACGCCACGCAAAGUGUUUAAGUUUGGGAGUAUAAAGAAUUGAUCUCUCCAAAGGGAAUUAGUAUUCCUCUCGACUGGGAGUUAGGGUUUUCUGUAAUAAAAUUUCUCGACAAGGGUUUUUCUUCCCCGAUUUCCACACUCGACCAAUCAUUCCUCUAUGGUGACCAGGGGCACGUGACUCAACUCUCUAAGCACCAGAAUGAAGAACAAUUGAAGAUACUACCUUCCCUUAGCAUGUUCCCAUAAAGGAGCUGUUUUAUGGCACCAAGUUUGAUAGGUUUCCUUCAGUUUUAUUUUGAGAUAGGGUCUUUUGCCAUGUACUUUAGUUUCCAGUUUCUUUGUUUGUUUUUGUGCUUUCGCUAUGAGUUAUGAUUUGAUUGAAUUGUCUUGAUGGUUUGCGUAAGGAGUAGGGGUGUUUUGAUUAUCAAAGGAAUUGAGUCUAUGUAGUUUUGUUUGUAAGGUAUACACCUCCUGUCAGUGUUUGGCAUGAGCGAUAUGAUCGAACAAAUUUUGAUGAAUGAAAUGGGCAUAUUUUAAGUUAAAAAAGAUUACAAUAUAAAUCUCGUCUUAUUUCCUCGCCUACUCUAGGGAUGACUCCUCCGAGAGGAUUAAGCAUUCUGUUAUUGAUUUGUGCUACGGUUUUAGGUUAGCUAAGUAAUUAAUUUGCAGUCGGAUUGCCUUCCCGACAAAGAUGCUCAGCCUUGAUCAACCAGUCUCAAUUCAAGGUGGAGCAUAGUUGGUUGCGUUGUGUACUGCCAACCUGGAACGUUCUGAAUUCCAAUCAAUCAUACCCCACAUAUUGACACCAGACAUUUUUUCCGUUUCCUAUCUCUUGUCAUGUCAUGUUUUCUAGGUCUAUUUUUGACAAAAAAACUUAUCUCAAUCAGACAAUCAUAAAAACUAGCGACCUCAGAAAAGUGUUGGUGCGUUCUCAACCUCCACUGGUAAUAAAUAAAUAGCAUCAAGUGAAUCCAACUACACACAUACUUUCUGGAAGAUACACCGGUACAAGCUCGUUUCCUGACUCAUUUCAUCCGUGUUACGAUUGCGUGCAUCACUACUUCUACCACUCAAGUUCAGUGGAAUGGAGCUUUGACAGAUUCUUUCAAACCAGGACGCGGAUUAAGGUAGGGAUGUCCUCUUUCUCCCUAUCUUUUCACUUUUUGUAUUGAACGGCUUUGUCAUACGAUUAUAUCUUGCCUUGAUGAUGGUAGUUGGAGCCCUAUUUUCCUUAGUCGUAAUGGUCCUCUUCUCUCUCACCUCUUUUUUGCUGAUGACUCAAAUCACUAUAUGUGUAUAUGUCAAUUUUCAUCAAUCUUCAUAAAGAAAUAAAAAAGAUUCUACUUUGAAAUUGCAAAUCUUCAACACUCAUAAAUCUUGCUGGUCAUAUAAGACUUGCUAUAUUUAUCCUAUAAUUCACAUGAUUAUAUUCUAGCCCUACUCAAAUGAUAUAAACUUAAAUCAUAUAUAAUGUUUUUCAAGAACAUAAAAUCUCAUGUUAUUUUAUUUGAGAAAGUGAAGACAUAAACAAUGAGUUAUGUGAUAUGUCAUUACCAAUAUUAUAUUUGUUGGUUGACCAAUUGGUCCCAUGUGGCAAUUUUAUCACUUGGUUAUUUGUGAAACCAACUUAUAAAACUACACCAUCAUUUAAAAAUAUGAUCAUUUAGAUCAUGCAUGAUAUUUAUUUUAUAUAUAUAUUCUUGAAUUUAAAGAAAAUGGUGUAAUGUAAUGUUAUGAUUAUGCACCAUUUUUUCACUAAGUUUUUAUCCUAUAAGGUUUUCCUAGUAAGGUUUCGAUGAGAAAUAUUCUCAUUUAAUUGUCAUCCAAGGAGGAGCGUUAUGCAAAUAUUGAUUAUAGAUGACAAUUGAUCAUAUUGAUGCAUACAUUAUACACACAAACUCCGGUGAGUUAAAAUCAUGGUCAAACAAGUGCGCUCAAGUGAUAACUUGACUGGUUUCUUUACCAAGGCUCUAUCUACAUCAAUUUUUAGGAAAGUCAUCAUCAUCGGGAGGAGUCGAUACGCGCUACACUUUUUUCCCUUAACCAUAAUUUUUCCCAUUGAGUUUUCCUGAUAAGAUUUUUAAUGAGGUGGCCUCAAAAGCGUAUUUCAAGAAUGAUAUAUAUUUUUAACCACUGGUCAUUCAAGGGAGGGUGUGAUAAAUAUUAAUAUUAUGUGUAAUGAAUGACCAUUGUGUAACUCCUAUAUGAAUGCCAUUCAUUGUCUUUCAUUUUUCCAUUCAAGUGCGAUGACAUAGUCAUAUAAGAGUUAUAUCUUGAGCUUAUCAAUAGUGUUCUAAACAUUGUAAAAGAUAAACAUCAACAAGAAUGAUUCUCCUCCCUUUUUUUAUUGUCUUUUUCUCGUUAAUUAGUUCUAUAACCCUUACGAGUAAAUGUAUUUUAGGUAAAGCUAGCUAGAACUUUCAAAUAAAGACAUUUGCUUGCAAAAUUGUUUUAUUUUGGGCUAUGGUUUUAAUGAAGACCACUCAAAUCUAAAGAGAAUCCCAACUACCAUAAUCUCAACCGUUAGUUAUGUUUAUGGUAUAUAUUAUUCAAAAUAAAAUAAAAAAAGGCACGAGUUGGUAAUAUAGCCUUGUUCCAUCUGGCCUAUAUUUAGGCACUCUACUUCAGAUGGCCGUCCUCACUCUUUGAAAUCCCAUUUGUCAUUCACCAACAGUACCUCCAAAAAAAAAUCUAUAGGAAUGAGGAAUAUAUCCUUCUAUAAUCUUAAUAAUCAUAUGAAUUGUGUAGUUUGUUGGCACGCUUGCUUUGUUGGGUUGUUCGAGAGAGAAUCUCGAACAUACCCUGGUAGCAUGUAAAUAAACAGAAGUAAUUAAUGAGAGGAAGAGAAUAUACAUAUAAGCGGUUGAUGUUUAAAAAGAGAUCGAUAUGAUUAGGAAAACUUACCGAGAAGAUCCGCAUAUAUUAUAUAGGCAUAUGUGAUAGGUGAUACAAAAUCAACGAUCUAAAAUAGUCUUCUUGUUUCAGAAUUAGGAUUCAUGUAUCAUGUGACAAUGCUAAUUAGCUGGAUCACCCGAACUGAUCCAAGCAACAACAUAAAUAGACUCUGAAAAUUAAACCUUAGUAUAUAUUGUUUCGGAUACCAUACCUUGAGAUCGAUGCUUAACAACUUAGCUAGUUGAUUUCAGAAUUUGGAAAACUGACUCGGAUUCAAUUUUAAUCGUCGGAACGGCUCAAGUUAUAGCACUAGGUGUCGUCGAGCCUGGACUAUCCGUAACAUAAAUACCCAACUUUCAGACUUAAUGAGAGUCAAACCCCAGCCGCUACCGUAGCUGUUGUAGUCGUAGCUUCUUUGAUCUCCUUUAUCUUUUCGAUUUUAUCUUGGAUUUUUGCUGUAAUGUUUCCUCGUGGCUUUCUUUUUCGGAGGGAAAAUUGCACUCUCGCCGAGAGUUCUCCUCAUCUUUGGAAACCCUAGCCGCAAUUGUCGAAGCCGUCGUCAUCAUGACUUCGCCACAACCAUCACGUCUGUCAAGAAAUAGUGCAGAUGCGAUCUUACAACUUCCGAUCCAAGAGAGACGGAAGUUAAAGCCAGGUUCUCGAAAUCACCCAGGAAACUCAGCUAAACCUCCACCUCCUCAUCCGCUACCGGUCUACCCCAAAGUUUGACUGUUUGUUCCGUCUAUUAGCUAGAAUUAUGAUAUGUCCUUUUAUUAUUGUAAUUUGCUGUUGGCACUUUUUCUAUUCCUCUUGUCGUUGCUGAUGAGUGAGGAACGAAGUUAUCGUUUUUGCGGGGACCUACGAUAAAUACAGUUCCGUUUGUUGAGUCUAUAUUUCCAGUGGGCAUGUUUUGUACGCUCGUUAUGGAACGUCUUUUGAAAUAAAAUAUCAAGUUUUAAUAUAAAAAAAAACAAUAAUCUUGACCACGACAUCUAAACAACUUCCAAUUGUCACAAAUUCCAAACUUUGUAGCACAUCUAUCAAACUUGCAUUUAUCAUAAGUUCAUUAACUAAUCAUUCUUUUUAGAGAAAAUACACAUUUAUACUCUUACAUUAUACAAAAUAUACAUCAACAUCCCUCUAUUAUAUUUUAAUUCAUUUAACUCCCAAACUUUAACAAAGUUUAUAAUCAAGCCCCCCCAUUAGAUUUUCGUUAAACAUCUCAAGCAGGUGUGUGCUGCUGACUAUAUUUUUCACUAAGGAAAAUUAACGAAUUUGAAUAAUUAUUAAGAGGAAGAUGAAACAGUAUUUUAUUUUUAAAAAGUAAAAUUUAACUNNNNNNNNUUUUAAAAAGUAAAAUUUAACUUUAAUUUUUAUUCAAAUUAAAUAAUUUUUCUUAGUGAUAAAUACAGUUAGCAGCUCACAUAAAUCUGAGUUGGUAUGUCACGUCAACAUAUUUAAUGAACAAGAAUAUAACGAAAGAACCUGUUUAUAAAUUUUAUUAAAGUUUAAAUGCUAAAUCGAUUAAAAUAUAAUAAAAAAAUGUCGUUGUAAACUUUACAUGAUAAAUAUUUAUUUUCCCUUCUUUUUAAUAAAACAAUUUCACCGCUAUUAUUAAUUAUUUAACGCGUUAACGUGUUAUUAGUUGGCGCCUUCCCACCCUCUGCUAUAUAUUUCCCCUUCUCUUCUUUCCUUCCUUUAGCAGGUGAAGAAAGAAAAAACACGAUUAUCAAUUUUUUUCUUCACCUCUCAAAACAUAGAAGAAAAAUUCCGCCAUUGUUUCCUUCCUUUGCAUUUGCUUAGCUCAAAGCCUCAAACUUUCCCUUCAUCUAGUACGGCCGGUGGCGGCAUCGACGGCGACGGUAACGACGGAGAAAAACAAGAAGAAACUUCAGAUCUAGAAAAGCCAGAGAUGCCAUCGUUAGAGGAGGAGCUUUUCCCAUCUACUCCGGGAAAAUUCAAGAUUGACCACCACCGUAGCCACCGCCAAUUCCACCGAUGCUUCUCCUCCACCAGCACGAUGUUCCUCUGGGCUCUGUUCCUCAUCGCCCUAACAGCAUCCUAUCUUAGCUUCCAGAGCUUCGUCGAUUCGGGAAGCCGCUACUUCUCCGCCUCAUGGGGCGGAAUCCAGUGGGAGAGGCAGGUUCGUAACUCCGCCCAGAUCCACCGGUCCGGGGGGAUGUCGGUGCUCGUCACCGGCGCCGCCGGAUUCGUCGGCACUCACGUCUCCUUAGCGUUGAAAAAGAGAGGAGACGGCGUGGUAGGGAUUGACAAUUUCAACAACUACUACGACCCGUCUUUGAAAGAAGCCCGUAAAUCGAUGGUGGAAGCCCAAGGAAUUUUCAUAGUCACCGGGGACAUAAACGACGCCAAGCUGCUGAAAAAACUAUUCGACGUCGUUCCGUUCACCCACGUGAUGCACCUGGCAGCCCAGGCCGGUGUUCGUUACGCGAUGGAGAAUCCUCAUUCUUAUGUGCAUUCCAACAUCGCCGGAUUGGUAACGCUCCUCGAGAUCUGCAAAUCAGCGGAUCCCCAGCCAGCUAUCGUAUGGGCAUCGUCCAGCUCCGUUUACGGGCUCAACGAGAAGGUUCCCUUUUCGGAAUCGGACCGAACCGAUCAGCCAGCGAGUCUGUACGCUGCGACAAAGAAGGCCGGUGAGGAAAUUACUCAUACUUAUAAUCACAUUUACGGGCUGUCGAUUACGGGGUUAAGAUUCUUUACGGUUUACGGGCCGUGGGGUCGACCGGACAUGGCAUACUUCUCGUUUACGAGGAAUAUUUUGCAAGGGAAGCCGAUUACAGUUUACCGGGGGAAGAACCGGGUCGAUUUGGCCCGGGAUUUCACCUACAUUGACGAUAUCGUGAAGGGGUGUUUGGGGUCGUUGGAUACUUCAGGAAAGAGUACCGGUUCCGGUGGGAAGAAGACUGGUCCAGCAAAGUACCGGAUUUUCAAUUUGGGGAAUACGUCGCCGGUGACGGUGCCGAAUUUGGUGGGGAUAUUGGAGAGGCAUUUGAAGGUGAAAGCGAAGAAGAAGCUUGUGGAUAUGCCUGGAAAUGGCGACGUUCCCUUUACUCACGCCAAUACUAGUUACGCGAGGAAGGAGUUCGGUUAUAAACCGACCACUGAUCUUCAAACCGGGUUGAAGAAGUUUGUCAAGUGGUAUCUUUCCUACUACGGCUAUAAUAACGGGAAAUCUGUAAAUUAAAAACGAGAUUUGGGGUUCUUUUUUUCUUUCUUUUUUUGUUGUUGUACUUUUAGAUGAACAAAAAACUAAGAUGAAAGAAGAAGGGAUUGACUGUCAAAAGUGAAGAAUAUCCCGAUUCUGCAAUGAUUUUACAGUUGGCUCAUUGUUACCAGCUUUCAUAAACUUUGACUAAGCUACAAUGGUGAAAAGAGAAAAAUAGUGACCACGUACAGCUCAGAUGUAUUGAUGCAACUUCAAUAUAAAAAAUUAAGCUCUCUAUGAAAUCAUAUUUCAAUUUGCACCUUUACAAUCUAUUUGGCUUUCCUUCUGGAUGCUACUUCCUUGGCCCAAGCUUUGCCUACAUCUGUCUGGAAUUUCCCUGCAAAUUACAUACAAAUGUAACAACACAUUGAAAUUUGAUUAGCCCUUGUGGGUUUUUAAUAGUUAGAUGCAGACGAACUGAAAGGAAGAAACUUUGCACAUACCAGCAGUGGACUGGAAGAACUCCUCCAAAUCUUUCCCUUGUUCUGCAUUACCCAGAUAAACCAGCCCAACUUUCAGUAAAACAGCUGAGAUCAGCUUUCUCUAAGUAACUAAUAUGGCUGUUUAUGGCCAAUCAGGCAGAUGGUAGGAAGAAAACACUCACCAUUUUCAUAUUCCAAAGCCUGAAGAAUCAUCUCCACCUAGAAAUGAACAAAAACAUGAAUGCAAAACAUAAACUGUUAGUUAUACGUGAUAUGGAUAAUAUGUUUGGAUGUCUCUACAUUACCAUUAAUAACCCUUUCACUUAACCUAUCAUCAUCGACAUAUAUCGCAUACACAAAGAUGAAAAAAUGAAGUACCUUGUCAAAGUCCUUCACUAAUUUGGCUUCUGGGGAAGAAUUAUCUUCAUACUCUUUCCACAACUGCUCUAUCUCCUUAGCUACAAAAAAUGCAUAAGAAAAUCCCCUCCAAACCAUAAAAGUUACAACUAGACACAGAAAGAACAAUCACAAGCAAAGGGAUUUGAUUCUACCUCUUGAUCCUCCACCUAACAACUUGCACAUAUGAUCCAACGCUUCAGCCUCUUUCCGGCUCUUCUCCUCCUUCGGCACUCCAUCUGAUGGGGUAAUGUCACCAACUAUAGCUGGUUGAAUGAAACAUCCCAUUUGUAAGAGAACAAUUCAUUAGCUUCUCAAGUUUCAAACCGCUAAUACUACUUAGCCUAAUCUUGACAGUAUCGAACAGCACAUAGAACAGGAAAGUUUAUUAGCUCCUCUGAUUUUGAGAACCUUCCAUUGUUGAUACUACUUAGUCUAAUAAUGAACAGAACAUUGGAGAAGAAAACUCAUUAGUAUCUCCAAUUUCAAACAUUCAGUCAUGAAAAAGAAAAACGCUAGGGAUCAUCUUGCUCAGCCCUUAAUACCUUUCCAAUAGGGUAGCAAAAUCAAGAAGAUCAUAUCACAGUUCAUUAUGCUUUGUCAACGAUUUCUGAUGAUUUCCUAUACAUGAACAUAUUAACAACUGACUUACCUUCAGCUAUGUCAUGAACAAUUGCCAUCUUCACACACCUGAAAGAAUCAACGAAACCAUACAUUUAACACACAGCAUUACAACUAGUAACCGACCAAGAUUGAAAUAAAGAAAAAGGGAGAAAUCCUAACUUGUCACGAUCGAUGCCAGGAAUAUCCGGCAAAAUCAAACCCAUCAAUCCCAUUCUGUACAUAUGAUCCGCUAUCGAUUCCGGAUCCCUAACAUCCCUCUUCACCCAUCCAGCCCUCUUCGUGGUCUGAAAAUUUACGAUUAAAACCAACAAUCAAAGCAGGAAAUCUACUUACUACUAGUGCUAAAUGGGAGAACUGGGUUUUGCUUUACCUUGAGGCGGUGGCAGAGGGAGAGGAAAUCAAUGGCUGAAGAAGGGGACGCGGCGGCGUUGGUGGCGUCGGAUGGAGUAGUCUCGGCGGUUGCCAUGCGGUGGUGAGUGCAGUGAGACGGGGAAGAGGAAGCGGCGAACGAGUUGAACCGGAAGCGGGUCGUGGGAGCAGAAAAGGAGGAGGAUGAGGUGAGGAAGAGGAGUGAGCUCGAUUUACAGAGCACUGCCGCUCGAGUUGCUAUGAUCCUCAUUUUCCCUUCUUUUUCGUAUAGUUUACUUUUUUUUCUACUUAAAAAACUAUUCAUAUUCAGCUAUUUUGCAGAAUUUUCGAAUGUCAUGAUAUUUAGAUCAUAAGAAAUAAUUAAUAUUUUUAAUAUCAUGAUAUUAGAUGAUAUAAAAUUUCCAAACAAAAAGUUCGUAUUAAAUUUAUUUUUAAAAAUGAUUAAAAUAUGAGGGUUUUUUCAUUAAUAACAUAUAUUCGAGAUUACAUGAUAUUAGAAGAAUAAAUACCAAAUAUUGUUAUAUUUUGAGGUUUCUUAUCCUUUUCACUUUGGUUAUACUUCAUGUGAUCAUUGGUUUUCCCCCCACAACACAAGGUACAAACCCGUUAUCGCCAUCGCAGCUCCGAUCAACCUAUAUAACACAAACUAACAGGCGUAAGUGUAACCCUAAGAAACAUUGUUUUGAAAACCUAACCGGACCGGUCGUCUGUGAACUGGAAUCUCGCCCGAUACCAAUUUAGCGGUUUGUGAGAUUGAUCAAAGUCGGGUGUUGAUCCGAUUUGACCGUAAAAUUUAGCCGGUUCAAUUGAAAUUAUUUGGCCGGUUGGACCAAAUUUUUAUUCCUAAACUUAUUUUUUUUAAAAGAUGAGAGUGGGAUUCGGACCCUGGGUGAAUAGUGAUUACUAGCUUUACAAAUAUCAUAAUUUGAUCAAAUCAUGCAUUUAACUGAUAAUAAUAAACAUUAUUAUAAUUAAUUAAUAUAAAAUGAAUAGCUUCUAAAUUAUAUAUUAAAUUUCAAUUAUUUGAUGAAUAAAAAGUUUUAAGUCGUUUAUAUAAUUUGUUAUCGAUAUGUCCAGUUUACCACUCCUUUAUGCCACUGCUAUAGAUAUUUUACGAGUCUGUUAUGUGUUUUUCCCCAGAGCACCAUAUAAAGCCUUAUUAUCACUGCUACACCUCCGAUCAACCUAUCCAACAACACAUAUCACGAUUUUAUUAAAGCUUGAUCAGAACCCAAUUGUGUUAAUAUUCAUAACUAAGCACGUAAGUUAGGACAAGCUAAGUUACCCUCCCAAGUAAGUUUGUUCUUGGAGGAAAAUUGCAGCAAAGAUUGCAGUAAUGACUGCGCAAAGAGGGUUGAAAAUUGCAGGGAAUACUGGGCCUCUCUCACCAACACACCAAGCUUGCCCCAAGAAAGACAGUGCCAAAGCUACUCCCUAGUUUAAACACAUGCAAUUUGUAAGAAAACAACACAUUAUCGUAACAGAAAAAAUGAUGAAAAGAUAAUCUAGAGCUUACCUCAUAUAAACAACAACCGAAUUGAAAGAUGGAAUUGAGUUUCCAAGACGAGUAAUCCUUAUCCAGGAACAAAGCUAUUGUCAUUGAUUGAAUGGUAGCCAGGAAGCACAACCAAGCUGAUGAGUAUAUCAGAUCAGGGCAUGUUGCCGCUAUUGGAACCUGUCCAUGAAAAUUUAAAGUUCAAAAGGGACGAGUAUUUUGAGAUGAUCACGUGUGUGAACAUUUUUCGUUAACGGAGGUCGAAUCGCCAGAAACUUGAAUGAAAGAGUUUUCGGUGACUGGAAAUAGUGGUGAAACUGUUGAGUUUUAGGCCAACAAAAUUAUUUUAAAUACUAUAUAAUCAUGUUAUCACUGAUUAAUUUAAGCCCUUAGAUCAUAUAAAGUUUUAAGGGCUAAUAUUAAUCUUGGAACGGUACGUAUUUUGACACGAAAUUCGGACUCAUCUUCCUAUGGCAUGCACUGCCGAUGGGGACCUAGCUAGGGGGAACUUUGUAAGGCUCUGCCACACAUCAUUGAUGCUAUAAGUAGAUUGAGAGAUAACAGUUGUGGAGUUAUAUUUCAGCUGCUCGAUCGUAUCACUUGGCUGGUAAAAGACAUAUAGUUGGGAACUUAGAGGACAGAGUUGAUUGUUGCUGGGGUUCAGUGGUCCAUGAUUUGUGGCCAUGGAGCAGCCAUGCAUGAAUCUGAGUCGAGUUUUGAUUUUGGUACGAAACAAAAAGGCUAAGCAGAACUCAGUCUAUUCCAAGUACGUACCAUAAGCCUUGGCUGAUAAUGAGAGAUUGAAAUCCUGACAGUAGUAUUUAUGAAUAUUGUUUUCUCCGAAAUGAUUUGUUUUACAGACUCUGGAAUGACCAAGGUCCUUCAAUCUUUUACAUUAGAACCUAGCCGUGGGUGGGAGCUUGGCUUUUGUUCAGUCAACCUGUGGCUUGACUCUUUAAGCUACUCUCUCGUACACUAAUGAUACCAAAGAGGAAAAUCUUCAGCGUCGUUCUUGUAUUUAUGAAGCUCAUCAGCUUCUGAAACGCAGAUGAAACGCAGAUGGAGUGUGCGCUUAUUGAAUACUAGAUAAUUUUCGAAGGGAGAAUUACGGUAGCAAAAAUAAACAACAUUAAGUAUCAUCUCAAAUUGUUAUAUCAGUCUUCAUUUGGUUUUGGAGAUAUGAAAGAGCAUGUCUUGCAAGUUGAUGGACAACUUUGUUGGCCCUCGCCGGAUCAUUUGCAUCUGCAAAUGCAGGCACGCCGCUAGAAAGGCGAAAAUCUCAGCAAACACUGUGCCACUAGCAACAAACCGAGUGUAUCGCUGAGAGAGUUUGGAGAGGACCAUCUCCACGUCGCCUUCGAUGUCAACCUGCCACACCUCAUGACCAAAGCACCACGUGCAAGCAUCGCGGACGGCCAGUAGUUCUAGGACAUAAGGAUCAAGAAGUUUUGGAUACGUCCGUCCAACCCCGUGUAAAAGGUCGUCACCCGCAUUUCUAAUCACUAGACCCACCGCACUGCCAGUCGGAUCAGCCACCGCACCAUCCACAUUGAUUUUAAUGAUAGGAGAGAGUGCGCUUAUCAAAUACCUUUAGAGAGGGAAAUCAGGUCGCAAACCUGCUUGCUCAUCAAGAGCAUUUCGCUCUGUUUUGGCCUUCACCAGUUUUGGACCCUCCCUCGUGAGGUUUCUUAUUGUAUCAAUAUUGAUAUCCUGGGAGUUACAGUCCCCUGAAUUUGUUUCUAUAAUUUUUUUGACGUAAAAGGUCAAAGUCAUUAAUGAAUUGUCGAGAAACAUAAGGUCGAAAUCUUGUCGACAAGCCAGUUCGGAGGUAUAUCACCCGAAAACAGAGACGUAUGGAACGUGAAUUGUCUAGCUAAUAAAAUAAAACUCAUAAUCCCAUGCUCAUAACAAAGAGCAGCACUUUCGCACAAUUUCACCAAACUCAGUUUCAUCGUCACCCUGCUGCGUGAUAGCCGAUCAGAGUACUUGUGAGUCGCCUUUGAAUAUGACAUUGGAAACCUGCAACCCAAUUGCCCACUGGAGAGCUUCAAGAAGUGCCAAAGCCUCUCCAUCCUUCGCCGGUAGUAGCCCCAUUCUUCAUUGCAUGCGAAAAUGCAGCAGAGUACCUCGAUGAUCCCUGAUAACCAUAGAUCUACCAGUAAUUCUUAAUCGAGUUUCUGGCUUAAGCUAACAAACACAUCGGCGGUUACCAGAAAUUUGAACUCAGGCAGUCGGCGAACAAAAGGCUUGAACUCAUCGGAAGUCUUGGUUGGUAGGGACAGAAAUCCAAUCAGCAGAUUCAAAAUGUAGAUCCCGAGCCAGUAGGAGACGACUUAAAACCCUUGGACAGUGGACAUAGUAAAUCCGCUAGACGUAGAGAAUCGCCACCGAAAGGGUUCCUAGCCACCCGAGCAUCGGCUGAGGCACCGAUUUGUCGAGAUAGUGCUGGAACACCCCGGAGAAGUCGCUGCUCCACUUGACGAGCUGGGGGACGCCUUCACUUCCCGGUUCCGCCAUGGAUUCUAAUCUGAAGAGGUCGUGGCAAGGGUUUCAAAGAUGAAGAAGUAGCAAAUGGUAAGUUAGCUGGUUGCGCAAGUUAAACUGUAAUACAAUUAGGUUAUUUAAUGCCAACAUUACAUUUUUUAUUAUUUAAAAUCAAAACAACCAAUGAAAUAUCGCUAUAUAGUAUUUAUAUCGGAUACAAAUUUUCACCGAAAUAUUAUCCUUAAAGAGCGGGUCCGCCCUUUUUAUCAACAAACAGAACAUAGCGGACCGCCCAAGUUAUAACUUAUGUUACAAUCAGUAGUACAAUAAUCACUAAACGACAAAAUAUGAAGUAAACAGAUACAAAGUCAGUGAUGUGUAUAUCUAACUCCUCCUCCACGUCUCAUGUGUAUACUGUUCGAAGCAGAAAGUGUGAUAUGUAUUCAUCAAUGAAGUUGGGCAGCUUUCAAUUGAUUUAAUUACAUACAUUGCUAUCUCCAAUGGUAUUAUUGUUAUGUUUAGAUAUUAUAUAUUGAUAGUGACGGUGUGGGAUGAUCUGCUUGCCCCGAUAUUUUCAAGGUACGGAUACCCCUUAUGUGGUUGUCACUUAACCACAUUUUGAAACGUUACGUUUCGUCUGUUGGUUACUUAUGCAAAGCCUUUAAGGACAAAAUUGAUAAUCUCGUCAGUUGGUUAUGGAAAAAAUGAUAUUUGAUUUCAUUUUUUUCAAAUAAUUAUUCGGUGUAACAGGUGAUAUCUGCAAACUAAUCUGAUUACUCAUUUUAGUGGUAAAUGGAUCUGAUUUAAAAAAAAAAUAGUUAAGUUAUGAUUAGAAAAUAAACAAAUUACACAUUUUUUAAGGUAAAUAAAAUCAUAUAAUAUUUUUGCAUUGCUUUUGUUUUUAUGGUUAUAAUCAGGAUUCACCAUCACAAUUCACGAUUAGUAACAUGUCAUGAAUAUGUGCCAAAAGAAAAUUGGAGAAAUAACGGGAAGCGUAUGUAAUCAUGCAUAGCAUGAUUGUAAAAAAUGAGCGAAAUUUAUAUAUAUGUCAUUUUGAUUAUACAGAUUAUGAAAUGAAGUUUACAUAUCCAUGCCCAUCUUUUAGAAUAUGAACAAUAUUUCCGAAAUCAUUUGAAAAUUCGUGAUAAGUCCAAAAGUCAUUAUCUUCAAACAGUUUUAAUUGAAGAGAUUUGGAGCCAGUUUGGAUCUAUAUUUUGGAUACCUAGUUCGAUUGCCAUCCUCAAAAAUUAUGAAAUCUUAAGUUUUUCCUCAAGCACUCUUUCUUAUGAGCUACCCACUAACUCCAGCUCGAAACUACAAAAUUUGAGCCGGUUGGAAUGACGUGGCUACUACCAUGUGUGCGGGUAGUAGUGACUUAUCUAGCCAACAAAGUAAACUAAAAAAAGUUUUGGAGGACGAUUAUUGAGAUAAAUAUAUUGCAUUAAGAUCCGAAAAAGGAUUACAAUAUUAUAAACAAUACAUAUUGGAUUAUUUUGUACAUAACUCAAAUAUAAAGGACCAUUUCGAUCAAUUAGCCGGGCCAUCGAUAUGGUCAUUUUUAAAGUUAAAAGUCAAUAUAAGGAAUGAGACUCCAACAAAAUGUCCAUGUCUACAUAUCCACCAUCAUCUUCUCAUCCUCGAUUCACUCAAACUUGAACUAUGGUCGGCAUAUUACAAGUCAACAUACGACAACUGAAAACUCAACGCGUAAACAAAUUAAUGUUAGAAGGUAGAUAUGCAAUGGAACGCUAGUAAUGUCUGUAAAAGUGUCCAGGGAAGCCAUCUGGGUCGGGGGGAUUGCUUACCACCAAGUCCAAAGACUACCUGUUUGAUUUCCUCGUCAGACAUCUCACGUCACAAAUCAACAUUGAUAGCAUCAGAGGCGCCUUUCGGAAAGCUGCUGAGAUCGGGAAUGUCGCGAUAGUCGAGGAGAUGUUCCACCUAAAUGCAUGGUUGUUAAGAGUAAUGGGAGUAAUGGUAUCUAUUUGCAAUAGUUUCCAAAUACAUAUACGACACUGAUUCCUGGAAACCAUAACUGGACAGACAGUUAUAGGAUCCGGUAACUCAUGCAGCACCAAAAGGUUAAUAUGCCAACUUCUACGCGAUUUUCAAGCAAAGUUUUUUAAAAUUUAUUUUGAGGAACAUUCAUUGAUGGAGCCGACAAGGAGGAAUUGAAAGCAAUAGCUAUUGAAUAGUGGGAGGCAGAGGAAAUGGGAAGUGAGCAAAGGGAGGCAGCUACGAUCCGAAUUCCCAACCAUAUUACCCUCACUCAUUUAAGGCAUUGCCAGGUUGAAAUCUUUGCCAUCAUUCACACCUACGGCACUCCCAGCUGUGCCUCUUCCACCGGUAAACCUUAGACAAGGAAGUUAACACGUCUUUCAACUAAAACUUCCCAACUGCCUUCUCCUCCCCCUCUUCACCGAGUCGUACUCCAUAUGUACCAAUUCAACUGCGCGUGUAUCAUAUGGCAGAGCCCGUGUUCAACUUGCAACUCAACCGUGUAUCCAUCCCAUUAGCGGAAUCCGAAUGGAUUGCGACCUUGGGAAAAUUUCUAAGUUUGGAGUAGGUUUGACAGCAUAGUGGGUAUUCAUUACGGAAAAACAUGAUGGGUAUCAUGAACCAUUGUAUACCAAUAAUUUGAGUAAUUGACUUGUUGGAAGAAGGUUAAUCAUGAAUUUUAAACUAUUUUUGUAUAUUUCCCCUCAAAUAAAAGUAAACCGACGGAUUUAAAGUUUCCACAAGCCUACUAUACCUUGUGCUUUCAAAUCAACUGUUAAUAUUAUUGGGGUCUUGGAGAUUAAAACACAUGAUCAUUUGGUCUAAAGAAUUCGAUACCAUAUCACGAACCGUUACAUCCCAAUAACUCGAUUGUUGGGAGAAGGUUAAUUAUGUAUUUUAUACUAUUCUCUAACAAUGGGUAAAAUUCAAACUUUGGAACCGAGGGACCCAAAUUCCGCCAUUGUGUCUAUCGAUAAUCAGUUUAAAAGGAAAAACAAAGAGUAUUCAUAUAUAGUGAUAAAUUAAAUUAUUUUGAAAGGGUCUGUCCAUAAAAGUUGUUCUAUUUCUAUUAGAGGUGUGCACUCUUGUACAUUGGGGUACGAUACUUCCUACAUGGGUGGUAUCUAGACACCACAUUGUUGAUGUCAGCAUCCACGUAGGGGUACCUAUACCCUUAUGAUAUCAGACACGCUAGUACUUCUGUGGUACGGAAACCCCUACAUGCCUAUCACCUAGAGACUAACGAGACACUACAUCGUUGAUGUCCCUACAUGAGUAAACUCCCUUCUACAAUAAGGUGAUUUAACUUUCUCUCAUGAAACGAAAAAUAAUGUUACACAAAAGUACUACGAGACUGGUGUAGUUUAUUGAUAGGAGGGGGUGGUAGCACAGCAAUGACAUUAACUCUGGACUUGCCAAAUCUAUAUUGGACUUGUAUUCUUGUAGAGCUAUAUAAGUAGGUAGAUUGAAUAUCAACAGCCUCUCACAACUCUCACAAUUUCCUCAACUUGGUUUUGCUUUCUACUCUCCACUCCGACUACUCUCUCUCUCUUACUCCAGAUUUCUGUUGUUUAGUGGGGAAAAGGGAAAUUUAAGGUUGCUUUCGCAUUUCUUUCUGUUUUUGGGGGCUCUCUCUGAGUAAAAACAGAGCAACUAUACUAUGGCUGCUGCUUUGUCUGACUGGCCAUGGGAGAACCUUGGAGUGUACAAGGUAACAACAAUACAGUUACAAAAGCUCCAAACGUUUCAGUUGAUUCUUUGACAAAAUUUGAUUUGCUCAUGUGGGUUUUUUGUUGUUCCUGUUGUUGUUUUGUCCGUGUGAAGUAUUUGCUGUAUGGACCUGUGCUGGGGAAAGUAGUGUACUCGAGAUAUCAAGGUGGGUACUUGAAGCAAGAUUGGUGUUUUUACUUGGUAAUCAUUUGGUACCUCAGGAUGUGUGUCCACAUACUGUGGAGCACUUUUGUCAAUAUGCUCUUCUUCACCAAAAGCCUCAGGAUCAACAAACAUGGCUAUGAUUUCAAGCAGAUUGAUAAAGAAUGGGAUUGGUAAGUUCCUUACUUAACUCUCCCUUGAAUAACUCGUUUGUUGGAGCAGUACUUACUUAUUGUGCUGAGUACUGGUUUCCUAUUUGAUUAAUUUCAGGGACAAUUUCCUGAUCCUGCAAUCAAUGAUUGCAUCAGUGACAUGUUUGAUGUUUCCAUCUUUCUUGGAACUUCCUGUAUGGAACACAAAAGGAGUGGUCUGCAUUUUGGUGCUACAUGUAUUAAUCUCAGAGCCACUUUACUAUUGGGUUCAUAGAUGCUUCCACAAAACCUCCUUGUUCACCAAUUACCAUUCAAUUCACCACUCAUCCGCAGUUCUCCAUCCUUACACAGGUAACUAAUCUCAUCAUCUCCAAAUUCUACUACACUCAGAUCAUGAUUGAGUUUGCUUGAUCUGAUUGAAUUUCGCUUUUUCGACAGGAUCGCAUUUGUCAUUUCUGGAGCAUCUGGUGCAAGCAACAAUCAUUGGGAUCCCAAUAUUUGGAUCUGCAAUUCUUGGAUAUGGAUCGUUGGUUCCAAUGGUUGGCUAUGUUUUGGUGUUUGAUUUCCUGAGGUGUAUGGUCCAUUCCAACACUGAAGUUAUUCCUCACCAGCUCUUCCAGACUCUCCCAUUCCUCAAAUACCUCAUUUCAACACCAACGUAAGUCAAAAACAUUAUUAAUUGUUUUUGUUGAUAGCUACUAUACUUCCUUUCUUUACUGUUUCCCUCUCUAUGAAAUCACAAUUUUGUGACAUAAAAUCUCAGAGAAAAACCUAUAAAUUAGGCACUACUAGUUGAAGUUGUCCAUAUAGAAUUAUUAAGAAGAUGAUAGGGGGUCGACCUGUCAAAUCAGGACUGGGCACGGUCCCAUUUCUGGCUAAAAAUAUGCCAUCUACCACCUUGCAGUAGUUAUGCUGCCACUGUUUAUUAAUGCUUCCACGCUCUCACACCUCUGUAAAAGUUCCAACUUCCGUUAAACAGGUUGUAGUCGAGUGGUUGUAGCAUCUCAUUUUGUUCCCAGAGAUCCUGAGUUUGAAGUCCGGAAUGCACAAUCAUUCCAGCACCUCUGUGAUGACAUUGGUCUCACCUGAGUUGACAGCCGACAACUCCGUAGUUUACCUAACGACGGCAACACUCAAUGUGGUGCACGUCCAAAGGGUUUUUCGUGUAAAAAAAUAAAAGUUCCAACUCUUUUUCCUGAAUUCAUGCUGCUCAACUCUAUAUAUCUACAGUAAAAUUGACCAAGCUCUGUCUCUUUAUUUUUUACAGGUAUAAUAGUCUGCAUCAUGCUGAAAUGGGAACCAAUUUCUGCCUGUUUAUGCCAAUCUUUGAUGCAAUUUGGAAGACCCUUAACAGCAAUUCAUGGGAGCUUCACAAGAAGCAGCGUGCAAAAGCAGGUACGUAACUUAUAAGCACAUUUCUCAACUUGGUUCAAAUAAAUGCACCCUUUUCCCGGACUUUAGUAUCUGGUACAGCUAUUUUUAGGCCACUUGAUUCUGCCCCUUUUCCUCUACUUUCCGUAGGGACCAUUUCCAAAAAGAUGAUAACUUUUUUUAACAUUGAUCAUGGAUUACAAUUGGUAACCAACUCGUCACAGCCAAUCCAACAACAGAAUUGUAACUGGUUUUGUCUGGUGUUCUCAGGGAAGUAUGGCAGAGUUGCUGACUUCGUGUUCUUGGCACACGUUGUCGAUUUAUCUUCUUCAAUGCAUUCGCCCUACGUUUUCCGGACAGUUUCUUCGUUGCCGUACAAGUUCCGAGCAUUCUUGAUCCCUUACUGGCCAACAACUUUCAUGGUGAUGCUAAUGAUGUGGGCUAAAGCCAGGGUAUUCAUCCAAUCCUUCUACACCCUCAGGGGCAAGCUUCACGAGACUUGGGUUGUCCCUAGGUUUGGUUUCCAGGUACCGUCAUGGUUCCAACUUUACCUUAAUCAUUACAUUUGGAACAAAACAGUAGUAAUAACUAAUUAUAACAUGUUAUUUUGCAGUACUUCUUGCCAUUUGCCAAGGAAGGAAUCAAUAAAAGAAUUGAUGAGGCGAUUCUCAAAGCUGAUAGACUUGGAGUUAAGGUCCUGAGUCUUGCUGCACUCAAUAAGGUUAGCCAUUGAUUUAUUGUACCAAGAAAAUAAAUUAUGAGUUGGAAGGAAGGCAUUAAUGGUUCAUAUCUAUCUAUCAACCAAUGUCAUCUUCUACUAUUGAAUACUGCAACAUUGGAAUGGGGGUCCAUAAACUGUUUUGGAUAUUUAUUAUCCCAUAUUCUGGAUUAAAUUUUCAGUUAGUGUUAGUCAAAUGUAAAUUGACAUGUAACUGAUUAUUGCAGAAUGAAGCUCUGAAUGGAGGUGGAACGUUGUUUGUAAACAAGCAUCCUGAUCUUCGAGUCCGAAUCGUCCAUGGCAACACGUUGACUGCAGCAGUGAUUCUUAACGAGAUUGGAGAUGAAAUUGAAGAAGUCUUCCUAACAGGAGCUACUUCCAAGCUUGGAAGAGCAAUUGCUCUUUACCUUUGUAGGCGUAGAGUUCGAGUUCUCGUACGUUUUCCUUGAAACCAUUUUCAUCUAACUAGGAUCGAUGAUCGGUACACUAAUUAGUAACGCGAUAUACAGAUGCUGACGCUAUCUACCGAGAGAUUUCAGAAGAUUCAGAAAGAAGCACCAGUGGAAUGCCAGAGUUACUUGGUGCAAGUUACUAAGUAUCAGGCUGCUAGAAAUUGCAAGGUGAGGAGAACAUUUUUUUGCUUAAUGCAUUUUGAGGUCACUAUUGUUUGUUUUUUUGACAUUUUUGCCCUUUUUAAAAUUGGGCUGGUAAUAGACAUGGAUAGUGGGCAAGUGGAUCACACCAAGAGAGCAAAAUUGGGCCCCUUCAGGAGCCCAUUUCCAUCAGUUUGUUGUCCCGCCCAUUUUGGCAUUCAGGAAGGAUUGCACCUAUGGGGACCUUGCUGCCAUGAGAUUGCCUCAUGAUGUUGAAGGUCUUGGAUGUUGUGAGGUAAGAGACCCUUUAGUAAUCACCAUCACUAUCUUAAUAAACUCUCAGCUUUGAUUCAUAACUUGUUAUACACUUUCGACAUGAUUCAGUACACGAUGGACCGCGGAGUGGUGCACGCGUGCCACGCGGGAGGGGUGGUGCACUUCCUAGAAGGGUGGAAGCACCACGAAGUUGGAGCGAUAGAUGUCGACAGGAUUGAUCUUGUGUGGAAUGCUGCAAUGAAGCAUGGAUUGAAGCCUGUCUCCAACAUGAACAAAUCGAAACAAACAUAGAUUAUUAAUUAUAAUGAUGUAUUGCUUCUAAUUUUUAGUGUAUUAUAGUAGCAUAAAAUGCAAUCAAAAUUUGCAGGGAUUGACAUUAAAGCAUAAAAUGCUGUGUUCUACAGAGAUGAAUGAAUGGAAAGGAAUGAGUAAACAGAAAGUCUUCUAUCUAGUUGUUCUUUGCAAAUACUGGUUGGGGAAGUUCAAUUCAUGUUGUAAUGUUGUGUAAUCUCGUCUAGUCGUUAGACCAUUAAUUUGACAAGAUUAUAAGCUUCAACUUAACGAUGAGCCUACCAUUCAAUUGAAUCAUCAACUUGGCAGCAACACAGAGUAUGUCCCUGAAACCUCUCGUUGGUCGAUUCGCUAGCGACCGGAAAUGCUCUGCUUCAACGAUGAAACACCAUGUUACUCGUCUAUGAAAAUUGUCUGCGGAACACUUCCCAACCCAACCCCUCACAAUCCACUUGCGCCGUACCGAUACACUCACCACCCGGUUUCUGACCCGGCCCAAUCCCCUAUUCAAAACUUAAGAGGUUUACUUCAGAUUUCCUCCCUCAAUUUUAGAAAAAAACACCUUCAAUACCCCAAAUAUUUAUAGUCUUUCUUCUUCUUCUUCUCAUUUAUUUUUUUGUGUUUAUGUUGGUCGCUUUAAUUUGCUCAAGUGCGGUUUGAUUCGGCUUUUGAUUGUUUUAUCCUGGGAGAAAAACGUUAUUGUGUAGGACGAAUCUAGUUUAAGAAAAUUGUAUAAGACUUCAAUUUUAAUUUGUUUAUGUUUAUUCUAAUCAACGUUAUUUUGUCCAACGUACACUAGCAUGAUGUACCAUGAUUAGUGUGAUGUGAUGAAGGUGAUUAGAACCACUAUGACGCUCAACGGUUGUAAUGAGUCUUGAGAUGAAACCCUAGGCGACCUUCCUAGCCUUGACAUUGACCCCUGGUUGGGCCUUUAAGAUUAGGUGACGCUCUCUCCGCCAAAUUCAAGUCAUCGCUUGACAAACGGCUAAGAUGAUGUGGGUUGGUUAUCAAGAGAAUGACCAUGACCACUUGAGUGUUCUGGCUAUCCAAACCUGAAGCCUAUCUAUCAAUAAUGGCUCGGGUUGGGGCCUAUCAGUAGCUACCUAGGGGCCGUUUGGAGAAGGUCAUGACAAACGAAUUGUGAGAUUCCAUGCCCUGAAAUUGAUCCUGUGUUUAUCCCGAUCAAUUAAGUUGAGAGCAGUUUUAAACCCAAACCCAAACUCAAACACUAAACCCAAAUUCAAAACGAAACAAAUAUAAAAUGAUGUUGAAAAGACUUCUGUACCCUUUUUAUUCAGACCGUUAGAUCUAAAAUCCUUGAGAUCUAACGGUCCAUGAACGUCCUAAAAAUUUCAAAAUCCUUUUUCGUCUGGAUUCCAAACCUGCUCCGAUCUAAGUUGAAUCAAGAGUUCACCCACCCGGCUGUAAUCAUUCAAAGAACACAAGAAAUGACUUUUAUGCAAGGAAUGAAUUGUGUGGGACCCAUUGUACCACCCGUCGCACCAAUGAACAUGUUCCCUCUUUUAUCCAUCUCCCUCCCAAAAUCAACGUCCACUCAAAGCAUUACAUNNNNNNNNNNNNNNNNNNNNNNNNNUAAUUGAUGACGUAGUGCCAUGCCAGGACAUCAUAUUAUUAUUAUUAUUAUUAUUAUUAUUAUUAUUAUUAUUAUAUAAUGUAUAAAUUCAUUAGUACUAGUGUGGGCCUUAUUAUUACGGUUUAAGAUGUGUGAACAUCAAUCUUCCUCGCGAAACAUAGCCCCUAAUAAUAACAGGAUAUUAUUCUGUCAUUUAACAUAACAUCAAGAACCGAAAGUGAUGGAUUGUGAGUCAUGACUAUUAUCAUUAUUCUUUUAUUUUUAUGGAUACAAUAGGAGUCCAGAUUUCGAGUCGGAAAAUGGCUUUUAGAUCUGGUUUACAAAAGCCUGCUCAAAAUUAUGUCUUAGAUCUAGCGGCUGAAAAUACAGGGUAGAAUUGACAUUUUAUAGCCAUGCAAAUGUAUAUAGUAAGUGUUGUAUACAAAUAUGUGUAUGAUACUUAGUAUAGUGCAUAGUAUUACACUUAGUAUGAAAACCAUACAAAUAUACAUACACUUUUUUACAAGUUUGUACAAACCUAUACACACUUGUAUGAUCCGUACAACUCUUGGUACAAAGUUGUUCAACCGGUCUUGGAAAAUAUUUUCAAAAAUAAUAAUUUUUCCAUAAACGCGGAAAUGGUCAUGUGGAUGCUACACUUUUCGUCAACAGGGUCGGAAUCACCGAGAAGCUGAUCAGGAAACUUUCCGAUGUUCAUAGACGACCGGCAAUUAAACAAACAAACAUAUUUAAAACAGCAUGACCAUAUUACCCCUAAUUAAUCGAAACCCUUAGAACAUGUGGAGAUCUACGGGCCCCGAUUGUUCGUGGGUCGUAUCAUGCAAAACUAAUUAUUAUCCAUAUAUAUAUAUAUAUGUCAUGUGCUAAUGACAUACAGCCAUCCAUCAAUUAAUUGGUGGUUGAUUGGUAUUGGUCACUCACUCGAGUUUCAGUGAACGUAGAGAGUCAACUAAACCAAGCAAGAAACGAGAAAAUAUUUAUUAAAUAAUUUAUUGCCAUUAUAUGAAACAUCCACGUUCACGGGGGGGCAUCCGUAACAAAUCAAAGUUAGGAAACAAUUGUUUCAGUCAACUACAAAUAUUUGGGUCCUGGACAUAGACACCCUUGAUUCCACUCCACAUAAAUCUCACUUGAUUCCAGAAAUCCGCACAUAUAUAAUCGAUGUCUAAUUACUUGAUUAUUAGAUUUAUAUUGACCGCAUUAAAGCGGUUCGAGUGACAAUCUGAUGUGACCAAGCUCGAGUUUUUCGUUGAUAAAAUUUUUUAUCAACAUGUUUUGUGCAAACCCCUAAACAUUAAAAUUCUACGUGCAUGAUCAUCAUUUUUAGCCCUAUUUUUCUAGUAAGACAAUUUAUAAUGAGUUUUUUGUGAUUUGAAAAGUUUAUAAUUAAAUUUAUAGUCGAAGAUUAGUUUCCAAUUCUUGGACCAUUGACAAAAAACAAUGAAUUUUUUAGAAACCCCUUCAUGGAUAUCAUUCGGGAUAGAGUAUAGGGUGGAAAGAAAAAAGUACAAAGUAGAAUUUUAUUGCAUAGUUUGCAUAGUUAAAAUUUUGUGUUUAGGAAUUUAAUAUUAACUAUUGAGAUUUGAUAUAUUAAUGUGCAUGGUACAUUCAAUACUAAAUUUUAAAUUUUAAAUAUUUCAUAUUCAACUCUAAACUCUAAAAGAUAAUGUUAAACCCCUAAAUGCUAAAUUCUAACCCUUAAAUAUUUUAUUCUAAAAUUAAAUUCUUAAUCGUACUUCACUCUGACUUUUGACCAUAAAUAUAAAUUAAUCAAUCAUAAAUAUUUUAUUUAGACUCUAAACACUAACCACUAUAUUUUCAUAAACUCUAAACACUAAAAAAAACCUUAAAACUCUUAAUUUUAAACAUAGUAUAUAACAAAAAUAUAAUAAAAUAUCGUGUACACUAAUACACUAAUUAAGAUUGUUUACUUACAAAUUUAAAUUAAUAAAAGUGUAAAUUAAAUUGUACCCAUAUUUGAGGUAUCAAAGCGCUUUCUAUAUAAUGUACAAAAAAAUUAUGAAAAUAAAAGUAAAUAAAAAAAGAAGGUGAAAGUCAGGGGCAAUAGAACAAAGGAGUAUAUAUUUUCGGUGGUGGGACAUGUUCAGCCAUGUGCAUGCAUGUGCUGUGUCUUUCUCCCACACUCAUUUGGGCCCUACCUCCUCCUCCUCUUCUUCUUCUUCUCCUUCUUCUUCUUCUCCUUCUUCUUCUUCUUCGCCAAUCGCCCUUCCCCUCCUGCAAAUAAAUUAAGCCCCCUGCUACUCUUUCCUUUUCUUUCUUGGAUCUGCAGACCCUCGACAUUUAUUAUUACUAUUAUAAAUUACAGCAGCUCCCUCAGUUCACCAAAACAAGGCAGAAGCAGAGAUAAAGAUAUUCUUCAUUCUUCUUGGGCACUACGUACGUAUGUUGUUUCUGCACUAAGUAUCCUCCCUCUCCUCAACCCUACGUACCCUCCAUUCAUAUAAUCAGGUAGGUAAUUAAUUAAGCUUGCGUCGUCUCUCAUUAAACCCUACAUGCUUGUAUAUUAUACAGUCUUCUUAAUCGCUCUCCCUUCUCCCUGCUGCUCCUCUUUCUAUUUCAUGAUUAUAAGAACAAUGCUAGCUAGCUUUUUCUUAAGAUGAUAUCACUCCAAAUCAAAAUUUCAUUGAUUAUUCUUUAUAUAUAUAUGAGGAGAUCAAAUUCUCAUGUAAAAUCUGCAAAUUCAAACAACUUUGCCAAAAAAAAUAUUCAAUUAAUUUCUAAAAUUUAAAUUGAUUACUAAUCAUAUAUGUAACUGUUUGCAUCAUAAUUAUUCGAGUUGUUGGGAAAGGGUUCGGUUUGAUAGUUAUAUUAUUCAUAUUAACACGCCCACCUCAAACAGAAACUCUCAAAAGAGCUGAGGUUUGCACAGUUUCAUUAUGUAAAUCAGGUUCACGGAAUGGGGGCUACCUGAUACGAAACGAAAAUCUUUCAGUCUUUUUUAUGUUUUGAUAUCAUGUCAAGAACUAUUGGGGGAGGGUUCUGAUUGAUAAAAUAUAUUAUUUAUUAACGAUAACAACAAUUUUCGGAGAGAAAAAAAUGAUUACUCUUAUUGUGAAUUUCGAUACUCGUGUAACAUUUUUAUGGGCAUCAAUUAUAAAAAAAAAUCUCUAUGGACAUGUUUGUCAAAGUUUUUAAGAAUCAAUCAUAACAGUGAACGUACUUUAUAACAACAAAUGUAAAUAAUUAAUUAACAGAGUAUUUUUGUGUCUAGGCUUAAUUUACAGUUUUGAGGGGUAGGAAUGCGUUCUCCAACCUCAUUGAAGCGAGAAUUCCUAAAGAAAUGGAUACUAGCUCUUCAACUAUGUAACCGCACCAACAAGUCGAAAAGUAGUAGUACUGUCACGGAGAGGAAGAAGACGAUCAAACUAUCAGCCGAAAUAGCAAUGGCCACGGCAAGAAACGGCGCCACGUGUUGGAGCCGCGCAAUCAUCGCCAAUGCGGCCAAGUCGGAGGAGGCCAAACCCUUCCUCAGCCUCCUCGUCGGCACGCAACAACAGCAGCAGUGUGCUGCGAGUUCCGGGGCCGGAAGGCCGAAGAAGAAGCGGAUGGUGACGACGAGGUGCAAGAAGAUAGUAAAGAGGAGCUGCCGGAGAAGAAGCAUUAACGUGGUGGCGGCGGCGGCUCCGGAAAAGGUGGCGAAAUGGAUGGCAAAGAGGAGGAGGAAGAAGUCGACGGAGGUGCUGAAGAGGAUAGUGCCAGGAGGGGAGUUGAUUGGCGAUGACGUGGCGUUGAUUCUUGAAACCCUAGACUACAUGGUGUCACUCCGAGCUCAGGUCCAAGUUAUGAGAUGUCUUGUUCGAGCUGCAGCUGGCUCUGGUUUUCAGGAUAUUGUUUGAUCCAGACGUCAAAGCACAAGGGUAUUUGUGUCAUAUAGAUAUAUUGUAAUAUGUAACUAUAUUAUAUACGUACGUACGUUAAGGGUUAUAUUAUAUAUAUUUCAAAUACAUAUUUUUAUACUCAUCCUUACAUACCCAUGUAAGGAUGAGAUGGUUAUUUGCGGACUAUUAGAUCAUUUUAACAAGAAAUCGCUAGUCCGAGUCCGGUUGGCCUAAUGUCAUAUAACAUUUUGAGAAAACCAUAAUGCAUAAUGUCAUAUACAUGUAUAUUUUAACUCAAUAUUAGGUUUAAAUAAUAUAAUUUUUAUUCAAAUCCGACUCCAUGCAUGUUUCCACGAUACUAAUUCGGCACAACUCUCCAUAAAGCGGUCUAGUAUGUCAUUAAAAUUGGUAACCAACUAAUGUGAUUCAAGUCUCAAUCGUGUGAAAAUCGAGUUCCUCCAAAUAAAACUAAUGCCGAAUAGGGGACUAGUGACUUAGCUUGACAGAUAGCUUUCAAUAAGUAUAGUAUAGGAGGAACAUGGUCGUCAGUUGAAUUCUUUUUAUAGCUAGAGGAGAGGGGGGGUUGUGUGAGUGAAUUAUUGAGUAUAUUAUAGGUGGUGGUGGUGGCGCCGUGACAUAAGAUAGAACAAUGAAAGGCAGAGAAGCCUUUCCCUUUCAUGUAACAGAAACCAAUGAAAGGGAAACCCAUACGAACACUCACACACACACACACACCAAAAUAUGUGUAUGUGAUCAGUUGGUAACAUGCAUAUAUAGCUACAAAUUGAUCGACAUGUGAUGGUGACAAGUGCUUUGGGAGGGGGGAGGUACGUUACAAGUCUGGAAAUGGGGAUAAUCAAUAUAUCAUGUUAAUUUGCACGUAAUGACGCAUACACCUUUUCAUGUGCAAUAUCCAAUGAAUGUGUCUUGUCCAUUCCAAUGUGUAACAUGCACAUACAUAAGCAAAGCAUCUAGCCUUACAUCGUCCUCUCAAUUAACUGCCCUUCUCAAUUAUUCUAUGUAAUAUAUAGAGUUUUGGAUUUUUAAAUCCAAAUAUAUGGAUAUAGACAUAGGGUGGGUAGUUUGAUUUUGUUUGAACUUUGAUUAAUAUAUUUGGUUAUGGGAAGAUUUAAAUUAUAUUGCGAUCUCAGAUGAUUUGGAGGGUGAUUUUAUGUUUUGUUAAGUUUUAGUUUUUUUUGAAAUUAAUUUUUGAAAUGGCGUAUUUAUAUUUUUCAAAAUUUUAUAAAGAGCACGUUUGGUAUAGGAAAAUUCUGAAUUUUAGAAAUGUAGAAUUUAUGAAUUGGAUUAAUAUUGAGAAAGUGUGAAUUUAUUGUUUGGUGUCCGAAAUUUUUACAUUGAAAUACAUUUUGAAUAAGUGCAGCAUUUGUUCAUUGACCAAAUUACCCUAUAAAAAGUGAGAUUAUGAGCAAGGAAGAAAAAGAGGAGAAAGUGGGAAGAAUAUCAAUGGAAAUAAGUUACAGUAUUAUGAUGGGUCCACUAAAAACUCAAGGAAAGUUGAAAAUGUUGGUGGUAAGCAACAUUUCUACAAAUAUAUUUUGGACAAUAAAAAUGGGUCCAAAUAAUUCCAUAUUCCCAUCCUCUCGCUUCAAUCGUCUCUCUGGAACUCUAACUCUUUCCAAGAGCUCGAAAAAUAUGUGUAUAUUGAAGUCUAUCCCGUCCACAGGGGUCUCGGAGGUAUUUAUAGGCUUCUGGACCAAGUUGGAGAAGGAAAAGGACUUGAAAACCCGUAUGGGGGUGGGACACGGCGUGCUCCAUAUGGAACACGCUAUGUUCCAUGAACACGGCCGUGUUCCUGGCCGUGUUCGACCCCUGUAACUUUCUCGGGCAAUUUCAGCGGAGGAACACGCCGUGUUCCUUCCUUAUACGGAAUUUGAUCAUAGUGUUAACAUCAAAGUUGUAGACAAUCGAAUUAUCUUUCCAACGCCGCUGACCUUGCAUCAAUUGGACUUCAGAGCGAUGAGUUAUGCUCAAAAUACUAAACAGUGACGCUUUCUUCCAAAGUCGAACGCUUUGAGUUGUUCCGGCCUCCCCAUCAUGUCUUGGUUUAUCUCCAAACGUCAUAUGACACCUGAAAUAUUACAAAAAACAUACCAAACACCAUAAUACCGCCCCGAGGGGCAAGAGAACCAAACAUGUACUCAAAACCCAAAUUUGAAUACAUUUCGACUCACAAAAAUAUAGUUUAUAACGAGAAAAGGUGUGUCGAAAAUACAUCAUAUUAGUGUGUGUGGAUCAAACACACACCCCAAUUCAACCUUUAGUGUGAGAAAUGCCUUAGGGGAAUUUCAUCAAACACUUGGUGGGAGAUCUGAAAGACCCUCAAUUGUGUGACAUGAUUGAGGGAUAGGGCGUUUGGGGUGUAAACAGUGACUUACCACCUAUUUCCAAGUGUUUGUAGUGCCUCUAAGGUAAUUUGAUCACUUAGACAUUUUUUCGAACACUUAGUGUUCAUUACCAAUUGGUUUGAUCACUUGCCAAUUGGUAGUGGUAGUCCAUUACAAGACCUUGUCUUGGACUCCUACAAAUUUCUUGAAGAGAUUCAAGCUAUAACUUGUGUCCAAUGUAUAGUACUUGUUAGUUAUUGCAGGUAUAAAUUAUUUUAUUUUCUCAUUUGUCUCGAUGUUACUUUAUGUGAGUGAUUGUGAUUUAGUAUUUUAGAUCUGUUAGAGGUACUAAUAACCAUAAUCAAUUACAGGUUCGGAUAGAUACUACUAAUUUGUCUUCAUCCGGUACUCGUAAGUGAUUCGAGGUACCGAUUUUAUGUCGAGGUACUGAUUGACAAUCGAGUAUCCGUUGAUUGACUACCGCUCCCAUCAACCAUCAAUUCCUUUACCUUGGGUCUGAUCCGGGCUCGUGUGGCUACCAGCCAGCAUGCAUUGAUGAAUUCUCGGCCAGCAUGCAUUGAUUCUAGCCGCCGGUUAUGAAAGUAAGAAAUAAAGCAAUACCUUUUCUAUUUUCAUAUAUGAAUGAACUGUCCUUUGGUUAAUAAACAAGAGUUUAAAUGUUUACCAAAAAUAAAACAAGAGUUUAAUGAACAACAAAUGCAGAAUCUAAACAUGUUUGGGGGGUUGGUUUAAUUAUUAUGUCCAUCACACAUCAUGCAAAUGAGCAUGCUUCAUUCUUAACCUAACCAAAAAAAAAUCAUCAAAAAGUAAUCAAAAGGAGAAGGAAUGGAGGACAAGCUUCAAUACCAUAUUUCCAAAAGAGAUAGUAAUGAAUCAAAAUGAUGGCCAGGAAAUGUUUCACAUUUUCUUAUAACUAAAGCGUCGCAAUGUUUCUAAUUCUAAUUGAGGAUCUAGUCCAAUUGGGUUAUUACGGUUAGUAGGGUUGUGAGAUUGGUAAUUUGAAAAAAUUCAAGAUUGAAUUUGGUCCAAGUGAAUUUAUCGGCUUUUGUGCCACAUCAGGUUUUAUCUUAUCAAGUCUUGUGCCUUUUCGGAUUCCUACUUAACAUACCCCAUUACAGAUAUGUUGGCUCUUCAAGAGAUCUGCUUGGCGCUUUAUAAAACACUUGGAUUUCCUAGCAUAUACUUAUAUUUAAACUUUAGUCCCUAUAAAAAUUAGCACAUGCUCAAAGGUCCUUGCGCCCCCAAACUCGCUACGGUUCUAUCUAACUUGUGUGUAUUGAACUAUUAUUCUCUAAUUCUAUGAAUUUCAAGUAUUAUAUUGUUUAUAUUUUAUUUGAUCGGAGUUGGAUUUUUUAUUUUGUAGUUAAACUUCUUUUUAGUACGAAAAAAGACAUUCUUUGGUUAAUUUUCUGACUCCACCAUUGAAUAAAACACAUGCUCUUUCAUAUCGUCCGGACUUGGAUGAGGCCAAUCUUAUCGUUUGUAUCAAGUCUUUAUUUUAUUUGUAUUUGUUAUUUCAAUUUCUCAAUUUCUCCCCUCGAAAGUUAUCUAUUUUCCAUUUCAUACCAGUCACGGAACAAUAUCAUUAUAUUGUUCUUUUUGCCUUGGGGCAGAAAGUUUAUUUGUUUGUGGGCUAGCAUGUGUGACAAUUAGUAUUAUUCCCAAAUCCCAACCAACAGAAAUCUUCUCCCCAGAAAUCAAAAUCUGGGUAACAGUGGUAGGUCCAUAAAUAUCACCAAAGUACACUCAUCUUCGUCUUCCUCAACAUUCCAUUUAUUCACUUUCCAACUGUUAUCUUUGUCAUCUGUCUAACUGUCUAAACCCUUCUUUAAUUCGCUCCUCAUAGAUCGAUGGGUCAUAUUUGAUUCAAGGCCAUUCAUAGUUAGCCAAUCACGUACCCGUCCGAGUUAUAAAUAUCCGUAGUUUCGAACGGGUUUGGGAUUUGGGAAUCAAAUUUUCAUCGUAUGGGAUGGUAGCUUGAUAAGCUUAUAUAUGAAAAAAUUAUAUAAUCAAUAAAACUGAGUUAACGUAGUUAGGUUUUAACCCCCAAUGACCUUGUUAUUCUUGAUUGUUAUGUCUAUAAUUAUAACUCUCCAAAACUAACGCGUAUAUUUGGCAAGCACUACGGUGACUCCACCAAAAGUAAGGGCAAUAGUUAUCUCCACUGAUGGUUUGAUGGAUAAACAUUUUUCUAACACCUAAUUCUUUUGAGGAUGUGAAUCUAAAUGUCAUAAAAGGAUACUUAGAGCGAUUUGAGAAAAAAACUAAUUCGAUGGAGAUGAUUAUCCUUCGUUUUAGUUUAAAAUGUAUCCACAAAAGGAAACUUGAAGAACAUCAUGUGUAAUCUUAUAAUAUGAUGACUAAAAUUUACAAACGCAACUUAAUUAUUAGACUUAAUAAAAUUAUAUAUGUUGAUUCUAACAUUUGGUUAAGCAAAAAAAUCACUCCAUAUAGGUCAAACAUCACUGGGGUAAAUAAUAUGGAACUUAGACCGUAUAAACUUAUAUAUGAAAAAAAUAUAAUGAAUACAUUCGGAUUAUAUUGUUAUUCUUAUUUCGAUUUAUAAUUUUCAACUCUCCAACAACUAUAAUAUAUCCAUAAUAAGAAACUAAACAUUCAAUUGACAUAGCACUUAAAACCAAAAAUCGUAUAUGUGAAAUUAUAGGUAUACACAUGAAACUAAUGAUUUAAAUCGAAAGUGGGGUGAGCCGAAACUCCCUCAUCCAUCCUAGUUCCGCUCAUGGCGACGGUGAUAAGUUAAUAUACAUUCCGUAGACUCGUAGUUAUCGUUGAGAAUGUUUGCACUUUUGCUAAGUGGGAAGAAUGAUGAUUUGCACAAGUUGUGUAGUUAAUGAACUUGUAAUAACGUUAGAGUAUAUACCAUUUUUUUAUAACGAUAUAGCAAAAUCAUUGGCCUUUCAUUUUUUAUUAUCACCUUUAGUUGUCUUGUUGUCCCUUUUGUGCUUGCAACCCAGAUCAUGAUGAUUGAGGGUGAUUAACUUAGACUUUGUAAAGUUUAUUUAUAUGUUGACAGCUUUGAUGAUGAUAGAUUCACAUUCACAUUCAUUGUAGUGAAGAUUAGCCCCAGAGAAAGAAAGGAAAACACCAACUAUGGCAACAACAGCGACAGUUCCCUCUGAGGCACAUCCUGAGACAAUGGAUUUCCUCUCAAGAGCUUGGUGUGAUUUUGCAGUUCAAACCUUUGAUCCACCUCAACACUUUCAAGACCGCAACUCCCUCCUUCUCCUUGACAACAAACCAGCCACUAAAUUCGAUAGAAGUCUUGCGAUAUCUCCGGCUUUCUUGGUAUAUCUUUCGGAAACUCGAAUUUGGUAUAUGUGCCCAUCAUGUCUCUAUGUUGAUGUUAAUUAUUUGCUUUUUUCAGAAUAUGGAGCAGAAAGGCAUGAAGAUGGAUCAUCCAGAGCUCACACCUCUACCGCCUUGGAAGUCUAACGAUUUGAAGGUAACUUAAUUCUGCAGUUUAUGACCAAAGAUUAUUUAUGAACUAAAACGAUUGAUCCUUGUAAAAUUUUGUAACAGUCAUGGAUAUGGAUGCAACAAGCAAUGCAUCCUGAACUAAACUACAGUAAGAAGAAAUGGGUAAGUAACUUUUAAUCAUGAAUGACACCAGAUCGAUUUCGACUCACGUAUGAGUAAUUUCGUUAUGAUACAAAUUAGGUGCAAUGGAAGAUGGGUCCAUUUAAGAUGACAUCAAUCAAGAAAUGGGUGAAGGAGAUGAAAUUGAGGAGAAAAGAAGAGGGGAGGCUAGCAAGAGCUGAAGUCCACGCAGCAAUGUCAAUGGCUGGGCUAGCAGCUGCUCUGGCUGCAAUAGCUGCUGUUGAUAAAUCGGAAAAGGACAUCAAUUACCGAGACGAUGCAGUGGCUUCUGCUGCAGCUUUGGUGGCCGCACAUUGUGCGAAAAUCGCAGAAUCAAUGGGAGCAAAGAAGGAGCAACUGAGUAGUGUUAUAGGCUCCGCCAUGAAUGGUGGUGCAAGUGACAUCCUUACUCUCACAGCUGCUGCCACUACAUGUAUGUUACUUUCUUCUUAAGAAAAAAUAAUAUACAAGACUUAUCUUAAUAUCCGUGUUUUUUCGAAAAAAAAUGUAGCACUAAAAGGGGCAGCUACACUAAAGGCUAGAACAGAGUGCAAGAACAGUUUGAUGAAUGGAAGUGUUCCAGUUCUCCCAAUUGAGGACAGUCAUGAACUUGACCUUGACUUCAACAAGAACAGAUCAAUGCUUUCCUCAGGCACAGAGCUUCAUGUUGAAACACCAGAUGGUACAUUCUAACUUCUAUAAAUGAUCUCAAAUUCAAGUUUGAUUCCAUGGUGGUAAACCCAAUUUUUUGUAUCAACAGGAGAUUUUCGAGUGAGGUGGAUCUCCGUCAUCCAAGAUAGCCAAGCCAAGGUUGUCCUAAGAAUGAAAAAGCUAAAUCUGCUCAAAACCAAAAUGGAAAGUAGGUUUUUUUCAAGCAUUCAGUCCUCAUUUGAGUUCGAUCUGAAAAAUUUAAUAUAAUAAUGGACACUAGCUAUAUGAUUUUUGCAGGUAUAGUAAUGGACAUUCAUGCUGAGUUGUACAAAGACCCAUAUGAAGCUGCACAAGAGACUGAUACAUGUUACCUGAUCGUGUUAUCGACAAAUCAAGGGAUGAUUAAGCUCGACAUGGGAGAUGAUUAUGAUCGUUACAAGACUUGGGCUGCAACCAUUACUCAUAUGCUAGCUCUCUCAUCUUCCUUGAGUAAAUAUGAGCUCCAAUUCUAAGUCCAAUCUUGAAGGAUCGACGAUUCGCAAUUUGCUGUCUUUUCCCAUUGUUAUGCCUCUUGAGGUCUUGUAACCAUAAUCAUAAACAUCUUGCCUAAGCUAUGUUGGAAUCAUUUUGUUCAUGCAUAUCAAAGGAAAAUCUUAUAUUGAAACACUUGUAACCAAACUCCUAAGAAUUUGACUACAAUUUUUCCAGUAGUGGCUGGAAGUUAUUGAAAACCUUGAUCAAUUGAGAAAAGAAAAAGGCUGAAACUUGGAGAACCUUUAUACAAAGAGAUUGCCAACAAUGCUAGCUACAUUGAAGGCUAGUUAUCGCAGAGCUUCAAGAGAUCUUUGAGGAGCUGAACUUUGGACUUGAGUUUGAGGAUAUGGUGGAUGGAUUUGAGAAAGAGGGUUUCGAUGUCGGUCUCCUGGUCACAUCCAGGGAUCAUCUGCUGCAAAGUUUGGACAUUUUGGUGCAGUGAAACCUUAACCACCUUCACUUUCUUCCUCACCUUCAUCUUCCUUGUAUUCAUCACUUGAAAUGUCACAGGUUGGAAUGCAGGAUAUGGGGGUGGUGGGAGGAAGGGAGGGAGAGCUUUAUAUAUAUAUAGGGCUGCCUAUGGUAUGGAUGGAUUCCAGUUGGGACAAAGCUGAGCUUGGGGAUGGGAGGGAUAUGGGAGCAAAUGUUGUUGCCCUCUUUCAAAUAAUUUGUCUUCUUCUGCACAUUUUUUCUUUGUUUUGCAUAAAUGUUAAGCAAAAGAGAAUUUAUCCAUUUGAUCAGUGUCAUUAUAAGGGACAGUUUGUGAAGCCGUAGUCAAGUCUGUCUAGUGAAAUUUAUGGUAUGGUGAUACUUCAAUCUGAUGUUGAUAACUAUAAUUCAAUACUGAUUUAAACUGCAGAAUAUUAUGGUUUCUGGAAACAAAAUGGAGUUGGAAGCAAGCUAGCUAGCUAGCUAGCUAAAAAAGGUGGGGAAAAUGAAUAGUGGAGGGUGGUUUUUGGAUGUUAAUGUGGAAGCUCUGUUGCAGGUUGCCAUUAAAAAGCAUGGGAAUAGCUAUAGCAUGGCUAGCUAGCUGGCUUUCAUAAAAAGGGAAGUUACUAAGAAUACGUAUAUUGUGAAUGGAUCAGAGAGGAAUCGAUUCCAGCAUGAUUGGAUUUCUCAAUUUAUGGGCAGAGCUGGAAUGUGUAUAGGUAGCUUUGGAACCAGACCUGGAGUUUAGCUACCUACAUGGAUGGUGUUGGUCCAAAAUUAACUGCUUGGAGGGUUGACUGCCUAAGCUCCAAUGAGCCUCUUUGGAACGUGGAUCGGCUCAUUCGGCUACGAAACAAUUUGGACUAUCAAGACUCGGCUCGCUGCAGCUGGAUUCUCACUCAAGGGCAAGCGUGGCAUCAUCUCGGAGAGCUGCCUCAAUUGAAGGGCUUGUAUCUUUCUGAUCAAGCCAACCUGUCAGGAUGAAGCUAUACCGUCGAGCUCCAAUACUAUAAGUACUGCUUUACCAUGUAACAAAGUUUGCCAUGUAACUUUCGUAAUACAAGGACAAUAGCAGUGUGGAUGGGUUGCUAGCAAAGGACAGACAUAGAGCUUAGCACUUCACUCUGGGAGACUAGAACCUCAUUGUCAGGUCAUAUCAUACAUAUGAUACUUUUCAUCGAACUAAGCUAGAAACACCAUGUUAGAUACUAAAAAGCAAAGUUAAGAGUUACAUGCAUGAAUCUAAUUGUCUUGUCUGUCCAUUAUGUACAGAAUUGCCAAUCUUGAGGCCAAGUGGGUCUCCAUUUACCCCAACAAGACUUGACAAUGCACUGCAGGUGAUGGUCUCUCUUCUCUCAGACACCAUUUACUUGCUGUGGGUUACACUGUUAUGGGCAAUGGUUGCCUUCUGAAAAUGGAAAAGAGAACAUUACUGCGGGAGACAGAAAGGAGAAAAAUAGUUGUAUAUAGCUCCGACUGUGUAUCAAAUCUAUAUGCUUAGACCUUAGUGCAGUUCAAUCACGAUGGAUGGUUAUUCGACUUACGUUUUGGUCAAUUCGUUACGGAUCGAUUUAGCUAGCUAUGUUUAUGAGAUGAAUCUUAAUCUUAUAAUCUAACGAGUUUACUAUAUAGUAGUUACUGAAUUGUGAGGUCCCCCAUUUGUGUAUGAGGCAACUUGGCUUUUAGGGUGCAGCUUAUGGAACUAGAUGUUUCACUCACUGUACCAACAGUUUGGAAAAACUGAGCAGACUUAUUUUCUUUUGUCUCCUCCGAGUGAGCUGUCCUAGAAUGAUUAGAUGGUCACAUGAGUGUCAAUAUAUAAAAACAAAGACACCAAUGCUCCCUCCUGGGUAAGGUGGUGGUGACAGCAUGGGCUUCUCCGUAAAACCAUUCCGGCGUUUAUCAGGAGCAGUGACCUAAAUUCAUGUUAAGAAACUCAUGGAUCUAAGAAGAGAAAAGGGUCUUUAGUCUCUAUACUUUACCGACUUGGUAAGUUUUCCUCCAAUUUUGUUGAUAAAUUUGUUAAAUGCUGAUGUGGUGAUUGAGUCAAUACCAUGCAACAACGCUUUCAUAGCCACGAAGAACUCCGAGGAAUACUUAAUAUCUUUCCAUGCCUGGAAAAUGUGUUCAAUAAUACCCCAUGUUUAGGACCAUAGAUGGAAAGUGUUCAACUGAACGAAUUCCGCACCCUAAUAACUGUAAAAGCACAAUGAAUUAGCAUGAUGGUGGGUGUAAUUGUUACAAAGACACCCACAAUGCUUGACAUGGCAUGUAAAAGUCAUGUGUAUUUUUAUUCGAAUGAAAUGAUAUUGAGGUGAUAUUAGAAAUUUUUAUUUUCAAAAAGUUUUUAAUAUUAUAAUUUUGUGAUAUUAAUAUCUUUAAAUAUUAUGAUAUUUUCGUUAUAAAAUACAAAAAUACUUUUAAUACCACUGUAUUGAAUAAUAUCAUACCAGAUACCACUCAUAUCAAACGAACUCUUAAACACUCACGCUUACACUACAAAGUGAAAAUAAUAAGGGGCAACCCAAUUUUCUAGAUUGCAUUGCAACGACAUUAAUAAACUCGAAUUUUCAAACCAAAUCUUUAAACACAGUAGGUUGCAACACGUUGCUAAACGGUGUUGUAUAAGUGGGGUACCUGUUAGAUUGAAUACCAUGAAAUCCAUCCUCGCCAAUCCUUUGAUAUAAACAAAUAGCGAGUUUUUUUACCAUAUUUGUCAAUUACAUGGUUGAUCGAAUUUUACCCACCUAAACCAAACGAAUUUUGAAUGAAUAAUCAGUUUUCAGACUAUCAUUACCCAACCUAUUAAGAUUUUUAUACUGGUCUCAUAGGCUACACCUCCAAUGAACAACACGAGAUAGAAUAGAAUCGAUUGAAUAAGAAUCCGCAUCCAAAUUGGAAUUUUUUCAAAAAAUAAGCCCCCUAAACAUUGGAGGUAAAGUUAGAGUGAACAACCUUAUUACUCUGUCGGCCGGAAAGCCAGAGCAGAGUCCUCCUCGCAAAAGACGGCGUCUUGUCCAAUUCCCGACUUCCCUCAUCACAACAAACCCCUAACUCGCAGCUCCUCACAACCCUAAAUGAAACGGCGCUCCGUUUCGAACCCAAAUCCCCUGCCUCCGAGCUCUCUUGUUUCUCUGAAAUAAUGUUGCCGCCGUCAAAUCCUCCAAAUUCCCUCGCCGAUUCGAUCCCACACACCGACAUUGCCCCGCGGCGACAACCAGACUUCUUCCUCCUCGUCGCCGGCGGAAUCCUCGUAAUCGGAACUUGGAUCGAAGAGUUAUCGUCCAUAACGUACUGAAACGACCCCAUCGAGUAGCACCUCCUCACAUCCACAUUGCUAAUUUCUUCCCCCGCAUUUCCCCUGUUUUCAACGUUUCUGAACUUUCCCAAUUUCACCCGGACCACCCUUUCCGGAUCUGGAAAUUCAGCUCGAAACGAGCCCAACUCGGAGCCACUCCGCCGGCCAAGAUUGCUGCUUUCCAUAUCGUUGACUAAUUCGCCGGAGCUCUGACUUCCGGACUCGAGAACCAGAACAAUCGGAGGAGCGUUGUUCGAAGAGUUGUUGGUUCCAUUGUUGAGAGAAGAUCGGCAGAGAGGGCAAGUGGAGUGGGAGAGAAGCCACGUGUCAAUGCAGUCCAUGUGGAAAGCGUGGCUGCAUUUGGGUAGUAACCGGAGCUUGUCCUCCGGCUCGAACUCCGACAAGCACACGGCGCAGUCGAACGGGUCGGACUUUUCCGACCCGGGUCCGACGAGGAUGGAUUUGUAAAGAAAGAUGGGUAGAGUGUCGAUGAACGAUUGGUCGACGCCGGAGUCGUGGAGGUGGAAGAGCUGUUGGAGUUGACCCUGCAAGGCGGUGGUGACGGCGGCUGCGCUGCCGUCGAAUUCGUCGCGAUGGGGCGGCGGGCGGAUUACGAAGCGGACUAAGAGGUGGAGAAGGCCGGAGAUGAAGAAGACUAUUGCGAGGAUUAUGAUUAUGAGGAGAAUGCUUGGGCUCACCUUGUUCUCCAAGUUGAAUGCCCCGCCGUCGACGCCGGAAGCGGCAGCGGGGAACGGUGGAUCGGUUGUGGAAAGGAUUGAACUUUCUUUGAUUUGGACGGAAACCCAAGUCAUGGUUUUGGGGAAACGGAAUGAAUUGAAACGGGAGAUUGUCUGAAGAAGAAGAAGAAGCAGGAGAAGUAAUAAAGGUAGAAGCUUUAGGAAAUAUAAUUAUGCUAAGCUAAUGAAGUUCGCAGCUAGUUAGGUGUAGAUGCAAAUGCUCACUGGAGAUAGAGAGAGGGAAGGAGUUAAUGUGGAGAGUGUGGUUUCAUGUGGGUAUUGAGAGUGAGGAGUGGUAAUUGAUGAAUGAAAGAGGGACACAGUUAAAUUUUGUUUGAAUUAAUGAUUACUGAAGUGGAAGCUUCAGAGAUUUCAGAUUUGGGAAGAAGGUCAACUAGGUUAGGAGAAGGCCAGAGACUGACAGGUGGGAGAUUUGAAUAUUGAUCAUUUUGAACUUGUAUUAACUUUUUUUAUCCAAAGUUAUCCAUAUUGACACACUAGACAUCAAAGGUUCAUUUCAAACUAGCCAAUGAGGUAAAUUUGACAAAUUUAUAUCGGAAGUAGGGUAAUGUAGAGUCUUUCCUUUUUUUUAAAAGGAAAGUAUUUUUUGCCACAAGAUGAGCAGCGCGAUUAUCCUGACGAGGUAUGUGCACGAUGUAAGCAUUAGGUAGGGAUGAGAACAAGCGCUGACCCACGGCGAGUAGGAUGCCUACGUGUGCAGUAGUAGUGAAUAGUCGGACUGAUUCUGUCGAGUCUGAAUGGAUGAUUAAAGUCGUCCGGGCAUGCAACAGCAAGAUCGAAAGUGGAUUAAAACAGAGGACCAGAGAAAUGUGGGUGCACUUGGCCGGAACCGGAAUCGAGGUGAACUACACCCAAAGCCCCGAAGCGAGCGUUGGAGAUAUAUAUAUAAUAGUCGAACUAACUCUGUCAUUGACAAAAAAUGCCAUGUUUCCGUUGGAAGAGCUUGAAGAGUCUUCGCACGCGCAAUUAGUUAGGAAUCGAGACUCUCGUUGCUCUAUCGAUGAAUUGUCACUAAAACCUUCGUCCACUAUGCUGAAAAUUACAGAGGCAAACACUCAAUAGAGUAUUGAUAUCGAAAAAAGACCAUCAUACACAUAAACUUCCAAAGACGCCACCAAAAAUACGCAAACUUCAUCGAAUCUAUCGGAUUACUGAUGCUACAACGUCUCCAAAAAGCUUCCGGGUGUUUGUGCAACGGGCGAAAAGACGGGAAAGCACAAACGUCAAGUAGGCGACUCGCCGCAGGGUACGUGAUUAAACUCGUACGAGAGAGCGAUAGGUCGGCCGUGUUGUUGUGGUUGCUCUACUUUUACAAAGCACAUGAAAUCUGAUAGGAAUUUUUAUGGCUCAGAUUUACCGAGUGUGGUCCAAUACAUGUGAAUGGAGUUUGGAGUUGGUCCUUCAUUGUGAUCAAUUAAUUAUUAUUGGUAAGUUUGAUAAUGGGAAAUGGGGGAGGGCUUAGCUUGGGGUUAAGUAAAGUAAAGGAAGGAUGACUUUCCAAUGAUGUUCGUUCACCAAAUACCAAGGAAGGAAGAGUCUUUGACUUUGGAGUUAACCAUGUGCAUCAACCCCAAUGUUCAUUCAAUUCUUCUUUCCAAUUUUUAAGAAAUUAUUAUAUAACGCCCUAUAUUUUAUUGAAAAAUACCCCAACAUCGUCAUAGCAUUUGAAAUCGUUAGUUGAAAUGACUUAAACAUCCCUAAAACAGUAAAAUUACAACUUUUUUAUAAGACGGGGACAACCGAAUAAUUAUCAUACCACUUGAAACGAUCAAUCAAAAGUGACCGUUUAAACCGUCAUUCCGCCGCCAUCGCCUUAUGCCGCCGCCGUAGCCCACCGCCCUAGCCUUGCCGCGGCAGCCCGACGAUAAGUUUAAAAAAAAAAUGUAGUCGGCAUGCCGACCGUACACCUUCGCCGUCGGCAUUCAACACCGGCAACCGUUCAAAACCGUCGGGACAAACGACUAUUUCUCUAAAUUAUUUAUAGAAUUUACCCAUUUCUGUACGAUUUGAAAAUAUUAGAGAAAUGUAUUGAAAAUGGCCCCAAGAUAAAAUUCAAAAUAGUAGUAGCUUCUUGAUGUGCAUGCAAUGCAAGAGAGAGUAGCACAACUCCAAUUAUCAGUGAUAGAUUGGGAUCCGAGCAAGCUAAUUAGGAAUUUAGUGCUGAAAAUAAGGAACCCAAACACAACUAAACACACGCGCCACUCCAGGCCGCCACAAUGGUAUACAAAGUAAGUACAACGUAACUCUCGCUGCCCGAACUACCAAUUGGGCCACCGCCGACGAGCAAACCAUAUUUUGAAUAGCUCUCUGUGUAUUGUCGCGUAAGCUAACUACUUUCAUACGCAGUUGAUGAUCAAAAUAAUUAUGAAAUUAUUUCAACAAUACAAGCGUCAUAUGUGUCCGAGGAUUUUUCUUAUUAUGUUUUUACUCAAACUUAUCAACACGGUCUAGACUUAGCAAUUUGAAAAAGAUUUCUAAUUAAUGUAUUGAUUCAAUUAAAACUAAGAUUUAAUGUUUGAUCAAAAGGAGAAUAUAAGUUUUUGGAAGGGAUGAUUCAUCAAGUUCAACUUUCUAAUAGUAGUUGAAUCGAGCAAACGUUGGACUUGGAUUGAAUAUUAUGAUUCCUCUUAUCACUCAUAUGAAUCCGCGGAUUAUGCACGCGGAUUACCACUACCAGUUUCCCAAUCAAUGUUAGAAUAACCUAACUAGGCUAACCAGUAAUGAACACCGAGAAGUUCUACGAAGUGCUAAUGUGCUCUCUUUGAAUUAAAGGAAAUCACAAGCAAUUGAAAUUGGUGUUAACUGGGUCCAUCAACACAUAAACUACUGAUAACUACACCCAACUUGGUCCAUUAGGUGCAAAUCAGAGUGCCCGACAAUUAAUUGAUGAUUAACCUUUAAAAUCAAAAGAAGCACGAAAGGUAGAAUCAAGCUAUUGGCUUACUCCACUGAUAGCUUUCUUCUAUCUUAGAUUGAUAAUCAUAUAAAUUUCUAAGUCGAUCAAACAUAGGAUUUCAUAGAUUUGACAUAAUUCACGUCGUAACAAGAACAAGGUUGAAAAACCAACAAUCAAAGCAAUCUUUCAUUCAAUUCCAAAUAUUCAACAAUCGUCGACCUAUUCUUCCUUCCCCGCUCCCUCUUUCAAGCUUAUCCGUUGCUUGUUGUUUCAAAUGGUUUGAGCUUGGAAGCAACCUGCUAUCUAUCGAUAGGCGAGAACAGACUGCUAUUGACUGCUUCGCCUUGAGAUUUGGCCGUAGAAGGAUCGAAUUGUAUCCGAGGAACAGGGGAAUACAAAAAAGUAAUAAGAGAGGCACACAGACCAAUCAAUCGUAUCGGUCGUAUUCUUGAAUUUGGAAUGAAAAGAGGAGUAAUGCUUCCUAGCACGGGACAGAGAAUAGGACCACUUAGAUCAGAAUAGCAUUCACAGAAAUGUUCUAACAUAGAGUAGAGUCGAAGAUUGUAUAUUUUUUAAAGAGAGUAUCAUAGCUCAAAUCCUACAUCCCAACCAAAGACUAGCUUAUAAUGAAAAGGUGCCCAUAAAAUUAUAAACUCACUCGUUAAUUUUAUAAUUAACAACCAUUACUAUUUUCAAGCAGCUGACGCUUUAUUUCAGGUGUUGGAUCUGUAUAAAAGAAGUAUGUGAAUAAUAUAAAUCAGCUUAAUAAUCUUUUUUUUUGGGUGAAAUCCGAGUGCUAAUACACCCUAUCCCAACCUAAUAAUCUUUUAUAAUUAGCAAUGAGCGAUUAUAUGUCAAAAGUCAGUACUUAACACUCACCUAAAAUGGGAAAAAAUUGCAAUCCUAAAUGUUUGAAUAAUAACAAAAAAAAGCCAUGUGAUCUCAUAAAAAAAUAGAUAGCUAUCACAUCAAUAAUCAAUAAUAAUAAUAAUAUAUUAACAUAGUUGUUAGACUGGUGGAAGCCAUUGAUGCUCAUUAAUAGGAAUUCUUUUACACAAUUAAUUGAAACCCAGAAAAAGGUAUGAAGAUUGAAGGAUACAUGUGCUAGUCAAUUGCCCAUCGGCAGCAACGAAAGAGGAAUCCGUCAGGCUAAGCAAAGAUCAGUUUUCAGAUCUGAUCACAAACAUCUAACGGUCCAAAUUUUAUUUUAUUUUACCAAUGCAAACUUUGUUAAAAACUCGGUAAAAUUAUUGGUUCAUCGUAACAAAAAGGCAUAUUUAAUAGAUAUUGUGUGUUUUAGUAAAUAUUCUAUCUGCUUUGUGUCUUUUCGGAUUUGUCCCCUUCGGCAUGCUCGGCCUUUUUUACUUUUAUAUAUUAGAGCUUUUGGUUGUUUGUAAGGCUUGUUAUUAUCGUUUCUUAUAUUUGAAAGAUAGACAUCAAGGGAAAUAUUGAGUUGGUUCUUUCCCGAUUCGCUCACUUGAACAGGCGUUGUGGAGCUAGCGAUGUUAUCAUCGGAAGUCUUGACCCCCUGACUAUCUAGUCCUCGGCUCCUUAUACAUGUUGUUCGACAGUCUACUAAAAAAAUUACCUAUUUAAUAAUCAUGUGACAUGCUCUUUCAUAUAUCACAAACUAUAUUGAAAUCAAUUUCACAAUUUCAAUCCAUUUUUGAAUUAUAUGAUUGAGAGCUAUCUUUAACCAAGAGAGAAGUAGCCCAACAGACCUUAUUCAUAUUCUGGUCAGGCCUCCAGAGAGUGGGCCUAUAAAAGCCUCUUAUACAGAGUUUCACAAGUGUGGGAGUUUGGGCCUAUUCCCGGAUCAUCUCGUAUCUUCAAACCCAAUUCAGAAUUAACCAUACAUUUUCAUAGAAAAAUAAUCCAGUUAUAAAAUACAUACUGUAUAUAACAUCAUCUUUAUAACCAUAAAUUUUUUUAAACCGAUCAUAAAUCACAUAUAUUGAAUUGUAAAAUACUUACUUCAUUUUAUACCUUAUAUUUGUUUUUGUGGGUUAUUUUAAUUCAGUUGUAAAGUGGAAGUCAGUAUGCAAGUAGAUCAACUUCUUUUCUUGUGGGUUAGUGUGUAGUUUUCUUGUGGGUUAGGGCAAGGGUGGUCUUUACUUAUUUAAUGGUGUAGGGUACUAUCAACAUUACAUUAACUUCUGCUUUGCUUUUAAACAUGUCUCCCUGUGUCUUCAUAUUAAUGUCAACUAGUGACUAGUUUAUGCAUUUGGCUUUGAUGAUUUAAUGUGUCCCAAUUCACAUAAACUACAUGGAUUGGAAUGUAGGUAGUCCUUGUUGUAGCUUCACCCAUAAAUUCACUUUGAAGAAGUUUGAUAACUUCGUAUGAGUGGGGAUGUUUAGAAAUUGCGAUUGUGUUGGAUGAUGAGAUUUGACUUCACAACUUCAAUAUAAGGAUGGAACAGCCGUCGUUAACCAAUUUGUUGUAUCGAUCCAUUCUCAAAUCAACCAAAAAAGAAAAAAUUUAAAUCACCAGUAAAAAUCACAGAUUCAUCAACUUCCAAAGAUCCAUAACCUCUAUUAGGUUCUACUGGGAACACUAUCAGGUUGAUUAUUUUAUAGCAAAACUAUAUCAUAGAGGCUCGAGUAUCUGAAAACAUAUCUUGACUGGUGAUGUGGAGGUGAUGGUGGUGGUGGCGGAGUUCAUUGGCGGUGUUGGAGGGCUUGUCAUAGCCAUGGUGAGCUCCAUGGGUAGGGUGGUAUCGGGAGAAUCAAAGUUUUGCAUGCUUGAUGAUUGACGUUUGGGGUUUGGGAUUUCGGAUGAUGGUUGGGAUAAAGAGGUGAGAUUUUGUGGCUGCUAUAAACGGUGGCAGAGAUGUGGGGAUAAACCCUAGUAACGGUCUAUACGAAAAAAAAUUCUAACUCUCAAAUCGACAUUCCACCUAAAUAAUUUUUUCCAUUUAUUAAAUAGUCAACUAAUCAUGUUAAUAAUUUCCAUAAUGUUAAUUGAUUGCUCAAAAAAAAUGUUUGCACUAAUUAAAUUCUAUGCAAAAUUGGUCUAUAUUUAAAGUGACUAAACAAUUAUAGAAAGAGUCGAAUUUAUUUUUCUUAUUAGAUUUUUUUAGACGAUGAGAUCAAUUCAAUUUAUCACCCUCAUCCUAAUUAAUGAAGUACCACAUAUUGGUAAUUUUCAACUUGUAAUGAACAUGUGAUUAAUUAAUAACAUGAAGAAUAGUUGCAACGUUGUUUUGUUUUCUUUUCGGUAGUUGCAACGUUGUAAAUCAAGUAUGUCGUGUUUUGUUUGCCUGAGGCUGUAUCUUGGUACGAUAUUAAGGAUAUUUAGAAUGUGAAGUUAGUUAAUCACUUUGUUAACUACUUCUUUCAUUAUAACCCGACUUAGCUCUCAUAUUACCAACCAUAUAAUGUACACAAAUUAUCCUUAAUCCCUUAUGUUGAAAUAAAAUACACGUAUAAAAUUUAAAAUAAAAUGGAGCAUACAACUCAAACAAUAGCCAACACAAAAUUAUUUUUUCAACACAAAAUUAUUUUUUAAAUAAAUUAUUGGGGAGAAGAAACAAAGUAUAUUUGUAAUAGAGUAGUUAACUCUGAAUAAAAUUAGAAUCACAAUAAAACAAUGAACGACGACGUAAUGGACUAGUACAUGAUGAGUUUAAGUGGAGAUGUCCGAGAGAAAACAAUGCUUAAAGGCUGCAUGAGUCAAAAGAGUCAUUCAGUGAUAUUGCGAAGAGGGUGGAAUUAAUAACCGGAGCUCGUCACCACCGGCGGGGUCUCUACGAAUGAUGAAGAGGCAGCGUCAUUGGCGGACCAGCCAGAGGAUGUGCCCACAUUGUUGGGGCUCGUUGAUGCCUCACUAUCAUGGUAUGGUAUUGCGAGUUGUGUGUGGUGGACACUUCUUUCAAAUCGAUCCAGCUGGUUAAUUAAGAGUGUUUUAUUCAGAUAAGAGAUUCCUAAAACUAGGAGUUUGGGACAAAGGUUUUGCAAAACCAGAUUGAAGAUUGAAUUGAUGAGGCUAUGGGUUCAGGAUUUUAUGGUUCGAUCGGGAUCUGACCGUUUGUAAAAAUCGGGUUUGACAUUUUCAAUUAUUAAAUAAAUAAAUUUAAGCCAUAUUGGACGAUUUUUUGAUUGAGCCGGAUCAAACCGGUAGUAUAGAGAGUUCAAUAUCAUAAUUGUAACUUGUAAAAAUAUAGUUAUUGAAUCAAUUUUUAAGAAGUUUCAAAUUAUAUGAAUGAUUUGAAGUUUUUACUAAUUAAAUAAUUGAGAUCUAAUGUACAAUUUACUUAAUUUAUAGUAAAAUAUUAUUUUUUUAGUGUUAAUUAGCUGUCAUAACAUUUAUAUUAUCAAUUAAAUACAUGUUUUAAUCAAAUUGUGAUAUUUAUUAUUAUCACUUAUCCUCUCUACUUGAAAGACCAUGGUUCAAAUCCCACUCUCACAUUUUUAAAAAAUAAAAAGUGUAAUCAUAAAAAUUGGGUCUAACCGGUGACUAGAUUUUGGCUCUUUGACCGGUUUGCGUUCGAACCCGCCUGUCCGAUCCGACAUUCUUAACAUGGUUCGGGAUUGCUAAGAAAGCGGUCAACCGUAGCAGUUCAUCUCACUUGUAACCGACUUUUGUUCUGAUUUUGUAUUGGAUCGUUUUUAAUUUCGUCAAACGAUGUCAGUCUCAAUUUUCAUAUUUUCGUAGCUUGUUAUUCCAAUUUUCUUUGAUAAGAUGUAUUUCGUUCUGAAUUACCAGUUGAUUUAAUGCGUUGAUGGAGUUCAAGGAAAAUGAUGUUACGGUUACAAAUUUAUAACAGGGCGUUCUACAACUGAAGGAAAUAAGGUCGACAAUUCGGAGCCAAAUUGAGCACUGUUUGUUGCCCAUAAGCAGCACCAACAACAAGAACAAGACUGGUAAACCAAUGAUUAUUAUAAAAGUAAACAACCCCCAACUCCAAGAGUUGACUGUCCCAACUAGAUUCUAUCAAAAGACAAAGCCUGCAUUGAUUGUUUUUCUUCUUUAAUUAAUAAUAACAACACAAAAACAAACAGGCGCCUUUAUCUGACACAAAAAACAGACAUCCCCUCCUCCCACAAAUUCAGGAGAAACCUGAAAAGAUUUCUUCUUUCUUUCUUUCGUUCAUUCUUCUUAUAUUUUUAUCAUUUUCCUUUGGGCUUGUUGAUUUUGCUAUCUAGCUUCAUCUCCUGGGUCAAGGAGAUUAAUCCUUGACCUGGGUUUCCAGGCAAUCUGGGAAAUAUAUUAUGAUAUUGGCGAAUUAAUCUCAGAAGAUGGGUGUGCUGUGAAUAUGCCCAAAUUUUCAUCUCUGUGGAAGAAAGUUCUUAACUCUUUUGAUCGAAAGAAAAGCUGAGGUGGAAAAGGGCAAGGGGGGAAUUUCUGAUUCUUCCCUUGCGAGCUCUGCAAAAUUAGGAAAGUUUUGAUUCUUUGGAAAGGGUUUAGGGUAAGUUGGUUUCUGGAUUUUCAUCUCAUCCUUUGUCUGAUUCUAUUGAAUUGAUUUUUUUUAUAUAUAAAAAUUUGGGAUUUCAAAGGGGAUAUGUCGUGUGUUUGUUUUGUUUUAAGUUUCUAGGAAAUCACGAGAGAGAAAGAGAGAAGAGAUCUCCAUUUCUACUAAUGUAUAAAGGCUGUCACAAUCUCUGAUUCUAAAUUUCAUCGCUUUUCUGCAUUUCCAUUCUGCCAUUUGCGAAAGAAAAUAGAGAGAGAUAAGGAGUAAGAAUUCUUCCUGCUUUGUAGUUUCGUUCGGACUCUCUCUUCCUUCUCCUUGUAUCCUUCCUCUCAAUUACAAUUUCAGGGAAUUGGGGAUUUGUAAGUAAGUAGGGUUUUGUGUCAGAUGAGCUGAAAAUUAGUUGUUGUUGACACCACUUGUUGUUCCUAUCUGGGUUUCCUUCUUUUGUUCAUAAAAUUGCUUUCUUUUUCUGUUAUUUUUUCUUUCCUAGCCACAGAAAAAAUGAAGUUUCUUAGCUUGAUGGGCAACUCUUUUGGAUGUUCUGCAUCUGGGGAGAGAUUGGUAUCCGCUGCUAGAGAUGGUGAUCUUCAAGAAGCUAAGGCCUUGUUGGAAUGGAAUCCAAGGCUCGCCAGAUACUCAACUUUUGGAGUCAGGAAUUCCCCUCUUCAUUAUUCUGCAGCUCAAGGACACCAUGAGGUGAAACAAACAAACAAAUUCCUGUCUCAUCAGGAUUCAUACAACUUCUCUGCAUUUUCAGUAUGAAAUUGUGUACUGUUUCCUUUUACAGAUAGUUUCUCUAUUGCUUGAGUCUGGAGUUGAUAUCAAUCUGAGAAACUACCGUGGCCAGGUAUUAUGAUUGACCAUUGAGUUCUUAUGUGGGGUGUAAAUCUUCAAAUCUGAUUCAUUUUUGUGGUGUGAACAGACUGCAUUAAUGCAAGCUUGUCAACAUGGCCAUUGGGAGGUUGUUCUGACUCUGAUGCUUUUUCGAGCGAAUGUGAGUGCUUAAUUUGUUACUUCACACCGAUUUGAUCUUUGUAUUAGACUUGACAGAUCAUUUUUGGAGUACUUGACUCCAGAUUCACAGAGCGGAUUAUCUUAAUGGUGGUACCGCCUUGCAUUUGGCUGCAUUGAAUGGUCACACCAGAUGCAUACGACUACUUCUAGCUGAUUACAUCCCUAGUAUUCCUGAUUGCUGGGAUUCAUUAAGAAACAGAUCUAGCUGUGAUGAAAUGAAGCAGUCCGAAUUUGAUGAAGGGUAAAUUGACUUUUUAUGCCUGUGUGUUUUAAUGCUGGAACUUCUGGUCUUGUGUGUAUGAGAUUGUGUAUGGAUUGCGUUAGGGCUCUCCAUGAGGUUAUCAACAAACCUGCCGAUGGAGGAAUCACUGCUCUCCACAUGGCUGCACUGAACGGACAUGUCGAAACUGUUCAGUUGCUUUUGGAUCUUGGAGCUGUUGUUUCUGAGGUUACUGUUGAAGAUGGAACCACAAUUGAUCUGAUAGGUAACCGUUCCCACUAUGUUUUUCUCUUUUGAACAAUGGUUUGCUACUUAAUUAUAUCUGAUUUAGGUUUUCAGCCAAUUGGACAGUCUGACUUGAUCUUGAAUCUCAAUUCCAAACUGAAAUUCAUAAUAUGAACCAACUUUUUUGGAUUGGUCGCCUAAAUGUUCUCUUGAUCUAUAAGAUGAUGAGCUUAUAAUCCUUCUUGCUAAUUUUCUGAGACAAACAGUUCUAAAACGUGCAUUCGGACAAUCUUCAGGUGCCGGAAGCACAGCUCUUCAUUAUGCUGCUUGUGGGGGAAACUUACAAUGCUGCCAGGUAAGUUCUAUAUUCCAGAUGACAUCCCUGAACACUGGUUAUAGUUUUGUAAUUGUUUGAGAUUCGAACAUGGUUUUGUUUUAACUGUAAAACUUUGUAGAUGUUGAUUUCCAACGGUGCCAGUCUCACUGCUGAAAAUUCAAAUGGGUAGAUCUCUAAACUUUCUGUUAUCACAUAUAACCAAUGUUAGUGUUCUGUAUCCAGAAUAACUAUGGGGAAAGGUUUCAAAUUUGACCUCCUUUUUACAUUUCCUUCUGAUUGCUUCAAGUUGGACUGCAUUAAUGGUUGCCCGGUCAUGGCAUAGAAAUGAACUGGAGGAAAUCCUUACCCAACAACGUCCAGAACAGCAGCAUCAGCAGACGUGUUCUUCAUCAUAUCUCUCGCUCCCCCUCAUGAGCAUCGUCAAGAUUGCUCGGUGAGUAGUUAUCCUCAAGCAAACCUGACUCAUUAUCUCAGGAGCAGCUCUACUACUUCUCGUUUUGCUUUCAUUUGCUCUUCUGGUAUUUUGGAGUUGAUAUUUUUUGGGCAAACUGAGGAAUCAAUGAUAGGCUAUGUAUGCUUCGAAAAACCAUGAAUCCUCUCUUUAACAAAUUUUGUUUGAACAUUUAUUUUCUUAGGGAAUGUGGAUGGAGGAACAACGAUUUGCUGCCAACAUGCCAAGAUCCGUGCGUUGUGUGCUUGGAAGCAACCUGCAGAGUUGCCGCGGCAGGUUCGUAUCUGCGAACCCUAUGACCACCAUCUGAGAUUAGACGAGUGAAACUUAUAAUACAACGAAAUUAACACGAUCAAAUCGGAAUAUGUUCAAAUAUAUUGCAGGGUGCAACCAUGAGUUCUGCACACGAUGUGCAUUGUACCUAUGUUCAACAAUCUGCAGCGUGAAAACCUCUCAAGGUCCAGCAGGGUCAGUUCCAUGCCCACUAUGCCGCCAUGGCAUAGUUUCCUUCGUCAAACUUGCAGGGACAAAGCCAGUGUCCAAGUCCAUGGGCAGAACAAGUUUGUCGCUGCCAUUCUGCGCAUGCUCAUCAGAGGAGCUAGAGCUAGAACCCAGCUUGCUGAAUCAACCAUUGUGCAAGCCGGAAUUCCAUUGCACGAGUUUCCCAUCUCGUUCGUCCUCAUUCCGUUCCUUGAGCUGCCAGAAGUUCCCGUUCAAUGCCAGCCGGUGUAUUGGAUCCCCAGAUACCAAUCCGUCCUUAGUCCCUUCCUCUGUCGUGGAUCCUAGCAUCCGUGAGCAGCUAGUGAGAUGCUCAAGGUCGAGGCUUAGGAAAUUGGGUUCGAACCAUGAUCGCAAAAGGUCUUGGAUUUCGACUCUCAAUCAGUAUGUAACCAUAGGGAACGGAUGCUAACCAGGAGAGGAUUCAUCUUCCUUCCACGACUCGAUCCUCCCCCGGAUAUAAUAUCAGGAAUACAAAGGACAAAGAUUUUGACAUAUAUGCCAGCAACCUGUUGAUACUAUCUCUAUGAUCACACAUGAAGAAUGAUAUUGUGCCAAAUUUUUUGUCCAAUGGUGCCGUCAUUUCUGUUUCUUAGAAUGUAAAACCUUGAUUGUUGAAUGAUUUGAGACAUGGGAUUGUAAAUAUGAGUGAGAGAGGAGAAGAUACAACAUGCAUUAUGUGAACUGUGGUACUUGGUUUUUUCUUUCUAGUACAUGCAUACGAGACAUGGGAUUGUAAAUAUGUAAAGCUGCUUCUUGUGGCUACUUCCAUAUUGCUGCUGAAUAAGAGACCAGAGAAGCUGGAAAUUAGUGGGAAGAAGAGAGGUAGAUAGAUGACGAAGACAAGGUGUACCUAACGGUGUCGAGUGAUAAAAGAAGGCACAUAACAGAGAGAGUUUGGUGUAUACAAUUAUGCAAAUGCCCUUUAAUCUUCAUCUUUAAAAUCCCAAACACAUCCCAAGUAGAAACCAAUUCCAAUAAAAUACUUUCAAAAGGCAUCCUUCACCUCCACCUCCUCUGCACCUGCAGUCUCCUCCUUACUACUACCGCCAUCAACUCCUUGUGGCCGACGCCACCUCCUUGCCUCAAUCGCCUCCUCUUUGCCACCGUCUCUACCUCCUCCGUCGUUGCAUCUUCAGCCGCCGGGACUCCCGAAUCUUAUCAAACUUCAGGCUCCGCACCGUGAAGAAUAGAGUGACAGCCCUGGAGAAGUUCGAGUGGAGAGCGCUGGAGCACGAGAGUUAGUCUUGGCCUCGAGAUUGUCCCACCUCGGGGGUAUUAUGUCAUCCCGCUUGGACGUUGCUCCACUGGAGAGGUGCCAGCCAGACACCAACACUUUUCACAUGUCGUUUGGAGAUAUGACGAUCACAUUGCACGACGUUCUUUACAUACUACGACUUCCUAUUGCGGGGAAACAGAUUAGUGAUGUGGACGGCAAGAACUAUACAAAACUGGCUGCAGAUAUGCUUGAGAUUAAUGAAGAGGAGUUGAAGGCGAAGAAGUACUAUGAGUCAAGAGGGUUGCAUCUAGAGAAGUUACAUGAAGCAGCUGCUAAGGGUGAUCUGGACGACCAAAGCACAGCCCAGUGCUACUUGAUUACUUUAUUGGGGCUACCAUUUUUGGGAACUGUAGUGGUAACUGUGGUCGUGUCGGAAUCCUUGAGGGUCUGAGUGAUAUGGAUGAGAUUCAGACCUACAGUUUGGGGCGACUACACUUGCCUAUCUGUAUAGAAAGCUGGUGAUUGCUUCUCGAGCAGAUUCUUCUUCACUAUUUGGUUGUCUGAUUUUGUCACAGUCGCGGAUCUUCGAGUACUUCCCGAUUUUCCGCUAUGCAGCUAUCCCAACACCCUGAGAGUCUGGCCAGGCCCUUGCUGGGAGGUGGGAUGGACCUAGGGCAUUUUCCAGUGGACAAGAUGCUGAGGAUAGGUUGCAGAUGCUUAAUGUGCAGCUAGAUGGGAUGACGUAGAAUGGCUUCCUUUCGAUCCCCUAGCUUUCGAUGGUGAUGCUAAGUGGUCGUUGUACGCUGGAGGCAUACACACAUUUGACAUCAUCGACCCACACGAUCCCUUAUGUGUCCUGUGAUAGUAUGGGUACCGACAGAAGAUUCCAAAUGCUACUCUCACGCCAGAGUAUGCGUGGAGACCUGCGGAUGGGGGACAAUAUGCAGUGAAGCAUUCAAAGUGCAACUACAGCAGACCCGGUUUGUUGGCGAACUUACUGCUUUUAAGCACACCCAGUGUACCUGGUGCUGCAGACGGUAAUGUCGCCCCUGAGUACAUCCAUACAUCAUUCCCACACGCGAUGCAGAUGAGCCCCCAGCACCGAUGGUUCGUAGAAUAAUUUUGUGUCUUUUUUCGAAUUCACAAACCAUGGCUAACCGAAGGCUGAACCAACAAUGAUUCUCAUGACUAAUUAACCAGAAGAUGGUAUCAAUGACUCUUUAAACUUACUCCACUUAUACAUUAAGGACAUUCAGCCAACCCAGAGAAGAAAAAUUACUAUAAAAACACAUACCACUAUCACAAAAGCACCCAUGUCCACACUGGGAGUGAAUGUGCCCAAAUUCUUGCCACGGAUAUGAAUUGCAAUGAUCGAUACCAAUUUCUCCAAAAUCUUGUUAGUUGAAUCUACAAUGUUCCAUGACUUUUCAGUGUUAACAUGCAUGAUCAUCAGCUUUAGGAUACCACUUCGCGGUUCAAAUAUCCUAUCAAAGUCACCCAAAAAUAACAAAGACUAAAAUUCGUAAUUAGCCAACAUUCGGAGCAAACCAGAUCAAACAUAAAUUAAAGAAACCUUAAAUUUCAGAAUUUAAUUAAAAAGGCGAAUAUUUGAUUGGUUCUGACGUGGCAUGAAGAUGAUAACGUAUAUAUAGAUGUUUAGAUGCUAUUCAGAUUCGAAAAGGAUAAUUCAAUCCUGAAAAAAGCCCAAGGAAGGAAACUUCAAUGGCGCUCGUUUCAUCUUCACCUCCGAUCCCUCCAUUCUCUUGCCGUAUCUCUUCACAGCCGCCGACGGCUCACAACCGUCAUUCUCACAUACUGUUCUCCUCUCCCGCUCGCUCCUUUCGCCUCCAAUCGAUCGCACCUCCAUCGGAAGUGUGCUCACCCUACGAGCUCGACAAAUCGACCGUCUCAAUCUCUGUCGCUGACUCCGACGACGAGCUCUGGGCCGCCGCCCGCCUCCGCACUCGGUCGUUCCACGAGUUUAACUCGUCAUCAUACGGCAUCCAGGUGAGCUGAUUGGUUAAAGUGGAGAGGGGUUUUGAAUUUGACUGGGACUUACGGAAGUAUCAGUUCCGAUUAGGAGCACAGGAAAUACUUAGCUGAGAAAGAGUUUGAAGCAAUGAAGGAACGGAUUGAUGGGAUGAGGCCGAUGUUUAAGAAGGUUUCUUGCAUUAAUGCCACUCUUCCGCUAUCUCAAUUUAGCGAAGUUUGCGAAGAUCUGUGCUCCGAAUGUAAGGUUUGAAUUGAUUCUCUAUCCUCUUUCUCCUUUACAACAGAAUUUUGUGAAGAAACUUGGUGGAGAAUGAGAAUUUAAUUGUUGAGUUGAAUUGAGGUGGACUGUUUAUGACUGUUUAGCUGGAAGAGCACACUGUCUUUGAAGUGUUGUGGAGAAUUUGUGAUCUUAGGAAUGGAUUAUGAAUUUGAGUGAUAAAGUCUUUAUUGUGUUAAAUUUUCUUGGUAAGCGAUUCAACUACUAUAUAGAAUGUGUUUUCACGAACAUUCUGAUUUCUAUGUCCCUUUAGCUUGUAGCUACUUCCUGGCAUUUUAUGCAUACCCUGUUCUGUUUGAUAGGCAGAUUGGUAGAAUGCAAUCUUAUUGUUUCCAAUAGCUUUCUUCUUAUAUUGUAGUUUAGUGACAAUGGUGAAGAUAGAGUGGUGGGGGGGGGGGGGGGGUCUUUUUNNNNNNNNNNNNNNNNNNNNNNNNNNNNNNNNNNNNNNNNNNNNNNNNNNNNNNNNNNNNNNNNNNNNNNNNNNNNNNNNNNNNNNNNNNNNNNNNNNNNNNNNNNNNNNNNNNNNNNNNNNNNNNNNNNNNNNNNNNNNNNNNNNNNNNNNNNNNNNNNNNNNNNNNNNNNNNNNNNNNNNNNNNNNNNNNNNNNNNNNNNNNNNNNNNNNNNNNNNNNNNNNNNNNNNNNNNNNNNNNNNNNNNNNNNNNNNNNNNNNNNNNNNNNNNNNNNNNNNNNUGAGAACGAUGAGCCGGCAUGGCAAGCCAGGUUUCUCGACCGGCCUCGAAGGCUUUUGUUGUGGUUUGGUUUGUCAGAUAUGCAAGAAAUGUUGGGAUGAAGGGGCCAGUUUGGCUUUGUUUCCACCUGUGUUUGUAUUGUAUAGCUUUCGUGCCAUGUCUCUAGCUUACGAUGUAAUCAUUUGCUGAUAGUUGUUUCGUUCAAUCAUAUCAAGUAUAAAAGAAUCAGAGAUUUGUAUCCAACAGCAUCAUUCGUUGUGUGUAUUGUGUCCAUUUGAUGUGCUGAAGCUUCUACAUCACUAUCACAAGCAUUCCCAGGGCCAUUGUGCCUUGGCGAUAUAUCUACAAUGUGUCAUCAGUCAUCAUCAAAAAGCUUCCGCUAACAGCUUCUACAUUGUUUUUGUUGAACUAAACUUUUUGGUCACUACAAAAUAGAAAGAAAAUAACCAAUUUGUUCAUGAGGGUGUGUUUGAUUCGAAUCUAAUACUUCUGAAUUACAAACAUAACUCUAUACUAUAACAACUCCACUUGGAUAAAAAGCUUCUACGUUCACAAAUGGUUAUCCCCAUCGCCAUCGGGAUAACUUAGACUUCAGCACAAAUUAAGUUCUACCAACAAAGCUCCUUGCUUCUCCAUUAGGAUUGCACAUGACAAGCACGAACCUUGCCUUGUUAUGUCUCUAGUAAACGAACCAGUGCACACCAAGUUUUGCUUUAUAACAAAGACCACUCAAACAUACAUGUUAUAUAAAGGAAAUAAUCAUUACAUUAGACAGUCAGAUCGAAAAAAUACCAGUUUUAAUACAGGGACAAGCUUAUCGCACUGACAUUUCAUUCGAUGCCUCCCGACAACCGCUAGCUACAUACAUAUCUAGUCCAAACGAGAUAGUUUUGUUUAGAUCCACCACAAUUUGAAUCUGACUCCCAACCAAACUGGAUACCUUUAUCGAGUCCCAAAUAAAAUCUAUACUUCCACCCCUACGAGAUAAAAAGUAAUAAUUCAAAUUCAAAACUUUUGAGUACUAAUAAGUUACAAACUAAUAAGUUACAUAUUAAAGGUAUGGGGUUAUUUGUGAAUGUACCAACAAAACGAUUUGUGCGGGAGAAGCUUCUCAGUUUUCACCUUCAAAGGGAGACGGCAACUCAGGAAAGCGAGGGAAAGGAGAAAGAGAGGAGAGAAGAGAAGAGAAGAGAAUAUGUACGCAGUAGCAGGAGGAGGAGGAGGAAGCGACUUCGAUGGUGGCUCAUCACUCUUUAAUGGUGGCGGUUUCAUGCCUCCCGAGACCACUCAAACUCACGAUUUCGCCGGCACCUCUUCUUCCUCCAACAAGGUAUCGUGAUUCUGCUUUCUGUAACCUGCUCCGCUCGCUUUUUCACAAGCAAUUGACACACUCUCUCAGCGGUUUCUGAAACUGAUUCUCAUUUCAGCAUUUGCGUUAUUGAACUGGUUUCUGUACUCUUUGCUUCAUAAUGACAUGGAUGGCUUUAGCUUAGGUUUUUUUGUAUGAGUGGCUUGGUUAAUUUUGUGGCUCCGAUGUACUUAGCUUUCUAUUUUGCGAAAUUUAGUUUAUGUGACUGGAAGUUUGACCGUUUGGUUUCAUACAUGAAGCUUCAACUGUUGAUAUGAAUGGAAAUGUUAAGGGAGGUCUGACUUGAUGUGGUUGAGUUACGUUGUUCGAUAGCUUAGUCUAUGUACUGUAGGUUUUGGUUUCGUGAAAUUCAGUGGAUAUGUAGUGUCAUGAUCUUUAAUGGUUCUGAAAUUCGGUUCGGAUUGUUUUUCGGCAGAAGAGUGGUCUCAAAUGCCUGCUGCCACUUACUGUGAAGCAGAUAAGCAAGCUAGUGACUUCUGAUGACUCCAAUUUCACUUGUGAUGGUGUUGACGUUACCAAUGCAAGGACUUAUUUCAUCAUCCUAUUUUUCGAGCGUUCUUGUUUACUUGCUGGGUUUAUGAGUUCUAAGGUUAUACUAGGUUGUUAUUGUUGGGAGGGUAUGUAAGAAGGAAGACAAAGUGAGUGAGUACACAUGCUUGAUUGAUGACGGCACAGGGCAGAUUGAAUGUUCCAGAUGGUAAGCUUCGAAUGUUCUUGGAACUUCUCUUACUUCAUUAUGGUUACAUUACAUCUUCAGGUUGUAAUGUGCUUGUGUUUUUACAGGAUUCAGGAAUCCCUUGAUACUGAAGAAGUUGAAGGAAUCUCGUAUGUCUCUGUACUUUGCUUAGAUUUUUUUUUAAAUUUGGGUUUAAAGCAUUGGAAAAGUUCUAAAGUAUUUGGAUGAAUGCAUUAAGGUUACUCUAUUGAAUUGAUUUGUUUAACCACAGAGUUGGAUCAUAUGUGCGUGUACAUGGACACUUUAGGGGUUUGCAAGGCAGAAGGUUCAUAAAUGUCUUCUCUAUUAGGUAGGUAUUGGAUUCCUCACUCAGUAGGUAACCAUAAUUGGUUAGGUAGUUUCUCUUUGCACAAUGUCGUGACUUCUUGUAUUCCUGUGGUUUCUAGGCCUGUCACCGAUUGCAACGAGGUUACAAGCCACUUCAUCGAGUGCAUAUAUGUCCACUUCUACAACACCAAGAUUCGAGUACUAACACAGGAUCAUAAACUUGAGUUUCCAAUUCCUUAUAGUUAGUAAGAAACUUUCUACACAAUCAGUCUCAUGGAAAUCUUUAUGCAACAGGGUGCCGGUGCCACUCCCCAGGCACAGCUGCCAAAUCCCACCGGACCAAGCAACAACCUUCCAAGAGGGAUGCAACCUGCACCGCCUGUCCAGGUCUGUUUAUGUUACCUCACAAACUCUCGUGUACAUAGAUUUGUCAUAUCGUCAUUAAUCCUCUAAUUGGCUUCUCAGAUCUCAGUCUGCAGCUUAUCAUGGCGGUGAUCGGAUGACCAACCUUGGGGAAAAGAUAUUGAAUCUAAUGCAGCAACAACCUUACGUGUGAGUAAUUUAAAAAAUAUUUCAAACUCUCUUACAGAAUGCAACAACCUUUUGCUGAGACCUAAGCCACCAACCUCGAGCUCUUUUGAUUUGGUUCUUGUUCAGGGCUAGCGAAGAUGGAAUACACAGAGACAUCAUUGCUCGUCAGCUACAAGUUCCAAUGCAUGCGAUCAUGUUUGUUUCUUCAUCGAUGAUCUCUUUACCUUUUCCGAUAUUAAUACUUGUUACAACCUUUCUUAACAUCAAUGCUGUUGUGGGGUUAUUUGGUACAGGCCAGAAAUGCAAGCUCUUAUCGACAAUGGAAUUGUUUACUCAACAAUCGAUGAUGACCACUACAAAUCAACAAUCAAUUGUUGAGUUUGAAUGGCAUUGGAACUUUUGUCUUUUGAAUCAGCUCUUCUGUUACUGUUAAUAUUCCUUCAUUAGCCUUUGGGGAGUUGAGUAGCAAACUUGGGUUAUAGUUAGGGGUCUCGGACAAUUGGUUUUUAUUAUGUCGAUCUACUCGAAAUCACCUGGUCGACUCUCGGACAAUUGGUCGACUCGCUGAGUUGAAAUUAAUCAGUUUGAAUUUUGCAAUUUGUAUUGGAUUCAUAGUCACAAUAGGUUAUGGCUUCUGGGUAUUUUUGUAAAAUCAACUGUUAAUAGUCUCUCAAAGUAUAACAGGUCAACAACAAAUAUUUUCUGAAGGUACACAUAAAAUGAAUUACCUAGAGGUGACCCGCCUGACGGUUUAAUCCAUCUCCAGGGUUGCCGGAGUCUGGGCAUGGCUCCGGCAACCUCUGAUCCUUUCACGGCCGGGUUUUCUUUCUUUUCUUCCUUCUUUUUUUUUGUCCCUCGAACUCGAGUCAUGUUCCGUUGGUUAGGUAUGUCUUUUUGACAAAUUAGAUCCUGCAAGACCACAGAAUAUAACAACACUCGUUAACAAAUGAAGUAGUACAAAAUAUUAAAACAAAAAUUCUGGCAGAUUUAGGGUUUAGUUUGUUAUUCGGUGUAGUCAAUGUUUAUGAUUCCAGCAAACUGGGUUACCAAUGGUGGCAAAAGCUUCCUUGGAAAGAUCCAGCGUCGAAGGACACCCAUAGGGCAAUGAUCUGUAAUCGUGACCACAACUUCGUUGCCAGUGCAAGGAUGCGGUAAAGAGGGCCGCAAGCGAGCCAAACGGUCUGUGAUUAGUUCGGCGUUCGGUUUUGAAAAUUUGGGCUCGUAACUCGAAUCAGUUCGAAAAAAACCUGUUUGUGAGCCGGCUCGAAAGCUAAACGAAUUGAACCCGAGCCGGAAGGUAUUCGGCUCGGAUGAUUCGCAAGCCGGCUUAGCUCGUUGACCAUAACUGUCCGUCGCCCGAAUUUAACGAGUUGCGGGUGAGCCCGAAACCGUUAAAUACCCAAAACGCGACGGCCUUCUGCCGAGCCUACUAAUCAUAUCAAUUGAGGAGACUCUGUUUUUAUUUAUUUUCUAUGGAGCAAACUGAAGAAGUCAACAAUAGUCAAAAUCAAGGGGUUCCAAGCAACGGGUAAAAAGCUCUCCGCAGAGACCAGAGAGCGAUCCGGACAGUCGUCGAUAGCGAUCCGAAGAACCCUUCUAUGAUCGUUAUCUCAGCUACAGUCAGGAAACAUGUUAAGAUUAGUCUGUCAUUUCUUUUUCAAACUUUGUUAUGUAUAGAACGUUGACUACGUUUCUGAUCUUUCAUUGUUUGGUUUCUGUUUCCUCUGAUUCUGUGGUGCUAAAUUGUUUCUUUUCCUUCUCGAAAUCGCAGAACUUUUUAGCCAAGAUCACAGACAGCAGCCUCAUUAAUGAAGAUUUGUCGAAGGCAACUCUACGUGUGUUCUACAAAGAGGAGGUGGACGAGAGGGAGGCUACGCUGUUCGAGGCGAAACGGGAUCGGAGGAAGUAUAUAUCGGGGUGGAUGGCGUUCUGCACGAAACAUAAGUUGAUAGUGGGAGACGUCUGUUUGCUCGAACGUGUUGACCCCGAAACUAACCUCUUUAUUGUUCGCAUAUUCCAUGCGGGUCGUGGUUGAGGUUUUAUUCGGAGGUCAUUUAAGUCUGUGGUUUGUAUAAAUUUGUUUUAGAUGGACUUGAUAACGUUUUAAGACGAAGUAUUUAAGUAUUGGGCAAGCGUUACGGUGCCUCCAUUAAAAAUGAGGGUAAUAGUUACAUCCAUUAACGGUCUGAUGGGUAAACAUGCUUCUAAAUCUUAAUUUUUUUGAAGAUAUGAAUCUACAUAUUAUAAAUUAAGCGAUUUGAGAAAAAAAUUAAGUACCAACUCGUUUUGGGUUUAAGUACGAGUACGAGUCGAGAGUAGUCACAUACAUAUAUAAGUAUAACAAUAAUAUAAUCUCAAGUCUCAACGAAAGUAAAGCCGUUUAUUUGGCUGGCUCCAGAUUCGUACUCGGAAUGGUUCUAACGGUUGGACCAUCUCGAUCAAUGGGUUGACAAAAAGUCAAAAAGAAUACAACUCUCGCCGCCCCCGGAAUGAGAAAACCCAAUCUGCACAAUCUCCCAAGAGAAACCGCCCACACACCCCACCCCCCCCCCCCCCCCCGGGCCCGCGCGCCCGGCCACCAUCCCCCGCCUCCGUCGAAGCCGAACCAGAAGCUUCUCUCCAUGAUCCUGAAAGCCCUAAUUAUGUUCUUCAUAACCACUACCUUCUGCUUCUUCCUCGGCGUGGCCGCAAUCCUCCUCCUGAUCGCAACCUUGGCCUUCCACCGCCACACCAAAUCCAAUCCGUCCGACUACCUGAAGAAACUCCCCGAUUUCAGAUUCCCGAAUAGGACGAUAUCGGAAGAAGGGGAGGUCGAGUGCGUUGUUUGCCUCGACGGGAUUAAGCAAGGGCAAUGGUGCAGGAUGCUUUGCGGCUGUGGACACGUAUUCCAUCGCCGAUGCGUGGAUACUUGGCUGUCGAAGGUUCCCUCUUGCCCGAUUUGUCGCGCUAGGGUUCAAUUAGAUUCAGGGAGUUGGGCUCAAGAAAGGAAGCCUUGUCUUGGUUGGAUUGGAAGAACAAGUUGAGGAUUGUGAGUCCUUUUUUUUGUCCUUUACAUAAUUUCCCCCCCUUUUCUGUCUAUAUAUUACCCCCUUGUAGUUUGAAUCUUUUUUAUAAAUGGAAUGGUUGGUUUCUGAAAUUGUGAUCAGAUUUCAGGUUUGGAUUAGGUUUGCAUGAUGAAUUCGUGUUUGUGAAAUUGUAUUAGGGCUGGAUCGUGGAAGAAUCAUGUUGAGUUUGUACGGACAUGGUUUCUACCAUGAAGCUUUGAGUGGUUGCUUAGGGAAUGAUUGGUUUUGCUUAUUUUCAGCUGCAUAGUGAUUUCAAUGAAGAAGAAGAAGAAGAGAUGUGUAAAGAUGUAGGAUUGGUUGGUCAGAAUUGAAAUCGAGUUCGCUGCGGGAUUGAAAUCGAGUUUGCUUGGAAGCUAAGGUAUAAUAUGAGUUAGAAUUGGAGGAGGAGAACUGUCUGCCGAAGGUGGGAAGUGCUGUAAGACAUGAACAUGUGUAGUUGAGUGUUUUAGUGUUGAAGCUUUUGUCAGUUAAUCACACGAGGACUGAAAGCAAUGUGAUAUGAUGGGAUUGUAAUGAAGUACCACCCUAUUGGGAACUUUUCUGGGUUCUUGCUUCAUUUGUCUUUUAGCAACACUCAAGAGAAGUAGCUGCAUAAUAAGUUAUUUCUGUCAAUUGCAUGUAGUAACUUAGUCUGGAUUUCUCUUUGAAUUCGAACCGUAAUUGGUUUUCUAUCUUUCAACAAGAAAUGAGUGAACGGAUGGUUGGGUCUAUAGCAGACGGUUGUCUUGUCUGAUGCACAUCGCAGAAGUUUACCAGUUUUCCAUCUCUGCUAAAGAUGAACUCACAUCCCAAAGUAGCAUCAGAUGUAAUGGUCUAGGUCCAGACGUAAGAUUAACAACUCACAUGAUAUGAUGAAUUUCAAGAUAUACGGAAUCAAGAUAUUCUGUACAGUGAAGUGCAUCAUUCUAUUUGCAAAAAAAAAGGUGCAUCAUUCUUUCCGUUGUCGCCAACAACAUCUGAUGCUGGUGUUGAUAUGGACAUCUGGUGAUGUUGUGACACCUACAAUAUGUGCGUAAACGUACAUCAGUAUGGUAAUUUAGGAAAUCUUAACAUAAAAUGUGUACUUACAGGAUGUAAGAAGAGGAUAUAGCCAAAGAUGCAACCCGGAUACGGUUGCGAGAGCUGGAUUGGAAAGAUGGUUCAGACAGAUUGUGGGCUGUUGGAUCAGGCUACUUUUGGUUCAAUGUUCAUCCAACAGCUGACAAUGAGUCAAAACGAAUUGACAUGAAUGGGGUAGUUUUGGAAAAAAAACAGAAAUAAGCACAUGAAUAUGGUCAUUGUACGGGCAUGUUAUACCGCUAAUACGGCCAUUUUAUGGGCUCCUUAUGUCGUUGUUACGUCGACCUUACGAGUAGUUGAAUUCAUUAUCUUUAUGUCCAAUUUACAACUCUUUUAUGUCGGUGAUAUAUACACUUUACGAGUCUGUUAUGCAUUUUUUAUUAUAUCUUUUUAAUAGGUUCAUUAUGUCGACUUCAUAUGUAAAUUGUUAUAUCCUCGUUACAUCAUUGUUAUAUCAUUAUUAUAUCUAGUUUACAUGAGAAGAGGAGAGAGAAAGAAAAGUUGAAAGAAAAAAUAUUUGUUUUAAUUCCUUUAUACCCCUGACAAAAAUCUAACCAUUUAGAUUAAAAGUUGCGAAAAUAAUUAGAAUCGUCGAAUUAGCCGUCGAAUACAUCCAAAAAAAUAACCCUUUUGGAACCAUGGCACUUUCGCCAAAGAUGACACUUGAAAAGUUCUCCUCCAUUUUUUUCAUUUGAGAUAGUUUUUGUAUUNNNNNNNNNNNNNNNNNNNNNNNNNNNNNNAAUAAUUAUAUUUGGAUUAUACACUCCAAAUUGUAUUUCUCAUCCACAAUGUCUUGACAUUCUUGCAAAACACACAUAUUUAUAUUAAAAAAAUAUAAUAUAUCUUUGGAAAGUAUUUAAGUUGUGUUAUCAAUGGAAACGACAUAAAAUAGUUGCCUAUUUAAAUUGGAAAACACUCCAUAUUUAUCACUGUGAUAUAAAGAAAUAAUAUGUCAAUAAAGGAAACGAAAUAAUCACAAUUGAUUUUUUUAUGACAUAGAAUACCUUAUUCGGUCACCAUAUUGAGUGACGUUAGAUUUAGGUUAAACCCCACGGCACACUAUCUUAUUUACUCAGCCGAAGUUGGGUGUAAAAUGCUUUAGAAAAAAUCCUCAACAAAACAGUAGAUCAAACCUACACACUCCCAUUUAACAAUCUCUUUGUCAUAUCACUGAAAUACUCACUGACAUUACAAUUAAUUUAUAAAAUAAUAUCAUAAUUAGAAUUCAUCUUAGAUACUGCAGGGGGAAUAUCAGUUGAAAAUUAUUAUAAAUAAAUAGUUAAAAACCUUUAAAGUAUAUACUCUCUAGUUUAGUGACUCGAAGUCUUCUAUCUGCCAGGGAAGGCCAACCAAAAGUGCCUAGAGGAAAUGAUAUUUGAAAACUUCAAGGUUUGAAAUGAUAAUUAAUUAUUUCAAAGGGUUAUUAAUAUUUUGUAAUUCUUUGAAAAAAUAAUAAUAUCUAAGUAUUUAGAAUAAUAAAAACUAGUAGAAAUAUAGAAAACCUAGUAAACUCUUGAAAUCGAAGAAGCAAAAUCUUGUAAAAAUAUACAGAUAAUUAAUGGCUGAGGUUGGUGAACACGUGGCGUUAGCCCUCGCAGCAGUUCAAAUACGAUUUUGCAAUUGCUGGUUAAUCCUUCCAGCGAAUAACAACUCGAAGCCUUGAAGAGUCUUGAAUUUGAUGGUAUUAUAAAGGUGAAGAUCAAACAAAUUGGCAACUAUUUCAUGAAGUGGAUUCUGGAUAUCUCCAUUUAACUUUUAAUUGGUGUUAGUACGAACUUUGUUCUUGAUAAUUUUUCGUAAUUUUAAAUGAGCAUCACAACACUACGUCAACUGUAUUGUAACGUGCUCAUUGCGACACGUUCGUCAGAUCGAUGAAGAUGAUGAAUGUUUGAUAGAAAGAGUUUAAAGUAACAAACAUGAAUAUAAACGUAAAACAAAUAAUUUAACUUUAAUUUUUUUUCUUCCUUUCUUUUCAUCUCAACUCAUUCACCCCUUAAAUACUAAAAUGUUCCAAACCCAUUCAUCCCCUUAUAUAUACUUAAUAAAUAAAAUACAAUAAUUAAGAUUUCGACCUCUUUAUAAAUACUAAAGAGAACGAACCUUGAAACCAAUAAAUUCAUGCACGUAACACGCAUCCUCGAUGUAUUUUGACAUUUUUUGUAUUUAGCUAGUGAAUGGUAUAAUGGACUAAAUUGAAAUGUAACAUUUAAUGUAUGAGUUGAAGGGUAUGAGUUGAAGGUAUAACAUGUACUAUUAGACAAUAGCAUAACAAGGAGGUGAAAUUUCAAAUUUUAAGGUGAAUUUUAAAACACACUAGGGGAAAUAAUCAGCAAAUUUUUAAUUUUGACAAUUUAAAAUAAGAUUUGAUCAAUCUAAAACCAUAUUACCCUAGAUGGUCGUUCAUGUUGGCUCAUUGUUGGUUCCACCACUGCUAGUAGAGACUGUAGUACUAGUACAGGUUCACACAAAUUAGGAACAACUACUAAUUCCGAAAAUGGAAUAAAUUUUCGUCAAUCCAAUUUCUCUAAUUCCAGAAACUCUAUAGAUGAGGAAUUCUCACUAAUUUCGAAUGAUUUUUUAGAUAUUUUUAAAAAAUCGAUCAAUCCACAAAAACCAAACUAGUUAUCGGUUAAUGUAAAAAAUCCUAUGUAUUCAUUUACGUUUAUGAGAAGAUUUGAACCUAGUUUAGACCCCAUUUGGACUAAGUUGAAAUUUGUACAAUUCAUUCUUAACCAUCAAAUAAGAAAUAAAAUUAUUAAAUUUAUGGUUGAUGAUAUACAUGUAGAAAAUAUUGUUAACAGUUCGGACAAAUAAUGUAACAUAUACCAUGUUCAAAACCUGAAAAUUAAACUGGUCAUGUAAUACUAUAAAAGGUNNNNNNNNNNAAUAUAUUUUAUUAUUUUAUGUUAUUACAGACCCCACUCAACAAAAAUCUUUUUUCGUCAUUGAAUGUGCCACAUCAGAUGAAGUGCGUCCAAACACGACGUUGAUUUAGUCAAUUUAACGAACGUUUGGAUGGGGAUAAAUGACGAAAAAACGACUAAAUUACUUUUAAUACAAUAAAAAUAAAUUUAUGAUUUAAUCCAAACAUAAGGAACGAUUUCGGCCCAUUAACUCAAAGGUAAAUAGUCAUUAUAGUUGUGCAUUAACAAUUUGUUUGGAAUACUUCAUCCUUUAAUUAUCAUCUCCUUCAUCCUUGAAAGACACGAACACACUUCAUUUAAUCAUAAUGUUCCACUUGGAGCCUACAGUAGCCUAUUUUAGUAACUUAUCUCAUGCCAUGCAAAGUUAAUUUUACAAACUUUUUUAACUGUUAACUGUCCCCUUUUGCUUCAUGGUAACAAACAAACAACCUCCAACGAGAAAUGUUAAACUAACUAAUUAUUAACAAUCAAUCAAAACACCUCACUAAUGGCCGCCGACGGAACCAAAUCUCUCUCCGUCGACCUCGACCACCGCCACAUAACUCAUCCAAUCACAAUCCUCAUCGAAUCUUCACAAAUUCUCCUGAGAAACAAACGCAUCUUCCUCUCCAUCACCCUGUUCCUCUCUUGCCCUCUGUCGUUCCUUCUCUUCUCCCUCAAUUUCUCCUCCUUCAGCCUCAAAUCGCAGAUCCUCCGCCUCGAAUUCCUCGCCACCAUAGCUCCUACUCGCUACGAAUCUCGCCAGGUGUGGAGGAAUCUCGCGAGGUCUUUCUCUCCCUGCUCCGGAUCAAGCUCGUCCACCUCGUCCCGGCCAACCUCGUCGCCAUAUUGACAGCCAUCGUCGCCGUCGAUUCUGCCGCCGGCGUAGGAGGUGGAAGGAAAUACCCGGCGACGAUCGCGGCUGUGAAGCAUGCCUGGACGAGGGUGUUGGCGACGUCGAUCUGUAUGUAUGCGGUCUCGUGGAUGUAUGCCGGUGUUCCGGUUACGAUGAUGGCGAUGGUGGCCGGCGAUGGAGGCAAAGGGAUCCGGUUUGUGAUUUGGGUGGUCGGGUUGGGGAUGGAGGUUUAUUUGAUGGCGGUGUUGGGGAUGGGAUUGGUUGUUUCUAUCUUGGAGAAGAAAUCCGGGUGGGAGGCCAUUCGGGUCGGGUUCGACUUGAUGGACGGGGCACGGGUUUGCGGUUGGAUUUUGUCGGGUUUAUUUGCGGUCGCGACUGGGUUGGUUGGGUGGGCGAUGGAGUUGACGGUGGUGGACGCCGGCGGCGAUGAUGCCAAUGGGUUAGCUGGGGAAUUGAUGAGGUGUACGGCGGUGGAAGGGUGGGAGAGGUUGGCAUUGGUGGGGUGUUACGCGGUGGUUGUGGUUUCGGGGUUUGUGGUGAGUACCGUGUUUCACAAGGAAGUUAGGAAACGACACAGGAUUAAAGAUCAAGUGGACAAAAUUUUAGACGCAUGACGCGAUUAGUUUUAGUUCAUUAGUUACUUCAGUUGUUUUUGCUGUAUAUCUUGAUUUCGAAUUACAAAAUUUCGAUUUACCCCGACAAAAAAAAUGCAACAUAAUUAAAUUUUUAAAACAUACAUGGAGGGGAGGGGUCGCAACAUUUGCAUUUGAUUGUUGUUUGUAUAAUGUAAUAUGUUUGUAUCAACAAUUAAAGUUAGAGAAGGAGUUGGUUCAAUAUAAUAUUGGUAAGUAAAUGAUGAUAAAUGAAAGUUUGUGCAAUUUUGUCCACAUUACAUUACGUAGGGUUUGCAAUUCUUACCGUUUAAUCGUUAAACCGACCGUAUUUUCAUCGAGUUUGACGGCUAUUAAUCGCGUUGACUGAGUAUUUUGUGGUUAUGGUUAUAACCGUUAACCGCUACGAAUGGGUAAGGUUAGGUUAUGGGUUUCGAAGUAACCGCACCAUCACCGUAACCAUACCCAUAACCAUCUCCAACCAUAACUUACCCUCUAUUUACCCGUAUAUUAUUAAAGUAAUAAAGCCUAAUACCACUUACAUUAUUUCAUUUUUUUCACCAAACUCAACUAUUUACUUUAACUCUCAAACUUUUGUGUAAUUGCAAUAUAGUCACUCAAUUAAUUUAUGAAGUACGGUUAACCGAAACUCGAUGAGUUAAAUUAACGUCAAUUGAUUACGAAAUUUUCUUGACCGCCAUAUAAUAUAAAUGAAAAUAUAGUAGACGACUUUUCUUCAGUGUGAUAGGCAGCAAGAAGUUGACUCAGCAGUUAGCAUCAUGGAAAUAGUCUUUUCCUGACAACCAUAUAAAAUAUAUUCCAGAGGAAAAAAGAAUAUGUAGUGGUCUUAAAGUCUUCUUCUUCUUUCAUCAAACUUUGCAGAUUACUAGUUCUGUUUUUGUCGUAAGCUUCAUUUGAUCAGCAACCCAUUUCAAUGGAGAUCUCUUGGCAUAAAGGGUUGGUUUCCAUUUUAGCACAAACCUUCAAAAUCUUCCCUAAAAAUCCAACCUUCAUUUCUUGGAUUACCAUACUCAUCCUCAUCUUCAAUUCUUUCAUCUACUCAAUCGUCCUCGUCUUUUUCAAGCUACUAGCCACCUCCUUUGAAAAAAUCACGGUCCAUUUCGACCUAACAAACUUCCAUUCAACCUUGGCGACCAUCAUAACCUAUGAGUUGGUACUUGCGCUUAUCUUAUCUCUCUUUUCUCUCUUUGUCGCCGCAUCCACAAUCCUUGCUACCGCCGUUACACAUAGAGGAAAGCCCAUUGUUAUAACCGUAAGGAUACUGUUUCGGAAGGUAAUAAAGUCUUGGAAAAAUCCCGUUUUGACUUGGAUUUACACGACCCUUUUCAGUCUAGGUUGUCUAUGUCUUGUUUUUCUAAUCUCGUAUCCUUUUACGCUUGCGUUGAGUCUCAACCCACGACUUUUAUCCGUAAUAAUGCUUGUUUUCACCCUCUCGGGUUUGGUUUUGUACCUAUACGUCCAAGUUGUGUUGAGUUUAGGGCUAGUGGUUUCGGUCGUGGAGCAGGAGAUUCGCGGGCUUGAAGCGAUUGGGAAGGCGGCCAAGGUUGCACAAGGGAUGCGGCUACAUGGCCUUGUCAUGAAUAUGAUGUUUGGAGUGGUGGGUUGGGGUUUGUUCAGUUGUUUGGUUUGGGCCGGUUUUCAGUUGCCGGCGGCUGGACAAGUGUCUGUCGGGAUGGGGUUGGCCGGCCUUGGAAGUCCGACGGUGGGCCAAUCACUUGUUGGGUUGGUAGUGUUUAAUGGGUUUUGUUUGAUGAAGAUGUUGUGGUGGAUGGCUUAUACUGUUAUGUUCUAUGAAGGGAUGAAGAGACGUGGGGAAGAGGUUGUUGAGAUGGUGGAGGAUGUGGAGUACACUAAAGUACCCAUUGAAACCAUGGUCUGAAACUUUUCAUGACAGUUAUUGUUCCUCGUGCAUGACGACUUGGUUUCUUUGUGAUGCUGAAGUACUGUUCCUAUAAGUGAUGUUUGAGGAGAAGAUUUGAGUUCCAAUUUGUAAUAUAAAUUUGUGAGUCAUGUCAUGCUACUCCUGUGUGACAUUAAGGUUGAUAAUAAUACAUAAUUUCAUUUGUCAUUGAUAUUCGUACGUAUGAUUCUUUCAACCAAUUUUCAUUGUGAAAUAACGGAUAUAGUCAAUUUCCACAUCAAAUAAUCGAAAUAAACCACUUACGGAAUGUAAUGAGAUGCUUUGUUGGCUGCCGAGUUCUUUUCCAAAUUGAUGAGGCGGUGGGGUUGGCUGUUCAUGAUGCGAGAGAGGUGUUGUUGCAGGGUUUGGGACGGACGUAACCAUAACUCAUUGACUUUUUAUAACGUAACUAGUCUGGAUUGGGAUCGUUAUCCACAUAUUUUCUCAUUGUUAUCCUGUUCAACAAGGAAGAAAAGUCAAAAAAAAGCAAGGGGUUGUUUGGUAGAAGAAGACUUAAUUAAAAGGAACCCUAGCUAGUAGCUUGGAAUGAAUACAUGAGAAAGAAAUAUGGUUUGGUGGGCAACAGCCGACAAUGCUGCCCAUUUGCUAAUUUACAACCCACAAAACAUUAGUUCUAUAGUCCAACAAAACCUUCCAACAAUCAAUGGAGAAAAAAAUUUGAACAUUUCCAGCUAUAUAUACUUUGGUUUUGUUCAAAGUUUGACUCUCUUUACUUCUUGUAGUCCUAAUCCGUAAUUUUGAUCCAACUCUUUGGUGUACCAACUUCAUUGUCCUUCAAAUUUGGGUGGGUGACAUACUACUUAAUUACUUACUAAAGUAGGUUUCAUGCUUUCCUUGAGAAUACACUAAAUUUUAAUUUGCAAAGAGAACUCGGGAAAAAUCAUGGAAAUUAUUGUUGAAGAAGAACUUCUUUCUCUUUCCUCGAAAUCGGGCUUUUAUAUAGUAGUUGCUGGAUUCGGGAGGUGCACACCGUGCACCCACUUUAGCUGCGAGAGUAAUUCCAGCUUUAGAGCCUGCACAGUGUGCACAAAUGCACGCCGUGCACCCCUUUUAGCUACGAGGGUAAUUCAAGUUUAGGGGGUUGCACGACGUGCAUCCUUUUUUCUUCACCAAGUCUUGCACCAUCCUUCCGUUCGAGCUCCAAGUGUACUUUAUUUCAUGUCCAUAGCUUCAUAGUCAUACCAUUUGUCUCUAAAAUACCUGUGGAUAACAAAUACUACAGAGUAACACAUCAAAUAGACCGAAACGGUCCAAGUGAACGGGUUAGACACACAAUGCCAAGACGCAAAACCAUACUGAAUUGAAGCAGAAAUGAGCUAAUAUUCACUUUAAAAGCAUGUAAAUAAGGAUAGAUAAUCACUACAAAUCGUAACACUAUCAAUAAUAUUUGAUAAACAUUACUUACUUUAGUAAUUAACAUGAUUGCAAAUUAAAAUUUAGUGAUAUUUAGUGUAUUUAACUUAAUUUCUGAUUGUGCUUUUGGAUUGGUUUAUUUAUGGCUUAAAAAGUCUGCCCACCCCGUGUUGUGUGUGGGUUUCGUGUUGUUUGGAUGAGAUGAAGUUUUAGUUUAGCUUUUGUAUGGAUGAUGGGCUUUUAACCCUUUGAUCUGUUAUCGAAGUUAUUCAGACUUAUGAUGUGUUCUUUCUAAACCUAAUUUUUUAUUCAAUUUCGUUUGAUCGCCUUAAUUGAAUCAUCUGCAUUGAUUUGUGGGUCCAAGAGGAACAUAGAUUGAUAGGUCGCUUAGGAAGAACUCUAGAUUAUUCGUUAGCUCGAGAGGGGAACGGAUCGUUUAUGCUUUUUGCAUCAUUUAUCGUUGUGGCAUUUCAUCGAACACCUUUAGUGCGUUUUGCUAGUGUAGAUUAGCUAUAGAGAGGAGUCUAUAGUUAAGCAGAAUAGAUUCUUAGAGGCGCGAGAGUGAUCAUAGACUAUCGUAGGAAAUUGCCAAGCCAUUAUAACCUGAAUAAUUGAGAUAACUUGUCGUUCAUCCAUGCAUUGCUAGCUUUAGUGGAUUNNNNNNNNNNNNNNNNNNNNNNNNNNNNNNNNNNNNNNNNNNNNNNNNNNNNNNNNNNNNNNNNNNNNNNNNNNNNNNNNNNNNNNNNNNNNNNNNNNUUGAUUUGCAUUCUUAGUUGAUAAUUGGUCACAUAAACAAUCAAACAAACAAUCGUUCACCGUUACUUGGUUUAGUUAGCUUAAUCAAUUUGAGUAAUAGCGUUAUAAAAACCCUAGGGAAAUACGAUUCCAUUAGUUCAUUCGAGUGGGUAUUUGAUUAGCAGGAUAAAAUCCGCUCAUCAAGAACCGUCAAACUCGGUGAGAUUAUUGUCGGUUAAGUGGUUAAACGAUCGAAAUUGCCAAGCCUAAUUUUAAUGCUUGAAUCAUCAAUAUUUUUAGUGUACAAACUUUAAACCGUAAUACAUAUCAUGAAGUUUCUUAAUAAACAAAUUUUGCAUUGAAAUUGAGUAGGCUUGAGCUCCGUACAACUUUAUAAUUUCUAACUUAAGUUCGAACUUGAACUCGAACUCGCUAGAAAUAAACUAAACAGUAUGAGUAUAGGUAAUACCUACACACAACGAAUUGAGGUCAAAUAAAUAAAACUCAUGCGCACAAGGAAAUGAAAUUCGAUGGCUGCUGGUAUGGAUAUUCAUGAGAGUUAGUUAUCUGGUUUGGUACGAAAUGAAAUACAGAGUUAGUAUCUUCUGGAUCUUAUCUGAACAAGAAAAGAGAAAUAAAAACUGGGAAUUCAGGUGACAGCAGGUAAUGCAUACAUACAUAGGCCCAUUCAAGUUCUCAAUUAAUAAUAUCAGAGAGACAAGAAGUCAGACAGUCAUGCAUGCAUCAUCCUUCUUCUUCUUCUUCUUCUGCAGAAAAUCUAGUGGUGGGCCUGAACUGAAUCAUCUGUAUAACUUUUUUUUACCCAGAUUUGGAUUUGCCCAAAACUGUCCCAAAUCUAUCUGCUUGCUUUUUUGGCUCAUCAAUGAUUUCUCGUUCUGUUUAUUAAAAACAAAAGAAAGAAGAGCCGUGGCGUGGCGUGGUGCGACUGACAAUGGAGGCAAAGUCAAGAAACUUGUAAACUGACCAAUGGCAGAGAGGGUUUUGUUGUGUUGGGGCUAAGAACACCAGCAUAGCAUAUAUCCAAAAUGCCAAAAGGGAUUGGUCUGUUUCAACAAACUCUUUCUCAUUUUUAGGUUGUUUGUUGUUGCAAAUUUGUUGAGGGGGAGGCGGGGUGAUGCUCGAUCGGUUUGAUUCCGGUUUUUAAGUAUCAGAAUCUAGACUGACAACAUUUUUAAUUUUGAUGUUCAAUUUAAGAGAUGUAUAGCCGGUAGAGGAUAAUUUUUAACUAGUGAGAAAUUGACGUGCAAUCUAGUCAAUACGAAUAAAUAUUGACAGGCUCCGACCAACCAACCAACCAAAAGCUAGCUUCUUCAUAUCAACGUUUGUCCAAUAAUGCUUAAUUUGGUUCCCCCUCAACGGGCACUUAACCAAUGUAUUAUGUCUCUCCCAUUUCUCUACACACGUUACAAUCUAUAUAUCUUAAAAUGAAAACAACUACUUUCUUUAGAAAUUUACGAAAGAUCGUUUUUUUUCUUCCAAAUUCAUGAAUAUCAAUCCAAUCCAAUAUGGUAGCUAGGCAACCAAAUAUAGCUCGAGUCUAAUGGCGGAAUCUAACUGUUGUUGGUGGCGACUAGCGGAAUCUGCAGAUUGGUGAUCGAUCAGUUUGAUCGCCGGUAAUGGUGGUGGUGGAAUAGUGGUGAGGAAUUGGUUUUAUGUUUGCAUAUUGAAUCUUAUAUACAUAAUAUUAUAAAAAUAAGGGUAACAUUUCAAAAUCCAGAUAGUAUUUAUACAAUAUUUUUACCAUAUUUUAUGCUUAUAAUAAAGAGUUUUGAGUUUAUAUAUUUGUGUUUAGAAUACCGUAUUAGAGGUUUAGAGUUUAAUUUUUGAAAUUUAAGAUUUGUUAGUUUUGAUUUAUGAUUAAAAAUUUUAAUUUUUUUAUACGAUUUAGAGUUUAAGUUGAUGAUACAAUGAUUGAUACUUAUGCUUCUGUGUUUAGGAAGCUUAGCAUCAUUCGUUAAUGUUUAAGAUUUAUAGAUUGUAGUUUUUUUAUACUGCAGUUUCUUUAGAUUUUUUUUAUUUUUUAGGAGAAAUAAAUCUAAAANNNNNNNNNNNNNNNNNNNNNNNNNNNNNNNNNNNNNNNNNNNNNNNNNNNNNNNNNNNNNNNNNNNNNNNNNNNNNNNNNNNNNNNNNNNNNNNNNNNNNNNNNNNNNNNNNNNNNNNNNNNNNNNNNNNNNNNNNNNNNNNNNNNNNNNNNNNNNNNNNNNNNNNNNNNNNNNNNNNNNNNNNNNNNNNNNNNNNNNNNNNNNNNNNNNNNNNNNNNNNNNNNNNNNNNNNNNNNNNNNNNNNNNNNNNNNNNNNNNNNNNNNNNNNNNNNNNNNNNNNNNNNNNNNNNNNNNNNNNNNNNNNNNNNNNNNNNNNNNNNNNNNNNNNNNNNNNNNNNNNNNNNNNNNNNNNNNNNNNNNNNNNNNNNNNNNNNNNNNNNNNNNNNNNNNNNNNNNNNNNNNNNNNNNNNNNNNNNNNNNNNNNNNNNNNNNNNNNNNNNNNNNNNNNNNNNNNNNNNNNNNNNNNNNNNNNNNNNNNNNNNNNNNNNNNNNNNNNNNNNNNNNNNNNNNNNNNNNNNNNNNNNNNNNNNNNNNNNNNNNNNNNNNNNNNNNNNNNNNNNNNNNNNNNNNNNNNNNNNNNNNNNNNNNNNNNNNNNNNNNNNNNNNNNNNNNNNNNNNNNNNNNNNNNNNNNNNNNNNNNNNNNNNNNNNNNNNNNNNNNNNNNNNNNNNNNNNNNNNNNNNNNNNNNNNNNNNNNNNNNNNNNNNNNNNNNNNNNNNNNNNNNNNNNNNNNNNNNNNNNNNNNNNNNNNNNNNNNNNNNNNNNNNNNNNNNNNNNNNNNNNNNNNNNNNNNNNNNNNNNNNNNNNNNNNNNNNNNNNNNNNNNNNNNNNNNNNNNNNNNNNNNNNNNNNNNNNNNNNNNNNNNNNNNNNNNNNNNNNNNNNNNNNNNNNNNNNNNNNNNNNNNNNNNNNNNNNNNNNNNNNNNNNNNNNNNNNNNNNNNNNNNNNNNNNNNNNNNNNNNNNNNNNNNNNNNNNNNNNNNNNNNNNNNNNNNNNNNNNNNNNNNNNNNNNNNNNNNNNNNNNNNNNNNNNNNNNNNNNNNNNNNNNNNNNNNNNNNNNNNNNNNNNNNNNNNNNNNNNNNNNNNNNNNNNNNNNNNNNNNNNNNNNNNNNNNNNNNNNNNNNNNNNNNNNNNNNNNNNNNNNNNNNNNNNNNNNNNNNNNNNNNNNNNNNNNNNNNNNNNNNNNNNNNNNNNNNNNNNNNNNNNNNNNNNNNNNNNNNNNNNNNNNNNNNNNNNNNNNNNNNNNNNNNNNNNNNNNNNNNNNNNNNNNNNNNNNNNNNNNNNNNNNNNNNNNNNNNNNNNNNNNNNNNNNNNNNNNNNNNNNNNNNNNNNNNNNNNNUAAUUAUUAAUUAUUAUGGAUGUCCCAUAUGCAUUUGUUCUUUGUUAAUUGUUAUUGGUUUUUUAUGUUUGUUAUGGUGAUAUAGUUGAAAAUUCAAUAAAUUUGUUCACUCAAUAAGUAAUAGUAAUGUUCUGUCGGCUGAAAAAGUAUAUGUAGAAUAAAAUAUUAAUUUAAUUUAAUUAUGAAUCAUUAUCAAAUAUGAUUUGAGAAUUCAAUUCAAUUUAUUUUUAAAAAUUGAAUAUGACAUUUUGAUGUGCUUGAUUAUUAGCACAUAUGUUCCCAAUUUAAAUAGCAAUUAUGGAUGAUGGGUUCUCAAAUUUGAUCGUAUUUAGGAUGUUAUGUGCAUAUUUAAUUCCCCUUAGCCCCUCGGGACGUUUUACUUUUUUUAUUUUUGAUACAUUCAGACAUUAUAUGUCUAGGGAUGAAUCGAAGCAUUUUGGGAAAGUCGGAGACGUCACAAAAAUCAAUAUUGCUAACGAAGGCCUAACACACACCAUGUGUUAAGUGAACCGAGGCUACGGGAAGCAUAACACAUGGCGGUGUGUUACUAACACACAUCGUGUGUUAGCUUCUGACAGUCUGUUUUAAACCCAAUCCUUCUCCAAGUUGGAAAUCGUCCUAUAAAUAUCCAAAGAUCCUUUCAACGGGAGAAAUAUUAUUUUUGGAAAGAGUUUAGAGCUUGUAGAGAGAGAGAGAGGGAGAGUUCAAGAGAGCGAUUGACGCAAGAGUUCAUCCACGAUUGGAGACGCAUCGAACAUAGACGAUAAGUUGGAGAAUCCUCGACGAAUGAUGUCUUCUUCUCGGGUUAUUUUCCUUUCUUCUUACUUUCUUGUUUCCCGAACAAGGAGUAUCUAAACUCCUUGUGAUGUUUAGAUUAGAUGAAGUUUUAGUCUAUACUUUGUAUGAAUUAUGGGUUUUUAACCCUUUCAUCAUGCUAUCAAUGUUAUUCGGAAUAAUAUUGUGUUCUUGCUAAAACCUAAUUUCAGAGUUAAUCUUGCUUGAUUAUCUUGAUUGAGUUUUUGUUAUCAAUUAGUGGGUCCGAGAGGAACGGUAAUUGAUAGGAUGCUUAGGAAGAACUUUAGAUUCCUCGUUAGCUCGAGAGAGGAGCGGUUCGUCCAGACUUUUUGCAUCACUUAUCUUUGUGGCAUUUCAUCAAACACCUAUACUACUGCGUUCUCCUUAGAUUCGUGGGAGCGGUCUAAGGUUAUCUCAAGAAAUUGCCAAACCAUUAUUACAUGUCUAAUUGAGAUUGCAUAUCAUUAAUUCGUACAUUGCUAGCUAUUGUGGAUUCAAGUCUAAGCAAUCUUCCAUCCCAUAUUUGAAACUCGAUUCCUUACAUUUUGCUUUAUUUUAAUUCAUUUAUCAGUUUAUAUUUCGUUACGAAGACAUUCAAACAACAACCCCCCUUUGUCACUUGGUCUAGCUACCACAUCUAAGUUGACUAAUAGUAUUAGAAUGAUCCCAAGAAAAAUACAAUUCCAUUUGUUAAUUCUAGUGGGUAUUUGGUAGGCGGAUAAAAUCCGUUUAUCACAUUUCAAAUGUAAGAAUUCAUUUCAAAAUAAAUUAUACAAGUAAUUUAUUUUGAAUUUCUAAUUCAUUUCAUAUCAAAUGGUAUAUAAAUANNNNNNNNNNNNNNNNNNNNNNNNNNNNNNNNNNNNNNNNNNNNNNNNNNNNNNNNNNNNNNNNNNNNNNNNNNNNNNNNNNNNNNNNNNNNNNNNNNNNNNNNNNNNNNNNNNNNNNNNNNNNNNNNNNNNNNNNNNNNNNNNNNNNNNNNNNNNNNNNNNNNNNNNNNNNNNNNNNNNNNNNNNNNNNNNNNNNNNNNNNNUGUAACUAAUCGUAAAUAAAUAAAUUUAUUAUAAAUAAUGAAAUCAAUUAACAAUAAUAAAUUUCUUCGUCAUGGAUAUUUCACACAAAAUAAUAAAUAAUUAGUCACAAACUUACGAUAUUAUGAUUGACGGAUAAAAUGAGUUAUUUGAUGAGAAGUUCCUUUCAACAAAAAAAACUGGUCAAAUUUUUACAUUUUUUUUUUCGAUAAUCACGGAUUUAGGAUAAGAAUAUAACCAACAUAUUUGGAAAGCUAUCUCACCAUAAUUUUAUAUUAUAAAAAAUUUGAAUUAAUUAAUGAAAGUAUCUCCCAUCAUUUAUUUAUUUAUUCCCAUUCUCAAUUUCUUUAUCACUUUCAAUAACCACAUCCCCUAUAUUUCAAUAACCACAUCCCCUAUUUUUUUAUUUAUUAUUACUAAAACUUUCCGUUUCAUCUUCCCCCCACCCCAUAAAAACCUCCCCCGCCUUUUCACGUAGAAAACCUGCAAACCUGUUAACUUAAUUUUCUUCUUCUUCUUCUUCUUCCUCCUCUGUUUUUCUUUCUCCGAUUCGAUUUCGCAGUUAACAAACAAACAAUAACUAAAAGUAAAAACAAAACCCACAAUGUUGUCCCAGUCUUGCAUAGAGUGUCUCAGUUUAAUCUCCGUCGACGAUUUCCGUGUCAUCAAUCGGUUCCCUCCCUCCUUCAAACUCACUUCUCCAAUCCCCUCCGAACACCGCCAACUACAACAACAACAACAACAACAACAACCCAAAUUCACUUCUUCUCCCGCCGCCGGGGAGCAACGGCGCAUCGUGGUGGCGAACCAGUUGCCGAUUCGGGCGAUGCCCGACUCAGGAACCGAGUCGAAAUGGCGUUUCGAGCUCGACGAGGACUCGCUAUACCUCCAGAUGAAGGACGGUUUCGCUCCGGGGACGGAAGUCUGGUACGUGGGAUGUCUGAAGCCCGAAAUCGAGCCUCGGUUUCAGGACGAGGUGUCGCAGUUCCUUGCAGAAAACUUCCGGUGCGUGCCGGUUUUCCUGCCGCCUGAUUUGUCGACCCGGUUCUACCAUGGGUUUUGUAAGCACUAUUUAUGGCCGCUCUUCCACUACAUGCUUCCCAUAUCGCCUUCCAACGGCGGCGCGUCGAUGUUCGAGCGGCGACACUGGCAGGCGUACGUCUCGGCCAACAAGGUUUUCGCCGAUCGAGUGGUGGAAGUUUUGAAUCCUGACGAGGAUUCCGUGUGUGUUCAUGAUUAUCACCUCAUGUUGUUGCCUACUUUUUUGAGGAAAAAAUAUCACAGAGUGAAAUUAGGGUUCUUCCUUCACAGUCCGUUUCCUUCGUCCGAGAUUUACAGGACGAUCCCAGUGAGGGAAGAGCUGUUGAGGGCUUUGUUGAAUUGCGAUUUGGUGGGGUUCCAUACGUUCGAUUACGCUCGUCAUUUCUUGUCCUGCUGUAGUAGGAUGCUGGGUUUGGAUUACGAAUCAAAGAGAGGGUAUAUUGGGUUGGAGUAUUUUGGGAGGACUGUAAGUAUCAAGAUCUUGCCUGUUGGGAUUCAUAUGGGUCAGCUCGAAUCAAUUUUGAACCACGAAUCGAUUGUGGAGAAGGUUAAGGAGUUGAAAGAGAGGUUUAAAGGGAAGACUGUGAUUGUAGGAGUCGAUGAUUUGGAUGUGUUCAAAGGGAUAAGUCUCAAGUUUCUAGCAAUGGGGAGGCUAUUGGAGCAGAAUCCUGAUUUGGUUAGGAAAGUUGUGCUGGUUCAGAUUUGUAAUCCGGCAAGGAGUAAAGGCAAAGACGUGAAAGAUGUUGAAGAUGAGAUUCAGCUGAUUGCGAAUCAGGUGAAUCAAAGAUUCGGGGGAGAUGGGUAUCAGCCUAUUGUGUUCGUCAAUGGUGCUUUGACUACGCAGGAGAAAGCUGCUUACUAUGUGAUCUCUGAAUGCUGUAUAGUGAACUGCAUAAGGGAUGGGAUGAACUUGGUUUCCUAUAAGUACACUGUUUGCAGGCAAGGGAGUCCUAUUUUGGAUAAGGAGAUGGGAAGUGAUGAUGAUGUUGGUCCCAAGAGGAGUGUGUUGAUUGUCUCGGAAUUCAUAGGGUGUUCGCCCUCGUUGAGUGGUGCGAUCCGGGUGAACCCAUGGAACAUCGAUGCAGUGGCGAACGCAAUGAGCGAGGCAAUCACGAUGAAGGAAGAUGAGAGGCGACUUCGCCACGAGAAGCAUUACAAGUACAUCAGUUCGCACGAUGUCGCUUACUGGGCGAGGAGCUUCGAUAACGACCUCGAAAGGGCGUGUCGUGAUCAUUACAACAAGAGGUAUUGGGGAGUUGGGUUUGGAUUGGGUUUCAGGAUUGUUGCCUUGGGACCAAGCUUUAGGAAGCUUGCCGUUGAGCCCAUUGUGGCUGCUUAUAAAAGGACUAGCAAAAGGUUGAUUUUGCUAGACUAUGAUGGUACCAUGAUGCCUCAAGCUUCCGUGGAUAAGUCCCCCAGCGAAGAAGUGAUCUUGGUGCUUAGCCGUUUGUGUAACGAUCCGAGAAACGUGGUGUUCAUCGUCAGUGGUCGAGGUAAAGGUCCCCUGAGCAAGUGGUUUACUCAGUGUGGGAAACUGGGUAUAUCUGCAGAACAUGGUUACUUCACUAGGUAACUAACCAAGUAAACAUCUUUUUUUUUGUCUGUCGACUUUACAAAUGAAUUUCGAUUCUGUUGUGAACUCAUUUACUCAAAAUUUCAGUUGGAGUCGAGAUUCGGAGUGGGAGGCAUGUCCUGUGGUGAUGGAGAGUGAGUGGAAGAAGAUAGCAGAGCCGGUGAUGGAGCUUUACACAGAAACAACAGAUGGGUCGUUCAUAGAACAUAAAGAGAGCGCAUUGGUGUGGCAUUACCAGGAGGCCGAUGCACAUUUUGGACAGAGCCAAGCCAAAGAGCUACUUGAUCACUUGGAGAAUGUUCUUGCCAAUGAACCUGUUGUUGUCAAGAGAGGACAACACAUCGUUGAGGUCAAACCCCAGGUAACCACUUGGAUUCUCUGAUCAAGCUUUUCAGUUACAGAGUGAUAGAUCAGAUACUUGUUUCAUAGUUUAGAAGUUUGCCACUAACAAAGUGAUUCGCGAUUCUGUUAACCGGAACAGGACUCGAGUACAAGUACAAUUCGAGUUAACUGCUCCAAAACUUAAUUUCCUUUUUACGUUUGCAGGGAGUAAGUAAAGGCAUAGUGGUAUCGAACUUGAUCUCAACAAUGCAGAAAGCUGGCAAGUCCCCAGAUUUCCUGCUCUGCAUUGGGGACGAUCGAUCUGAUGAGGACAUGUUCGAGUCGAUAGCAAGCAAAGUCGAGAAUCCGUACUCGGCUUCUUCAAUAGCAGAGGUUUUCGCUUGCACGGUUGGGCAGAAGCCGAGCAUGGCAAAGUACUAUCUUGACGAUACUGUUGAAGUUAUAAAGUUGCUUCAAGGUCUUGCCACAGCAUCUUGAUGAUGAGCAAGAAACAGACAAGUAUACCCUUUUGGAAUGAGAAUGUGUUAGGGAAAUGGAAUGACAAGAUAUGUUUUCUUUAUUUGCUUCUGGAAACAGAAAUUAGGAAAGCUAAUGAUACUAUAACAAGAAAUACUAAACCAGCCAGACAGAAGAAAUGUGAAAGGACACUUGUACAGAGGAUACUUUUACUUCAUUUGUUAACAGCAACUGGCAACUGUUCUCUUUUUUUCUUACAUUAAUUUAUUUUGCUAUAGGUUUGAUACUUGUGAACAAUUCCAAAAUUAGAUAUAUAUUCAUACAUUCUUUCAAUUGUUUUUUUCAAUGUGGAUAGUAAUAUUAUUGUAUUUCAUCGAAUUGCCGUGAUAAAGAAUCGAUGUUAUGUUGAAAUUUGUCGAAGACAACAACAUUUUGUAAUUUCCAUAAUCGCCACAAAAAUAUAACUAUAAAACCGCUGUCAAUAUUAACGGGAUUUGAACCCCUAAACAAUUUAGUAUUUUAAAUAUGACCAAACAGCCCUUCUAUCUUUUGAUUUGAGAGCCUCAAACCCCGACUUAAAUUCCAACUUUAGUAUUUUGGUGGUUAUGCAUCUGCCAUGUAACCCUUUAGCUUGAUGAAAAUAUAUCAAGUAUCUCAUUCAAUAAUAAUAAAAAGAAUAUCUCCAAACAUCAAUGGAAGCCUCUCAUCAGAGUUAUAUCGAUGGUAGAGCUGGAUUUUGGAUGAUUUAGAAGGUUCAAGUUUUGAUCUAAUAUACUUCAUGAAAUUAACACUAAUAUAGUGUUUAUUUUCUGUUGUAUAUUUGAUAUUGAACGGAAAUUUCGAUUUAUUUUGAAGGAAAAAAACUUGAAUUGAAGACGACCCAUCAUAGCUAGAGUCCACCAAUCAGAAACCAUUAACCCCAAGGGAAGGAGGAAAUGGUCAAAUUUAAAAAGAACUUCUUCCAUAAAAAAAAGUAGCGUCAAAUGUGUUGACUUGGUGCAGUGAAAAAAAAAACCAGCAAGGAGAAGAAGAAGGGAAAGACGGACGGACACACACACAGAUUUCUCAAUAAUCCUUUUUGUUUCCAUUUCCAGGUUUCUUCCCUACGAAACAAAAACUGGACAAUCUUUCCUAUUUUCCCUCUCCGACUUUGGAAACUGUCCCUUUUCUCCGGCCAACUCGGCUGCCUUUUUACUUCGACUGAAGCUAAUGCCCCUGAUUUACUAGUCUCCAAGACCAAAGAUCGCAGAUUCAAUGGCACCCCACUGCUAAAUGGAGUGGAAGAAGGAUAAGCUUGUGAGGUUAGUUCUUACUUUUAAUUCGCCCCCUUCUUUGGUUUUGUUUGACUGACUGUAAUAUAGGUUAAGGAGUACUGGGUUUUGUCAUUUUGGGUCUUGAUUGUUUGCUACAAAGAUGUAAAAAAAGAAGAGAUUUUGGAGGGGUCGCAGCCGGCCGAAUGAACAAUUGGUUUUCGGUGAAGAAUCCGAUGAGCUAUUACAAGCAAGGAUUACAAAUAUUUGCUUUGUGAAUCACAAAUUACUUGGAAUUUUGCUUCGUAUCGGUGUUUAUGAUGAGGGAUUCGACUAAGGGUUGACUGGAAGAAUCUCAGUAGAAUCAUGAUAAGCCAUUAAAGGGAUUAGAACCUGACCUGCUAAUUUCUUAUAAUACAAGUUUCUUUUGCUUUUGUGCUUCAGUUACGUUUUCUUCUUUUAACGCAUUGCCAUUAGUCUCUUAUGUUGCUGAGAGAGUUUCAUUUGUAGGUUUUAUCCAGAGGGUAAACAGCACAAAGGAGGAAUUCCAUGGGGAAAGAAUGAUGCAGUUUACCCUGAAAACCCAUCUUCUGUGGCUUCUUCAUCUUCAUUGCUUAUGGCAGGGAGUGGGGUAUUGGGAAGCAAAGGUAAUAAUAAAAUCCCUGAAACGUCAAAUUUAGGAGGAAGGAAGUCAAAAGUGUUCUCGGAGGACUAUCAACCAUGGCACAUGAAAAUGCUGGAUCCUGGGAGUGAAAUCGUGUUAAGAUGGAACAGGAUUUUCCUUGUCUCAUCCUUGUUGGCUCUCUUCAUCGAUCCCCUCUACUUUUAUCUUCCUACCAUAAGAGGAGAUGGGAAAACUUCCUGUGUUAGUACGGACUACAAGUUGCGAAUUGUUGUUACCUUCUUCAGAACCAUUGCAGAUCUUUUCUAUCUGCUUCAUGUGGUUUUGAAGUUCAGGACGGCAUAUGUUGCUCCAAGCUCUCGUGUUUUCGGAAGGGGGGAACUUGUCAUGGAUCCUAAAUUGAUUGCCAGGAGGUACAUUCGAUCUGACUUCUUCAUUGAUCUCAUUGCCAUUCUUCCUCUCCCUCAGGUACCUCGUCCCUGAACUCUAGAUCUGUGCUCUUGUUUUGACAUUUUGUUUGGUAGCAAUUAGAACCUUUUGACCUCCUUUAGAUGAAUCACAGCAUAUUGGUUAUGAAAUUCUUUUAAUGAUAUUGGCUAAUCCUAGCACUUCAUUUCUCAUCUUUGCAUGACACUGAUGAUUCCACUUCUUAUCUUUUGUGUUCCAUUAAAUACGUGUUAUAUCAUCAUUAUCUUGUUACCAUGAGUUUGUAUUAACAUAAAUAUCAGAACUUUCAGCUUCUUCUUUUAGCAUUUGCCAAUGGAAGAUCAUAAUGACUCAAAAUUCUCUGCAGAUGGUCGUCUGGUUCAUCAUCCCUGCGACAAGAAUGCCUAGAACUGAUCAUAACAAUAAUGCGCUGGCCCUGAUCGUCUUGCUUCAGUAUAUCCCCAGGUUAUAUCUUAUCUUUCCACUGAGCUCCCAAAUCAUUAAGCAUACUGGGUUAGUCACAAGGACAGCUUGGGCAGGGGCUGCUUACAAUCUCAUAUUGUACAUGUUGGCAAGCCAUGUAUGUAUUCUUUCAUUGAUCUCCACUUCCAUUUACCAUUCUUGUUGAAUUACUGUCUUUCAUUUAUUUUUCACUAUGGAAACUCAGGUUUUAGGAGCUGCAUGGUAUUUACUAUCCGUCGAGAGGCAUACAACCUGCUGGAAAUCAAUUUGUGGAAACGAAACUAGCCCUCUUAAAUGCGAGCUUAAUUACCUUGACUGCGAUGCUUUUAACCACGUGGAUCGGGAAGCCUGGGCUAAGAGUACAAGUGUUUUCGAAAAGUGCGAUCCGAGAAACGAUAUCGAAUUCCAAUAUGGGUUAUUUGAAAAUGCUAUGAAAAAGAGGGUCGUCUCUACCAGUUUUGUGGACAAGUAUUUCUAUUGCUUGUGGUGGGGAUUACAGCAAUUAAGGUAUGUCUCCAUCGUUAACUUGCCUGUCAAUCCACCAUUACUUGAGCGAGAUAGUAAGGGUGUGGGGUUGGACAGCUUUGCUUAUUGAAUCGAUUCCCUCUGUCCAGUUUUCACUAGCCUAGACCUAAUAGAGUUUCAAGUUUGCAUCUUUUGAUGCUUAUUCGUUUGAAUAUUGUUAAUUAUUUCAGUUCAUAUGGCCAGAAUUUGUCAACAAGCACAUUUAUUGGAGAGACAUCAUUUGCAAUACUGAUUUCCAUUGUGGGGCUUGUUCUCUUUGCUCAUUUGAUUGGCAAUAUGCAGGUAUAGGAAAUACUAAUUCUUGACAAAAUAAUUAUGUUUCUUUUCCAGAGUUUAAGUUUUUAUCAUUUAUUCGUUUCAUGUGGACUAAUGGAGUGACUAUAUUCUGGCUGUCACAAUUGGUAGACAUACCUUCAAUCUCUUACAGUAAGGCUCGAGGAAUGGAGGCUGAAGCGAAGAGAUACAGAAGAGUGGAUGAGACAUCGCCAACUCCCCGAAGAUCUGAGACAACGUGUUCGACGUUUUGUUCAAUACAAAUGGGUCGCAACUCGCGGCGUCCUAGAGGAAGAUAUCCUACGUGGCUUACCUACUGAUCUUCGUCGUGACAUCCAGCGCCACCUCUGCCUUGACCUUGUCCGACGGGUGUGUUGCUAUCACAUCUGUUUGUUAAAACUUAUUGAAUUGCAUAGGUUGACCAACUUAACAAUAGUCAUUUGGUUGCAGGUUCCUUUCUUUUCGCAGAUGGAUGAUCAGUUGCUCGAUGCAAUAUGCGAGCAUCUGGUGUCUUCCCUAAGCACACAAGGCACCUACAUUGUCCGGGAAGGUGACCCCGUAACCGAAAUGCUGUUCAUCAUCCGUGGAAGUCUCGAGAGCUCCACCACAAAUGGCGGAAGGACGGGUUUCUUCAACACCAUAAUGCUCAAACCUGGAGACUUCUGCGGAGAGGAGCUUUUAGCCUGGGCUCUGCAUCCCAAAUCAUCUCUCAAUCUACCCUCAUCGACUAGAACAGUUAGAUCGCUGAAUGAAGUCGAGGCAUUUGCACUCCAAGCUGAGGAUCUCAAGUUUGUUGCCAACCAAUUUAGACGGCUGCAUAGCAAGAAGCUGCAGCAUACAUUUCGGUACCAUUCCCAUCACUGGAGGACCUGGGCAGCCUGCUUUAUCCAAGCAGCUUGGCGGCGGCACAAGAAAAGGGUGGUUGAACAUAGUCUCAUGAUGUCUGAAUCGUUUCAGAUGGACCGGGAUAGGGAAGAGUAUGAAGACUCGACUUCGGCGGAAGGCGUAGAAAGAAGCUCGAAUCCUGCUAAAAUGAACCUUGGGGUAACGAUACUGGCUUCAAGAUUUGCAGCUAACACGAGGAGAGGAGUUCAAAAGACAAAAGAUGUGGAAAUGCUCAAACUGCUGCAGAAGCCUGAGGAGCCUGACUUCUCUGCUGAAGCUGAUGACUAGUAGGAAUGGAUUAAUGUUUACUCUGGUUCAGGGUGUAAAGUGUGAUUAGCUUAUACAAACAAACGAAAAAAAGAACCAAAGAUCUUACAGGAGAAAACAUGAAAUCUGAUAGUUACUCCAUUGCAGGAUCUAUAUGUUCUGCCUAAAUGCUUUCUACUUGCUUUCUGUCCUAAUUAUAAAAACGCAUCAUUCGGGGGGAAGCCACUCCCACAUAUCAGCUUGAAUACAAAGGGCCAUCUUAUGAGGGAUGGGAUCGAGACGAUGGACACCUAAGCUAGGAUCCCAAAUGGGCAAGGUAAUCAGCAACUAUGUUGCCUUCACGAAAGGUGUCGGUUAGACUCACAAUCCACUCUCUAGCAAGCAAACGCCUAGCUUGCUUCUUCAAUACAAGUUCGAUGACAGAGAUUAAUGUAGCCCUUGUUAAUAAUACCGGAGAUGGCAGUAAGGGAAUCAAGCUGCAGAUUAACAGAAGGAAAUCCAAGGUCCCAAGCAAUAUGGACCAUGGACAGCUCCCAUUAUCUCAGCUCAAGUAAUUGUGUCUUUCCCAUAUUAGCCGCAAAAGCCAUAUUCUCGGUCAGUCCCAAGCCAGAUGGACUCAAGACCGACCCGUCCGAGUUAACAAUAACACUGUUGCUGAGGCCAGACUUCCAUCCCACCAACCGUUUGUCCCAAACCAAAGGCAUCUCACGACCGACCAUCGUCCAUAUUCUCAUUGUCUCCCCAACCUCAAUAAUCCAGUAAAUAACUCGUAGGCAAAGCUGAUCACACUAAUGAAUAAGACAACCUCAGUGUGAAAUGUCCUUGAAAUCUUUGAAGUGGUUCUCUUUGACAUUCUUCAACCCGACUAAUGAUCCGAGAGCCAGAUUCGAGAGAUGGUCCCGACAGGGUUAUGACCGUUGGAUCAUGCUACUUUUCGACCAAAUUUCAUCCAACGGGUGAAAAUGAGUCAAACGAAUUGACUUGAAUGGGGUAGUUUCGGGACAAAAAUGGGGGAAAAUCAAAUAGGUGUGGUCAUUGUACGAGCAUGUUAUGUCGCUAAUACGACCAUUUUACAGACUCGUUAUGUUGUUACGUCCACCUUACGAGUAGUUGAAUUCACCAUCGUUAUGUCCAGUUUAACACUCUUUUAUGUCAGCGAUAUAUACACUUUACGAGUCUGUUAUGCGUUUUAUUAUAUCCUGUUAAUAGGCUCAUUAUGUCGACUUCAUAUGUAAAUUGUUAUAUCCACAGUACGUCAUUAUUACAUCAUUGUUAUGUCAUUAUUAUAUCCCGUUCACGCUAUAAGAGUAAAAAAAAGAAAGAGAAAAAAAAAUGAAAAAAAAAACUUUUUUAAAUUUCAACCGUUAAAUUAAAAUUGAAAAAACUAAUUUCGAACAAUUGAAUUGGCUGCCCGGACGAUCCAAAAAUUUGACCUCUUGGAUCAUUACCAAUUUUGAAAAUUCUUAUAACCGAAAUCUACACUAUAUAAUGUAUUUUCNNNNNNNNNNNNNNNNNNNNNNNNNNNNNNNNNNNNNNNNNNNNNNNNNNNNNNNNNNNNNNNNNNNNNNNNNNNNNNNNNNNNNNNNNNNNNNNNNNNNNNNNNNNNNNNNNNNNNNNNNNNNNNNNNNNNNNNNNNNNNNNNNNNNNNNNNNNNNNNNNNNNNNNNNNNNNNNNNNNNNNNNNNNNNNNNNNNNNNNNNNNNNNNNNNNNNNNNNNNNNNNNNNNNNNNNNNNNNNNNNNNNNNNNNNNNNNNNNNNNNNNNNNNNNNNNNNNNNNNNNNNNNNNNNNNNNNNNNNNNNNNNNNNNNNNNNNNNNNNNNNNNNNNNNNNNNNNNNNNNNNNNNNNNNNNNNNNNNNNNNNNNNNNNNNNNNNNNNNNNNNNNNNNNNNNNNNNNNNNNNNNNNNNNNNNNNNNNNNNNNNNNNNNNNNNNNNNNNNNNNNNNNNNNNNNNNNNNNNNNNNNNNNNNNNNNNNNNNNNNNNNNNNNNNNNNNNNNNNNNNNNNNNNNNNNNNNNNNNNNNNNNNNNNNNNNNNNNNNNNNNNNNNNNNNNNNNNNNNNNNNNNNNUUUUUUUUUUUCUAUAAUAUGACAGAUCUAACUUUUACUAUAAUAUGGUGUUGUAUCAUUGAAACUAAGUAAAAGUAAAAUACAUUGUUGUAUAUAUUAUAAUAUCAAAUUAAAUAAUUGAUUAUAAACAUUCAUAUUCUCUUUAUUUAUUAAAAUUUAAACUUUAUAAUUAAAUUUUAAAAAAAUAUAAAUUAUAUAUACCCGACCAAAUCGAAUAAAAUGCUAAUGUAUAGUAUAUAUUGAGUUUGUUAAAUUAGACGGCCAUCAAGAAAUGCAUAUAGCUAAAAACCAAAAUCCAAAUAUAGUAGACAUAAGACAUGAAUUGUAAUACUAAUAUUAAUGGCUAUCAAAUGAGAAAUAGUAGUACUAUAGGCCAAAUAAAUGAGGCCACAUGAAGGAACGUAUGGAGUCAGUUCAGUGACAUAAAUGCUAUCAACGGACCUCCGACCUCCGACGCGCAGGCUUGUGUUCGGCCUACUUAGAAGGCUCUCCAAGAUUCUCCGCCACCACCCCCAAGAUCAAGGUGCUUUACAUUCUCCACUCCGGCAAGAUACUUGCUGCACGGAUAGUCGGAUAACCCGGCUUGAGUAUUAUUAGAACUUUCUCAUCCGUACUGUAAAUGAAAUAAAGAUCUAAUCUUUCAAAUGAAUUGCUUAGAACUGGUAACUCAAACGGAUAUGGAAACGCAGGUAAAGACGUAUUAAAUGAGAACACAUGGAAGAGGAGAGAGUAGGGUUGAUGGGGUAUAUGCCAUCUGUUGUCAGCAGCAGCAGCAGCAUAGAUUUUUUCCCCUCAAAUGUUGGUGUGAUGUAAAAGGUCAUAUUAAUGAGGCGGCUGCCCUUUGGAAACGAAGAGCCUUAAUUCCAGGCGGCCGCCUCCCUCACCUGCAUCUUUCGGGAAUGCUAACAUCACAUCAACACUUGGCUCCUAAUUGACUACACUCAUCUCAACCUGCAGUUUUGGUUAACUCCUCCAAGUUACACAUACUGCCACAUGCUCCAAUUUUGGCAAGUUUCUUUGUUUCUUUUACUAUUCAAAUCCCUAUUCAUCUCCUCCCAGCUUUCCUUCUUACGGGUGUUUAGUGUUUACACAAGUGCAAAAUCAUGAGGUAAUCACAUCAAACAUUGUAUAAUACAAACAAGUUGUCGUUAUAUGGUUGUAGCACCUGAUUUUGUUUCGAGAGAUUCUGGUUUGAGUCCAAAAUAUGCAAUCAUUUGGCUCUUUGGAUGGCAUCACCAGUCUCACUUGCGUUGAUGAUCGACAACCUCAAAGUUUGUCUAACGGCUUCAUCACCAAAUAUGGUCUCAGAAAUCUUGGGUUGGAAGACCAAAAUGUGCAAUCAUUUGGUCCUUGUGAUUGCAUCAAUAGUCUCAUCUGAGCUCAUGGCCAGUAGCCGCAAACUUUGCCUAACAACAACAUCACUAUAAAAUGGGGCCGUCGAAGGGUUUGUUAGUUAUAAAAAGAACAUUAUACAGUACUACAAUACUGAAGAACAGAGGAUCAAAGAUCCCCAAGGGAAAGUUUGUCCAAGUAUAUAGACAUAGAAGUAGUAAUAAUUCUCAGUAAUAAAGGAACAUCUUUGUGGUGCAACGUAAUCACUUGAGAGAAGCUUUCUAUGAACAAAUAUAUCAAAAUUUUGGCAAAAUUACAAAGAACAAAAGGCAUUAUACAAUGGUACAACAAGAGAAGAAGCUCGACUGUGGAGACCCCAUAAUUUAUAAGAAUCCCUAAUUCAAGUCCUCUUCUCUGUAAAUGGUGUUUUUUUCUUCUUUUAUCAUAAAUCUUCCUUCCCCUAUCUUUGUAAAAAUUGUGUUCACCAUCCUAUUUACAGUCCCUAAUUGCCCCCAGGGACACUUUCUCAGAAUCUACCAUCAACCAUCACUCUGAUGCUACUUGGUAGCCAAUCUCCCUGUCCCCGGCUAUCCAAUUCGCUAUCCGGUUCCAACCGGACUACCAUAGAUUGAUCUGCAGUCAGCCUCAUCCUUACUUGUCUCAAGCUAGGGACCAAUACUUUCUCUGUCCAUUCUUCUAUACCAGUGUACCCUAAACACAACCCACCUGCAAUUUUCUCCAGGGCAUCCACUUGGAGUUCCAAGUUGUUCCCAUCGCCAAUGAUGGACGAAGCACGAUCAGUGAUGGAAUUCGAAAUGUCCCUUCUGAUGACACCGAAAUCAACAGGCUUGAAGACUACACUAUCGUCCAACAAAUCGAGAACCUCUGAAGGCAGUGAUGUCGUAGUAGUCAGUGGUAGUAGUCUGCUACUGAGGAAAUGCUCAUCUUCAUGGUCAACUGUUACAUCACUCGAAUUGCGCGAACCGACUUGCUCGAUCUCGGCAGCUUCCUCAUUGAGGUCGAAUGUUAGUCCAGCUGAUCCUAUAUCCUUCCUCGGCUUCGUAGCCCUAUCUUCUUCGUCAAGCCAACUUGCUCGACGCUUUGCUGUUUUCCCGUGAAUGGAUAGCCUUAGCUGCCAACCACCACUGACGAAAUUCGCAAGCUUCUUUUCAUCAAGUGCAUAGCCGUGAGAUACGAAAUCAACACCGUUCGGUAAGCAACUUGAGGUGAGUAUGAAAAUGACAUUGCCAAGGCUGAUUUCGCGGCCAUGGGAAUCAGCAAGUCGACCCCUUUCCAUCGCUCGCUUUAUACUCCCUUUGACUAGCAUAUCAGCUUCGUCAAUGUCCUCAAGCACCACUACCGAGAACGGGUUCCUCCUAACUGCCUCCACGAUUCGAUCCAUGGCAGUUUUACCGCGAAAGCUCACCUCGGAGUCUCCUCCAUCAUUACGACGUGAACCAAGAUGAACUGUUACUGGAUUCGACUGGCGAACCAGCUCGGAUAGAGCAACUACCAUCUUCUUUUUCCCUAUCCUGUCAGGGCCAGUGAACAAUAACCAAAUAUCUCCUUUGGAUGCAUUUCCUCUCCGUUUUCCGUUACCCAAUUUGCAAUGUGUCAUCACUGUAGCCACUGCAGAUGCUGCCUCUUGCUGCCACCAUACUUUCUCCAGAAGUCCCUUUAGCAAUUUCUUAUAGGAAUCGGCAUCCAAUUUGUCAAGCAGUUUGCUAAUCUGGAAUUCGUGCAUCUUUGCUUGCGAAUCGGGAGCAGCUGUUACAUUUUUGUUAUCCUUAGAAGUAAAGGUUUCGGCUGCAAGCUUAGGACGACCAAGAACAAGCUCUGUCCUCACAGGGCUUCCGGGUGGACUAGUUGCCUUUCUAGGGUUCUGUUUAGCCAACAGAUUUGUAUUUAACUGUAGGGUUCCAGGGAGGUUAUUAUUACCAGUCAAGCUUAUUCUUGGCACACAAGGCACCAGGGUCUUCUGAUUGUACAAGCUUGGCAUUGAGAUAGCAAGAGGCUGAGUUAUCCUCUCGGGGCCAUGAUUUGAUCGAUGAUGGCCAGGAUGAAGUCGCAAGCAUGUAUCAUUCCAUUUCCUUUGCAAUGCCAUAGUCUUCUGCUUCUGUAUCAAUUCUUGAUCCUUAGUGGUCUAAAGAUUCAAAACAGAACAAAAACAAACAGUUCAGUUUUCCAGUCUAGUGUUAGAAAAUAGCCUGUGGUAAUUAGAACAGGACAUACCGCGGCCUGAUCAUUCGUAGUGGCAUUCUUCAGCCAAGGAGGCAAAGACUGCUGAUUAGUAGCUUCAACGUCGUCGGUGGAAGGUUUCUCAAGAUUCUUGGGCACAUGCUUUGCCAGCUCUUGCUCAUAGUUUUGACUGCACUGAUUGCACAAGUUUGUUUUCCGGGCAGGAUCCAGAUUAUCAGGUAGCUGUUUUAGUGGAGCAAUUGGCCCCACCGUUGGAAAGCUCUUCAUCAAUGUUGAGGAUGACAAUGACUCAAAAGAGUUGCUCAUGAAUCCAGUCGUCCCAAGUCUGGAUAUCAUCAUCAAAACACAAAUAAAACAGUUGAGUUCAUAACCAUAAAAAAACAGAGGAUAAUAAAAAAUCACAACUUUGUUGAAGAAAAAAGCAUAUCUCUUCCAAAGAGAAUCAACCCUUAUGCACAAAGGUUCUAUGCUUCCUAAAUCCCCCAAAAAAGGAGCAAACUUUUAAGAAAGCAACCCAAUAAUAAUCUACACACAUGAACGUUAGAAGAUUCCCAACUUUCCAAACAUUACUUUUGGAAAGUGAAGACCUCAAACCAAUCCAUUCAAUCAAGAACAAAGUGUGAUUAAAGUGAGUACACUUCCAUUAAUGAUUUUACCAUUUAGAAAUGAAUCCAAAUCAGGAGGGAGAGAGAGAGAGAGAGAGGAUUGAUUAUACCUUGGGAAAAUUCCAGGAAGAGGAGCUCUGUUAGCAAUAGGAACAGCCUGCAAAUCCCAGUCAUUCUCCAUUGUUGGAUGAUAAACUUGACACCUCAAAUAAGUCUCGCAAGUGGCUGUACCAAUCAACCAAAUCUUUCUCCCUUCCCUAAACUUCCCGACCAACUUCCCCAUCUCCGCCACCGCAACUUUCCCCAAAUCCGACCCCAUUUGCUGCUCCACCAGCCAUUUCAAGUCACCCAAAUCGAGAACCAACCCAGUACCCGAAUUCCCCGCCGCUAACCGGGUCUCAACCAAACCUCCCAACUCCACAAUCUUCGAAACGAUCCUCUGCCUACUAUCACCAGCAAACUCCUUCUCCAAAUGAAUCACUUCAACAUCCCCAAUUAUCUCCUUACUCUCUGCAAUCUUCCUCAACGCUUCCUUCCCCACCAUUUCGGGUUCCGAUUCCCCAACCAAAACCGGAUUCCUCUUCUUCCCGCCCCGAACCAAAAUCCCCACCACCCGCUUCACCUCAUCCGACCCGCCACCUGCUAAUCUAGGAUUGACAUACAUAUUCCGACUCCCCAUCCCGAUCGGACCGGAAUUCGAGGCCGGUGGGGGCUGCGGCGAAUUCAAAGACUGUUCAAUUGUGGCCUUAACAGCCGGACUAGAGAAGCUAGCUUCUCUCAUGACCCGACUCACACUCGGGUCAUCGAGAAUCGAGAUAAUCAGCUGCUCAAGCUCGACUUUAACCGCCAACAGAGGCUGCUGCUGCUGCUCGGGGCAUCCUCUCCGCUGAUGAGCUUGAGCUCUUUUCAAGGCGGCCAUUAAGGCGUUGGAAAUUGGCGGGUCGGGUCCCGGGUUAAGAUUCUGGGCCGUGGGUAGCCGCUCCAGGGCGACGCUGAAGCAGAGCUCCAGAGCUCGGCACUGUAGAGGGUGUGAAGAAUUGGGGUGGGAUUUGAUGCAGGCUUGUCGGAGGUAUCCCGAUGAGGAGGAUAGAAGAGUUGAGGCGACAUGGAGAGGAGUGGUCUGGCCGUGGUUCCGGCGAGCUGCUUCGGCAAUUGAGUGGUUUAAGACGGUGGCUGCCUCUGGGGUGAGGGUUUGCUGGAUCGUGCUGAGGCCGGCUCUCAUAAUGAAGAUUGAAGCUUUUUGGAGUAAUUGGGAAAACCCAGAAUUUUGUUUUUGAAGAAGAAGUGGGUAUGUAUGUAAAGGUGAGAGAGAGAGAGAAGAAGAAAAAUUGGGAAUGGCCUUUUUGAGCUUUGGCUGCUUCUUCUUUCUUAUUUUUAUUUCUUUCUGAGUGAUGCAAGGGGGGAACAAGAAUGACAAAUUUCUUCAUUUCUAUGAUGUAACUGUUUAAACAAAUGGAGAUUUUUUUCUAAAGGGAAAAGUUUUGUGGCUAAUGAGAUGUGUGGCCGGCCGCCGGCCGGCCGGCCGACUUCUCUCAACAAAGAACCAUCUCAUACAUUUUACUUUCUUUUGGUUUAGACUUCACAGUUCACACACUGUAAUGAAUGUAUGGACUAAUCUCGUUUUUUGUUAAAAAUUUCAUUUUUAAAGGUGAAUUGUAUCAUAAUGUGAUUAAUAGUUUGAUUGAUUAUCAUAGAUCGGUACAAGAUAAAAAAUGAGCAAAAUCAUGCAUACGUAAAUUCUAAUUACAUUUAAUUUGAAUUGGUAAAAUUAAAAUAUUUGUUUUCUCUUUUCUUCGGUUUAAAAAUGUUGAUCGAUUGUAAAAUAAUACUCCAUGAGUUCAUUAUAAUUACAAUGUGGAUAGAUAUUUAGGGCAGGUUUGAUUUUUAUAUUUUGGGUUUGAGGGUUUGAUGAUUAGUUAGAUUUCUUCGUUUUUGUAUUUAAGAGUUUUAAAUUUUUGAAAAUUAUGACGAAUUUUAUGAGAGAAAUUAUGUGUAUGAGAGAAAAGUUAAGUUUCAAAAUAGAAAAAUAAAGGCAAUCCCCUUGUAUAUUUUAUUGCAUGCAUCAUCUCGUGUAUGAUGUAAUAAUAAGUUAAGAAAAAAGUACACAGAAGAAAAGACAAUAAGAAGGACAGGGGAAGGUGAAAAGGGAGUUCAAUAAAUAAAUAAAUGCUCAUAUAAUAUGGCCUAAAAUUAAUCUCACAUUAUUAAUUAAUAGUUAAUUAACAGUUAAACCCUCCCGACAGUACUGUUUAAAGUCAUUGAAAAAUGAAUCAAUUAAGGUGGAGAGUAAAGACAAAAGAAUUCAUGGAAUUUUGGUUUCUAUGUUUAAUGUGAAAGCAUGAAAUGAUAUGAGAAGAAGAGAUUGCUUGUGGUUCUGUAAAGAUUUCUGUGAAGAAAAUGGGUUUGGUGGGCAGAGUUUUGAGCUUUAGCUAUCCUCUUUUGUUUUUUUUUACUUGGCUCAUACAUGCCUAGGUGGAGAAGGAACAAAGUCAGUCGUGGGCCAGGGCCUCGGUGCGGGCCUGUUUGGUGAUGUCUGCUUUGCCGUUCAAAGUUUUUGGGGUGUAGGCGAUAGAGAUAUGAGGAUUGGAGGCAAGGCAGUAGGCAGCUCUUCCCAAGGUAACCGUUGCAUGUCCAUGGCCAUUGGUGCUUAGGGUUAGUCGUGGCUCGUACUAAAUCCAUGCAAUCCGGGAGAAUGGAUGCGGGUCGUUGGAGUAGGGCAGCCAUUUCUAAAGCAUGGACAAGGGUGCAGGCUUUUGCAGCCAUUGUAGAGGAGCACAAAAAGGUACCAACCUUCCUGUCAAUAACCCUCCCCUCAGAAUCAGAAUUAAGGAUUCUGUAACCUGCCUUCCUGGAUUCCUAAGAAAGGAGCCAUCACAGUUGACUAUGCAAGAGCUUAGUCUUGGCAAUGGGUUGGUAUUGGGCGGAAUAUGAUGUGGGUGGUAAUCAAAGGUGGUGAUGUUGGCAUUUACCAGGUGUUGAAUGGUUUGGAUGCAAUUCCACUCUCCGGCAUCGGGCAAGAUGCGAGAGUCGAGAUCAUCGUAUGGGAUGUGGUACUGUCGGAAUAUGUGGUCGUUUAUGCUUUUCCAGACAUUCCAACAAGUGGCAACCGAACGGGCGGCAGCUUCACUCGACGGUGUAGUGAGGAUUUUCUCACACUAAGAGUGAAAGGAUUGAGAAAGUACAUUGAUAUCAAUACCAUCAUUCCACCGGAGGCUAGUUAGUCCCCCGGCGGUACCUACAGGAUCCACA